rnacentral:lncRNA from 1 species
GUUGUUGUUGUCUCAAACCCAGGGGUGAGUUAUAUACACUUCUUCUUCAAGAGGCCCAUUUAGGAAGGUACUUUUGACAUCAAGUUGCCACAAUUUCCAGCCAUUCCAACUAGCAAGUCCAACAAUCAACCUGACUGUUUCGAAUCUGGCCACUGGUGCAAACCCUUCAUCAUAGUCAUAGCCUUCUUUUUGCAUGAAUCCUUUGGCCACAAGUCUUGCUUUGUGCUUGGAGAUACUCCCAUCAGGUCUCAACUUGACCUUGUACACCCAUUUGACUGCUAUAGGUCUCUUAUCAUUAGGUAAUUCAUCCUCUUCCCAAGUGUAAUUUUUGUUGAUGGCUUUGAGUUCUUCCUUCAUUGCUUCAAGUCAUACAUCCUCCUUAAGUGCCUCUUUGAGAGUGAUUGGUUCAAUUUCUCCUUCAUCAGGGAUUACAUCAUCUGCAAACAUCUCACACUCACUGAGCCUUAGUGGUAGGUGCCUUGUCCUUGUAGGUCUAGUUUUAGCAGCCCUGUUUUCUUGAUUCCUUAUUCUUGGAACAUGAUUCAAUUCUUCUGAGUUCUCACUAUUCUCUUGCAUAGGAAUCACAAUUUCUGAUUUGUCAUUCUCAGACUUCAUGAGGGAAUCUUUCCAUAGGCUCAUCUCAUCAAAGUACACAUCUCUGCUGAACUUCACUUGAUUAGUUAUAGGAUUUAGAAGUCUAUAUGAUCAUGUUGGAUUGUAGCCAAAAAAAUCAUCAAUUCACUCUUGUCAUCUAGCUUACUUCUCAGCUGAUCUGGGAUGUGCCUAUAACAAACUGAACCAAACACUAUUAAGUGCUUCACUGAUUGCCUUUUUCCAGUCCAAACCUUUACAGGGAUCUGAUUGUCAAGAGCUUGAGUUGGACAUCUGUUCAGUACAUAUGUUGCUGUUGUGGAGUGUAUGGAGCAAGCCUUUGCAUUUCAGCAUGCACCUUACCAUGUUCAUGAUGGUUCUAUUCCUCCUCUCAGCCAUUCCAUUAUGUUGUGGAGUGUAUGGAGUAGUGACUUCAUGAAUGAUGCCAUGCCCUUCACACCAAUCUUCUAGCUCUCUUGAAUUGAAUUCUCCUCCCCCAUCAGUUCUGAAAAUUCUUAAGAGUUUUCCAGAUUGUCUUUCUGCCAAGGCCUUGAAUUUCUUUAGCUUAUCAAAUACUUCAUUCUUUGCUUUGAUUAGAUAAAUCCAUAUCUUCCUGCUAAACUCAUCAACAAAAUAGACAAAGUAUUUGUUUCCUCCAAGUGAGGGCACUUCAAAAGGUCCACAUACAUCUGAGUAUACAACAUUUAGUAAUUCAACAUCUCUACUUUGUUUGUGAUUACUGAAUGAUGUUCUGGCCUAUUUGCUAGUUAGGAAAUUAUCACAUACUGAGUUUUGAGUUUUAAUUUCAGGAAGACCAAUGACCAUUUCCUUAGUGCUUAACAUUCUAAGGUCUCUGUAGUUGAUAUGGCCAUACCUUAAGUGUCAGAGCCAUGUCUUAUUUGAGGUAGUUUCUGCAUUCAAGCAUUGUGACUCUGCAAUUGCUAGCUUGAUUUGGAAUGUUCUGUUAUUUGAGAAUGGAACUUGUAAGAUCUUCUUCUUCAAUCUGUCAUAGACAUUCAUAACUCCAUCAUUAAACUCCAUGUUGAAUCCUUUUUCAUGUAGUUGCCCAAGACUAAUGAGGUUGGUUUUCAUUUUAGGGACAAACAACACAUCUAUUAUGUAUGCUUUGCUACCAGAUUUCAUUUUGAGAGGUAUGUCACAUGAACCUUCAGUGAUCACUACCCUGUUGUCUGCAAACUUCAUUUUGUUUCUCUUGCUUGAGUCAAAGUUCACCAACCAUUCUUUGUGUCCAGUCAUGUGGUUAGAGCAACCAGAGUCAAGAGACCAAGUAUCAUUUCUUUGGGAUCUGCACUCUGUUGUCGUCAUGAGUUGCACAACUUCUUCAUCAAAGUCUCCAUUUUAUUCCCUGAUAAGAUUUGCUUCUGAUUCUUGCUUUCUUUGUUGUUGAUUCUUGGUAGGUGCUAAGCAUUCAGUUGAGUAAUGCCCAAGCUUGUCAAAAUUAUAGCACCUAACUUUCUUCUUGACAACUUUCCUCUUCAACCCUUUGAAUUGCUUAUAACCAUAACUCCUAUUGGAUUGUUCUGGUUGUUCAAAAUUGUUGACAUAGUUCUUUCUCCCUUUCAUAUCAGGAUAUCUUCCUUGAUUUAUACUUGAAUUCUUUGCACAAAAUCCUCAUUUCUUUGUUGUCUGCAUUUGGAGAAUUUGGUGUGAGGAUCUAUAUGUGAUCCUCUCAUUGAGUCUUUAUUCAUGGGCUUCAAGUGACCCUUGAAGCUCCUCAAUCUUCACAUUUUCAACUCUUCUUAAUUCCUCAAUAGCUACCACCACAUAAUCAAACUUAUGGGACAUUGUUCUUAGGAUCUUCUCAACUAUGGUUGCAUCAGUCAUCUUCUCACCACAAGCCUUCAUCGAAUUUGUGUGUGUGAUCAACCUAGUGAAAAAAUCUGCCACUUUCUCACCUUCCUCCAUCUGCAUGAGUUCAUAUUGCCUCAUCAUGGUAUGUAGACGAAUUUUCUUCAAUUGUGCAGCACCAGCAUAGUGCUUUUCUAGCACAUCCCAAGCUUCCUUAGCUGUUGCAGAUCCUGCGAUCAUUUCAAAGUGGGCAUUGUCCACUACUUGGUGAAGAAGGCAAAUUGCUUUGCAGUCCCGUUUCUUGUUUUGUUUAUGUGCAUUUCGUUGUGCUUCUGUGGCUCCUUCUUCUAGUAUUGGUAACCCUUCCUCCACUAUAUCUUCAUCAUCUUGAUAUCCAAGUAUUGCUUUCAUCUGUAUGCACCACCUAGUCUAGUUCUUGCCAUCUAGUAUAGGUAGUGUUGUGGCAAAGUGUCCAGUUGUUUGUGCCAUUUGCAGCGGAAAGAUGGUGAUCUUCUUGCCAGCUCUUGAUGCCAAUUGUUAGUGUUGUGUGAGAAAGAAAAGAAACAGAAAGAAGAGUUGCAGAAGAAAUUGUGGUCAGGGAGAGAAGAAUUAAGUUGUGUGAGAAUUGAGUUUCAAUAAAUAUUUAGUGCAUUGGAAUUAUUCAUAAUUCUUCAAUGAUUACAAACUAAUAUACAACUUUCCUAAAACAACUUCAACCAACUUAACUACUUUCUAUAAGUGACAACUCAUCUAACUACUAUAACUAACUCACUUGAUUACAUCAAUUAACAAUGAUUUUAAAUUAUUUUUUAAUAAGAAAAUUUAAAAAUCAAGAAAUUCUUAUUUUUCCUCCCCGUAGUUGAUUCUCAAGUACUACUGGAGAAGAACUCAAGUUAUUUAGUGGUAUCGUGUGAGUUAUGAAGUUAAACCGUUCUUGGCAAAAUUCUACAUUCACAGACGAAUGUAGAGCAACGGGGGAAGUGCACUCUAAGUGAUGUCGUUUUGCAAUAAGGUAAAGCAAGUAGCAUAUUCCUUGUUAUUGAUGAUUUGUUCACAUCAAUAAUUUGUAACAUUGCACAACACCUUAUACUAUUUAAGUUAGUGUUGUGCAAUGACUCAUAUUUCUAAUACAAGUUAUAUAAACUUAAUGUAAUAAGGAGAAUAAUAGUUAAACACUAAUCUUAAUUCUCUAUUAAUAUAUAGUGGUAGUUGCUCAACGCUCCUACGGACAUAGGCACAAUUAGUCGAACCUUAUUACCAACUCUCUUGUGUUAUUCUUUUGUCUCUUUACUUUUUGUUCUUUACUAUUUGAUUGUUUGCUUGUAGGUUUUAUUAACUUCUUUACUAGGUUUAGUUAACUUUAGGUUCAAAAAAUUAAUAAUUAAAAGUAGGUUGAAUUAUUCAUAGACAAUCAAUAUAAUUUUGAUAAGAUGACAUCUUAACCAAGUGAAGCAUACAUGACAUGUUAAUUUGUCAUAUAAAAAAUUAUACUCCCUUAAUCAAGUGAAACAUUGUUGAUUUACCACUGUUGGUUUCAUGGAGCGCUAUAAAAUAGAUAGUCUAAAUCUUCGUCCAACAUUUUCACAUACAAAUGUUGUUAAAACUAAACUCUGACAUAUGGAUUUAUAUUUAUUAUAUACAGGUUGGACUACUAUAUACACCAUGCCUAUAAAAAGAAUUGAUUUAGAAAAUAUAAUAUUAUCAAUAUGAGUUACUUUCGAAUUAAUUAUAAUUAACUAAUCUAACACUUUUUCAUCGCAUAACUUACUUCUAGUUGUCAAUAAUCUAUUCUUCAAGUGUUAGCCCCUCAGAUUUGAAACCCCCUUAUUUUGUAUACAAAAUUACAAACCAAAGACCAAAAAAUUGUCUUUCAACAUGUGGUCCAUAGAAAAGCCAAGAUUAAAACGUAUACUUAGGAAAUUAUAAAUAAAGUGCAAAGAUAUUGCUUCACCUAAUAUUCCUCCCACCUACUAUCAACUCUAAUAUCACUUGUUAGAAUAUGAUAACUCAAACAAUCAUAAAACUUUGACUAAUAAGGAGUCAAAUAAUAAAGAAAAACAACAAUAAGUUACACAUAAUCUAAGAUUUUUCACGGCAUAACUAACACUUGAAAUUGCCAAUAUUGACUAGUAAUAUACUAUAAAUUUUUAAUGUUUCAUAAGUUUAUUUGUGAGUAAAAAUGCUUUGAAUAUUACUAACAUAUUUAUCUUAUAUUAGAGGCUUUAACUUAAACUAGUGAUAUAUGCUUAAUAUAGUGUUUUUCUCUCCUUAGAACAUUGGUGUACAAGUGAUAAAAUAAAAUAGAAUAUUUAUGUAAACUUAUUGUAGGACACUUUUCCAAAUUUAACUUAUAAGAUUAAUUUUAUAUUUUUUUGAUUUUAAAAGUAAAUUUUUCAACAACAAAAAUUAUGAGCAAAGCCAAUGGACUAUUCUACUUAGUCCACAGCCCACAAAGAUUGGGUUGGGCUAACAAAUUAGUAGCUCAUAACUAAAUCGACCAAAUUAGUUUAGGCGGGUCCACCAAUCCAUUUUGACCAUCUUUACAUAAUAUUUAUAUUAUUUUAAAGAUUUAUACAUAAAUAGUAUAUCAUCUACCAUUCAUUUAUAUUACUUGUAUUUCAAAGGUAAUAAUGAUUAAAUUUUAAUAGUAAAUGAUACAAUUAUAAUAUAAAAAACUCUUACACUAUUAGUAUAUAAUAUAUAUAUUUUACAUUCAUUAUUAUUCAUAUUUACGUGUCUCAUUACAAAAAAACACAUGCACUAAAAAACAUAAUAAUUAUGUUAAUUUAUAUGAUAUUUAUUAUUUUUGGAACAUAUCAUUUCCUUUCCACGAUCAUUAAUUUUCUCUCUCAUUAUUUAUGUGUAUCAAUAUAUUAAAUAAUAACAAAAUAUAAAAAUAAUCAAAGAAAGUCAUUUCCAAAUAAUGAAAAGAGAUUACAAAUUUAGAAUUCAAGAAAGGCUUCUCUUGACUUUUGAACUUUGAAACUGAGUCAAGACAAUCUGGUGGACCAGCUAAUUGUUUUCUUGACCAAAAAUAUCAUGAGAUAGAGAUGCAUAUAUGCAUGUAUCUUCUUUUGUUCAUAAAAUCAUAAGAAUUAGUUUCAAAGUUGAAUUUUGAAGGGGAUGAAGGGAGUCAUGAAAUAUACAUGUAGAAUGAUUUUCAAGUUUUCAAUUUUUCUUCAUUUUUCUCCAAAAUUUAACUCUCAAACUAAUCCUAAGACAAUGAGAUUAAAGUUAAUAAAGAACUUCACAAAUUUAAUAUAUCAAACAAGUGACACAUAUUUUAUUACAAGUUGCUCGUAAAUUCCCAUUUUAUAAGCGGUUAAUCAUUCAAAAGAAAUCCUCUUUAUUCUUAUUUUUUAAAAUCAUUAUAAAGUAUAAGUAUAGCAUUUUUCAUCAUUCAUUUAUAUAUGUUAGGGGAAUAAAUAACUUUUUCUCAAAAAUUAAUUUCACUUUUGUGCGGAACGAAUUAUAUCUUUGGUGUUUACAUCCUUUUCAGUAAUUAUUUUAAAUAUUAUAUAUACACAUUUAAUUAUUCUAUGUUAUUUUUUUUUAAAAUGACCACUUUACUUGCAAUAUUUGCUUAAUUUAUUUAGAAAAAUUAUUUUACUUUCGGAGGUGUAAAUUUUGUCUCAAAAAAUAUGACAGAACAUGAUAAUUAUACAUUUUUAAUAGAAAGAGUAGUGACCAAUGGUGGAGAAUUUUGCACACCAAGCAUUUUUCUUCAAUUUCUGCCUUAUAUCACUAAAAUGCUAUUCUUAUGAUAAAUCACUCAAAAAUGUACAAUUCCGGUAAUAUGUGAUUGAAAAACUGAAAAACAAUAUUAAAAAAAUGGGAAAACAGAGGGCACACCAGCUGCUGAUGAUAGCAAAUAGAUGUUAGUAAUAAGAAUUGUCACCCAUAGAAUGAUUUAAUAUUAUUUAAGGGUGUAAUUAAAAUAUGUUGACUUAUUUAAAGAAAAAUAAUUAUUUUAUUAUUAUAUUAUUUCUAUAUGAAUAAUUAAAUAGAAAUUAUGUGAAAUGAUAUGACUAUUUGGAACGUCAUGUUGCAUAAAAGGUUUGUGAAACAUAUCUUGAAUAUUUAGAAAGUCGUUCUUCAUAAAAGGUUAUGUGAAAUGACUGAAAUAGAUUUUCUCCAAUAUUGAACUCUUUAGUACUAGGAAUGUGAGAGAGGACAAUUUUUUUAAAUUAUUAAUUUAUAAAAAAAGUAAAAAUAUGAACCAUUGAAUUUUUGUUAUUAUCAUAUGUCAUAAUUAUACAUAUGCACUACCCUCUCUAGUAAUGAAGACCCAACUCAAAAUGACGUAAGCAUGUGGAAAGUCAUGUGCAUGAAAGAAUGUGUAAAAAUUAUAAAAUUUCAAAAUAACAAAAAGCAUUUUUGUGACUUUAUAGAGUCAAUUAAUUACUUUUAUCCCUUAUAAGUAUUAUGAUAACUUUUGAGAUUCUAUAGUAAAAUAUUUCUACCUAAGGAGAGACUAUUUUGUAAAUAAUCUAUGAAAAAUAAAUUUUACAUGAAAAUUUAUUUUUAAGUAUCUUAAAACCAAUUUUAUCUUCAUAUCUUAAUCAAUAGUCAAUUAAUUACCGAUUUUAAUUGGUAGUUUUGUUUUAAUUUCAUAAAUUAAUUAGCAAUUUCGCUUUAAAAAAAUUAAUUGGUAGGUAUUCAUUUUUAAAUAAAAUUAAAUUCAAAAUUAUUUUGGGUGUUAUAAAAAAUAGUAUAAAUAAAGGGAUGGGAGAGUAGGUAAAAAGAGAUGAGAAAAAGUAAGAAAUGAGUGCAUAAAGAGUAGAAAAUUACCAAAAUUUUCAUGUCAAAAUCAUUGCAACAUCAUCACUAGUCUAUCAUUCCAGGGAUUUUCGUGCAACAAUCCCUUCACCACACAAGAGACAUUACCAGUCCUUCAUCAUGAACAACAUGAAUUUCCAGGCAAUAUGCGCUAAUGAUUAUGCCAAAAUUCCACCGCCUAAUCUGUUCGCCAUGUACCCCUCUUGGCUUGAGCAUGUAUAUUUAUUAUUAUUGUUAAUAUUAUUAUUCUCUCUUUUUUAUCUAUUUCUUUUUUAUAAAAUAAUGAUAAAUAAAUUCUUUUAAUUUCUUUUAUCUUAAAAAUAAUAUUAGAAAUUAAUUUAAAUUGUGAUAAUAAUUAAACAUUUUCUUAAUCACAUGAUUAAUUUAUGGAAUAUGUAUAGCCUACUUGUGAGCCGCAUCGUCUCCUCCUUUUUGUGUGAAGCGGAAAGUUAGUCUACAAUGAGUGUCUUUCUUUACUAUUGAUUUCAUCUUAAUUUAUGGAAUUUGAAUAGGUGAUUAUGACCCACGCCGUUUCUUCCUAUCUGCUUAAAGAGAAAAGUCAGUACUAGUGUCGUCUAUUUGCUAUUGAUUCCAUAAAUUUUUUAAUAAUUAAAAAAAUUAUAAUCAUAUCAUUCACUGUUAAUACUAAUUUUUACAAAAAAAUCUAAAAACAAUUUUUAUAAUCCAAAUCAAAUUAUACCAAUCAAUUUUGAAUACAUAACAUUUUGGUAUUGAUUUUCUAUUGCAUUUAGGAAUUCAUAGUAGAAAGAUUAGCUCUUUUCAAACACAAAAUAAAAAUAUACACUAUUUUGUUGUAUAUAUUAUUCAUGCAAUUUACUAGUGUACUAUUUUAUUACGGACGAACAUAUUGCUAAUACAUUUCUCGAUUCGUAAUUGACUCUCAGGCUGAGAACUCUUAUUCAAAAGACGAUGUUUUCAAUUUGGACAUAAAAUAGAGUUUUCCGCAUUUUGACGACAAAAAAGAAGUAGUGGCGACUCCAAAUUUUUUGGAAGUGAUCAAAAUAGAGUUAACUCUUCCUAAGUCGUAGAGUCGUUGUUCAACCGAAAAACGGGUCGUAACAGCUGACGACUCCACUAGGGACAUCUUCCCUUAAGGGAGUCAGACACCCAUAAUUACUCAGUCUUGAUUUCUCUAUUAUUGAAACGUAGGAGUAAGAUGAACUAUUGUUAAACGUAAAAAUAAAAAAUAAAAAAUAAAAAAAAUGUUUUAGUAAAUGAACUUUUAAAAAAUUUAAGGGUAAAGUUCAUGCUAUUAAUUAAGGUAUCGUUUGAUUACAAACGGGUGAUGUCCUAAUACAUUCCCUAAUCUGUAAUAGACUUUUGAGCUUAGAACUUAGGUUUAAAUACCAUUUUAUCCAAGUGACAUAAAAGAGAGUUAGUUAUCUACGUUUAAGCCACAAAAAUUGUAAUGGCGACACUAAAUCUUUUGAGAGAUGUUGAAAUUGAGUUUUAUAUCUUCCUAAGUCGUGUAGUCAGUAUUCAACCAAAAAUAGGGACGCGACCAUAUCAAGAAUGAGAAACUAACAUUCUAUGAAUUAUGAAAAAAUCAACUUUAUUUGAAGAUAUUCAUCUAGAAGAAAUACUUAUCUUCUAAUCAAGCACAUGAGAAGUCUUAAGCUAUUACUUUAGUUUAUUCCAUUAUUUAAAUCGUCUAUUUUUAUCAAUAAGGAAUUAGUCAAAUAAUUCAAAAUCUCAUUAAGUCUUACAUAUUUAAAAGAGAUUAGUUUCAAACCAAAAGUUUCAUUAAUUUAACGAUAAGUAUUAUCUAUUUUUUCAAGAUGAAUAUAUCUAGUUUCUUGUGGAUCCUCACUUAUUCUCACCCUGAGGUGGUCUAUUAGAGAAUAAGGGUCGGUGAUGUAUAUAAUUUGUAAAACGAAUAUUUGACAAGUGUAAUUAGAUUCAUUAUUUCAUAAGUGAGAUUCUCAUAAUUGUUGACCCAAAUUUCUAGGUGUUUGAGUAAAUCUUGAAAAGAGUGAGACUCCUCUCCAUUAUCAGAGAGAGAGAAGUAUUGUGGAAUAUGAAAAGAAAAAUAACAUCUAGAGUAAAUUACACUGACACCCCCUAAGUUUUAGUGAAAUUACAUAAAUCACCUCUCACUUUUCUACACCUACACAAACCCCUCAUUUGUAUACUUUCAUUGCACUGACCACAACUACAUGAGAAAUAAGUGUAAUUUUGUGAACAAAAAAUGUGAUAAAUGCAAUUAAGUUAAACAAAACAUGAUAUAUUGUGAUAUAUUGUGGAGACAAGUCCAAAUAAUAUAUGAGCCAAUACCUCUUUAUUAUUUUUGGUUCGUUACGAUAUAGUAUAAGAGCGAUUUAAACAAUAUCUUUUUAGAAUUGUUGAUGCAUUUUGUAACAAAAAAUAAUAAAGAUACAUUCAUUUGUAUAUUAUUUGGAUUUUUCCUUGCAAUAUAUCAUGUUUUGUUUAACUUAGUUGCAUUUAUCACAUUUUUUGUUUAAAAUAUUACACUUAUUUCUCAUGCAUGAGUGGUCAGUGUAAUGAAAGUAUAAAAACUAGGGGAGGUUUGUGUAGGUGUAGAAAAGUGAAAGGUGAUUCGUGUAAUUUAACUAAAACUCAGGGGGUGUCAGUGUAAUUAACUCUAACAUUUGUAUCAUUUUUAUUUAAAAUAUGAUUAUACUUGUAUUCUUAGAAUUCAAAGGAAAUAAUCAUUUUUCUCUCCAUUAAGUCUUACUCUAUAAAAAGUAGGUAUAAGGACAAUGAUGUAUAAAGAUUGACUUCCGUAUAAGAAAAUAGAGGUAGUCACCCCUAAACAAUUCACUUAUAUACUUUUAUUAUUUAAAUAUGAUAUAUUUGCGCCUCUUCCAAAUUUCCGUACUACUCCUCUUGUCUUGAAAGUUGAAUAGGUGUUUGUGAUACAAAUAUUUUUAUCUCUAGUUUCAAAUUUUCUCACUAUGAGCAUGGGUACAAUGAAGUAUAUUUUUUUUUUAUGUGUUUGCAUUGCUUAAGAAUAACCAUGUAACAUGUUUAAUUAUUUUGUAGGAUACAUUACACUAAACAUUAGACAAUUAUUAUUAAUAGUAUAAGUUAGGUACUAUUGAUUUUGUUUUACACUUAAUAAUUUCCCCCUCCGUAACAUUUUUUUCUAGAUACAACACUUACGACAUAGUUGCAUUCUGCUGAUUGAUGAAUAAAGACAUAUUAUUCUAUAUUAUGUUCUGAACUAAUAAAAAUAUCUAUUAUUAAUUAAAAAUUGAAUAUUUAUUAUUUUUUCUAUUUUACUUCUAUAUUAUUAGUGGAUACAUGAUUUGAUUCGUACAGUAACGUUGAAGAUACAAAAUUCGUCCUUAUUAGAGGAAAUCACCAACCUGUUCUGUUGGUAGAACCUUCUUCUCCAUUUGGAGUUGCCCACGUUUCUUGACUCUCUUUUUGACUCACGUGCCUAUGCCUAUAACAACAAUACUAAUAGUAAUAAUAAUAAAUUAAUAAAACAUAUUAUUCAAUAAAAUAUUAAGAGUAUUUAAUAUUUUUUAUUUGAAUCAUUAGUGAAGUAAGAAAUGUAUUGAUCUUUUUUAUUUUAUAAGUUAUAUAUAUAGAAAGGAGAGAUUAGUUCACACCAAAUUUAAGUUACACUAAUUACAUUUACCCAUCUAUAUAUAUGUUAAUAAUAAGAGUUUCUAUACACUAUAUUAUUCACUAUUCAUUUGUUAACAUCUAUGAAUCUUAAAUAAAAAUAAUAUAUAUGACUCUUAAAUAAAAAAUAAUACAUAUGAAUAUGAAUGAUGUGUAUUUUUUUUAUAUUCACCUUUGUAUAUAUUAAUCUUUCACUUUACUCUUAAUAUUUUGAUGCUUUAAAAUAAUACUUUUUUCAACUAUAUAUACAUUUAUUUAUUACUCAUUUUUUUUAAUCAUAAUUCACUUUCUUCAAUAAGUAAGGAUAUUGUAGUUAGACUAUCAAAUUAUUGCAUCAUUUAAUAAUUUGUUAAAUUGAAUAACCAUAAAAAUGUAAUAGAGGAAGUAAUAUGCUUGAAAUAAAAAAAUACAUAUUAAUUCUCACUAAAUGAUUACUUAAACAAUAAUAAAUAGUUAUAUCGCAGUGACACUCUUUAACAAAACCAAGGACAAAAUAUAUAAUCAAAGUUUAAAUAAUAAUUGUGGUUAGGAUGUUGAAGACUCCAAAAAGAGUUCACCAUAUUCAUUGGUUAGGAUAUAAUGUAAGUGGUCACAAUUAUAUAUGUUAUCUCCUUAUAUCUCAAAUUUUAUCUUACACUAAUAAAAACUUAUUGUGUCAAUUAAAAAAUUAAAUAUUUAUUAUUUUUUAAUUUUUAUUUUAUUGUUAUUAAUGUAAGUCGUAUUUUUACAUAUAGUCUAAGACCACAAUCCUUCUUCAACUUACUCCCAAAAUUUUAACAUUUCCAUCAUAGACCAAAAUUUUAAGCAUCUUAUAUAUGACAAUAUUUUCUUUCCUUAUCAGGCUAAUAAUACUACACUGUAGGCCAUAGAUUCCACCCUGUUUUUUGGGUGCAAUUGUAGGUCCACCCUUUAAUAGUAUAGCUAAUGAUAAGUUAUCCAUAAUCAUCCUUGCCUAGUUGCAUGCCCCCAAUUAUAUAUCAAACACAUUAUUAAUCGAAACCUUUUCAUUCUUAUCUAUCAACUCUUGUGAAAAUGAAGUAUUUUUCUUUUAGUUUUAAAAGUAAAAGUAUCAUUUUAUUAUAAAUAAAAAAGAUAUAAGUAUAAAUAUAUUUUGAUUUUUUUAUGUACAACAUUUUGACUCCAAUUUUCCCUACUUGUUGUUUAUUUCUUCAUUGGGUAUAUAAAGGAGGCUAGGUCCCUAAAUCUUCAUCAAGUACCCACUAUCAUUGUUUAUACAAAACCAGCACACAGAAAACUCAUCUGAAUUUAGUAUCUGCAUUUUUAUUAAAAAAACAUGGAUUUUGAUUCUUCUUUCUCCCAACACCAAACCCUUUUCUCUUCCAAACCUUUCUCAUGGGAGAAUUUCUUUUUCUUCAAUGAAGAAAACAACACCACCCUUCCCUUUAACUUCAAGGAAUCAUCUUCAUAUUCCAACUCUUCACUCUCUCUUAGCAGCACUGAAUCACAAGAAGUCUCUUCCAAUUCACAAGUACUCAAAGAUACACAACCUCCAUCAUCAUAUUCAUCAACACCACCAAAGGAUCAAAGUAGCAACAAACACAAGAGACCCUUCAGAGGUGUAAGGUCAAGGCCAUGGGGUAAAUUUGCAGCAGAAAUAAGAGACUCAACAAGAAAUGGAGUUAGAGUAUGGAUUGGAACAUUUGACACAGCUGAAGCAGCUGCACUAGCUUAUGACCAAGCUGCUUUAUCAACAAGAGGUGCCAUGGCAGUGCUCAACUUUCCUGAACAAGUUGUUAGGGCAUCACUCAAAGACAUGACCUAUAACAAUAAUAAUAACAAUAACCCUAAUUUGGAAGAUGAUUGUUCUCCUGUAUUGGCACUUAAGAGGAAGCACACAAUGAGAAGAAAGUGUAAGAGUAGUGGAGAUAGUAAUAACAAAAGGACCAAAAGGGGUGAUAGAGGGUUAGAGAUGGUUUCCAAAAAUGUGCUGGUGUUGGAGGAUUUAGGAUCUGAUUAUCUAGAGCAACUUCUGAGCUUCACUUCUUCUCAAGUUAUUUGGUAGUGUUAAUCAUGGCAUGGUUUUAAAUUGUGGGCAAACACAAUCAUGGUCGCAAUAUUGCAGAUUUGGAGUAUCCGAAAUCAUAUUAUCACAUUUUCUUACAUUUUUGUAUACGUCUGAUGAUAAACUUAACGUAACCACAAUCGUGAUCGCAAACAAAAAAACAAUAUGAAAAAUUGUUCAUGGAGUUGGAUAUAGUUGAUCAUUUUUUUAGUGAUGUUAAUUCUUUCAUGACUUGGUAAGGAUAUUACACCUUCUUCAUUCUCUCCUUUUUUUCCACCAUUGUCUUUGUAGCAGUAAAAAGAGAUAGGAGAGAGGAUGAGGAAACAAGAAAGUGUGUAUAUAUAUAUAUACAUGAAUGCUUAUAUAUGAAUGUCUAUGUAUAAAUGGAUGAGGAUAACUUGUCCCAAUGUCUCAUUCUCUGUCCCAAACCAAUCAUUUAUUAACACGUAAAUAGAUAUGGAGUGAGACACUAUUCGUGAUAUAUGAUGUCCAUUCUUGUAUACAUAGAGUGAGAUCCAUUUAUUUCAAUAAUAAGUUUUCCAUCAUAGCCAUCAAAGGAACAUCUUAUAGUUUAGAUUUUACACUAAUUGAUACAUAAGAUGAGAAGUAAGUUUAAACUUAUUUUUCUCCUCCCAUAUAUGUAUAUAUAUGUAUGAAUGUUUACAAAAUAUUGUUGUUGAUAUUCCGAGGCUCUAUCGGAUUCGAUGGAACACUAAUAACGGAAUAACAGGAUAUAUGAUGAUUGCCACUAUUUUUAAAACUGAAAAAAAUAUAUUAUAUUAUACUAAUUUCUUCUACCAUUUUUGCAAUAGGGAAAUCUGAACUAUUUGCCGUUAAAAGCAUGCAUUUUAUAACUAUUAAUGAGUACAUUCAUGAUUAAUAAUUCAUUCGUAACAACUAAAUAACACGUUUAAUCAGAAAUCCAUUCAUUAUAGCAUAGUUAUUAAAACCGUAUCGUACAGGCCGGUUCAACCGGAAAACCGGUGAACCAGGCCUCUAACCGGUACGGUACAAGUGUUGAAUCAGCCAAGUAUUAAAACCGGUCAAAACUGGUGAACCGGCCGGUAUUUUACUAAACCGGCCGGUUUAUACACAUAUUUUUUUUUUAAAAAAAAACUUAAAAACUUAAAAAUUGAUUACAAGGUGACACAUCUUUCUAACAAUUCUUCAACCCUUUAAGGCACAUACUUCCAAGACAUACUUAGAUUACAUAUUUUGGUUCCUAACGUGACAUUUGUGUAAUCUUGGAGUACUGUAUGAAGAUAGGAUUUAGUAGAAAAGUAUAAUAUUUAUAUGAGACAACUUUGACUCAUUGGUGUUAAAUGUUAAAACUCCAAAUUUAUUUGUUUUGUAGAAUGAGUUGUGAACUUAUGUCAUUUAUUUAUAUUUUGCGGUUGUUAAGUGAUACUUUUGGUUUGAUAUAUGUUUUUUAAUUUAGACUUUGAAUUUGUUAAAGACUUAAAGUUGUUUAUUUAUGUGAAUUUUGAGUUAUAUAUAUAUAUAUAUAUAAAUAUAAGUAGGUAUGUCCGGUUUAACCGGCAUGCGGUUUAAUUACUGAACCACUGGUUGAACUACUGUACCACUAUACCAGUACCCUGACCGGUUUGAUAACCGGUACGGUUUUAACGACACUGCAUUAUAGCAUAAAAUAAUGUAAAAACAAUAAUAUAAGAAUACAAAUGUUGAAAAAAAACAAGCAUUGGAAAACAAUAAUAAUCCGAGAAGUUAGGAAGCGGCAUCAUAAGAGCAUUAGAGAAAGGAGAUUGGGUGGCGCAAAGAGAGCGCGAAAAGGAAGGAGUAUAUGCUUUUGGAAUAUUAGUGUCAUGUUCUAUUUUUAGUAUUUUAUUUUAUGUUCUGUUUUGUGUUUCUCAUAAAUCAUUUCCCACAUUCUUCACAUCUUUUUUGUUCACCCAAUUCCUCUUUAUAUUCUCUCUUUUUGAGUUCUCUCUAUUCAUAAAUUCAGGUCAGUUUCAUACUAUAUCUAGCAUUGUCCCUUCUUGUCUUUCUUUCUAAUAUCUAUGUUUUUUUGGUGUCUUUUUUGGAUUAUUAUUAUUGACUCCUUCCAUUGUCUUAUCUCAUGCAUUACAUUAUAUAUAAUAUGACUUAUGAUUCUCAUUUGGGAGGGAAAUAGGUUAGAGUUAAAAGGGAUGGUGGACCCUUAAGAAAAAAAAUUGUUUUCAUACAUUAUUAUAUAUGAUCAUAAAAUGUUCAUACAUCAAAGUAUAGUAUAUAUAUUAUUUCUAAAUGAUGAUGACCCAUUUGAAAUUUGGAUUUUGUUUAAUAUAUGUUAAUUUUAGCAUGUUAUACCCAUUUUAUCUGGUUUUUUUACUUGUCCUCAUCCAUUGUAAGUGGAUUACCUUGUAAUAUUGAUACACAUUCUCAAUUUCCCUUGUGUCCUCUAGAAAAGAAGUUUCAUAUAACUGUACAAUUUUUUUUCAUGUGUAAUUGAGUAAUUUUUUGUGGUUCUAUGGGUGAUAAAGUAAUUAUUGAUAGCCAGCUAUCAAAAAAUAGGUUUGUUAUAAUGGACAAGGAUAUGUUCUUGUCCAAGCAAUGUCUCGGACCAAUGAUAUUGACGCAGAAACAGAAAACAUAAUAAAUAUUUAAUUUUUUGAUUGACAUAACAUGCUUUGAUUAGUCUAAGACAUGGUUUGGGACACAGUUUGGGACAUCAAAUCCUUGUCAUCAAGGUUGACAUGAUAGUUUCAUUGUCUAAUGGUUGGUUUGGGUUGAAAGCAUUGGUCAUCUAUGCUUAAAUUAUCAAUAAUUGUAUUCAAAGAACUCAAAAUUUGGCAAUUGUUCCUCUUUUGUAGAGAAGUGAAGAAUUUGGGGAAACUUGGUGGCAUGGGCAAAGAACAAAUUGAGGUGCUGAAUGCACUAGAUGUGGCCAAAACACAAUGGUACCAUUUCACAGCAAUCAUCAUUGCUGGAAUGGGAUUCUUCACUGAUGCAUAUGAUCUAUUCUGCAUAUCCCUUGUCACAAAGCUACUUGGCCGCAUAUAUUACCACCAUGAGGGUGCAGAAAAGCCUGGCUCAUUGCCUCCCAAUGUGGCUGCAGCUGUAAACGGUGUAGCCUUGGUUGGAACGCUUUCGGGGCAACUCUUCUUUGGCUGGCUAGGUGAUAAAAUGGGCCGAAAAAAGGUCUAUGGCAUGACACUGAUGCUGAUGGUUUUGUGCUCAAUUGCUUCUGGACUAUCUUUCGGACGCGAUCCAAAAACUGUCAUGACAACUCUUUGCUUUUUCCGAUUUUGGCUUGGUUUUGGCAUUGGUGGAGACUACCCACUUUCUGCUACAAUCAUGUCCGAGUAUGCAAAUAAGAAGACUCGUGGCGCCUUUAUAGCUGCAGUCUUUGCUAUGCAAGGUUUUGGAAUUUUGGCAGGUGGUAUAUUUGCAAUCGUAAUCUCGUCUACAUUCAAGUCCAAUUUUAGUGCUCCAGCAUACGAGGUUGAUCCAUUGGGCUCAACUGUUCCACAAGCAGACUAUGUUUGGAGGAUAAUUCUGAUGUUUGGAGCAAUUCCAGCUGCAAUGACAUUCUACUCGCGGUCGAAAAUGCCAGAAACUGCACGUUAUACUGCGCUGGUUGCUAAGAAUACAGAGCAGGCUGCAAAAGAUAUGGCUAAGGUUAUGCAGAUGGAGAUUGGAGCAGAACCAAAGAGAGAAGAAGAGCAGACACAAUCUAAGCAAUUUGGCUUGUUCUCCAAGGAAUUCUUCGCUCGCCACGGACUACAUUUACUUGGAACUUGCAGCACAUGGUUCUUGCUUGAUAUUGCAUUUUACAGCCAAAAUCUCUUCCAAAAGGAUAUCUUCACUGCAAUCGGUUGGAUUCCUCCUGCAAAAACCAUGAAUGCACUUGAGGAGGUCUACAGAAUCGCGAGGGCGCAAACGCUUAUCGCUCUUUGUAGUACAGUUCCCGGAUACUGGUUUACAGUGGCUUUCAUUGACAGAAUAGGAAGAUUUGCUAUCCAAUUGAUGGGAUUCUUCUUCAUGACUGUGUUUAUGUUUGCUCUUGCCAUUCCUUAUGACCAUUGGACUCAUAAGGAAAACAGAAUCGGAUUCGUGGUGAUGUAUUCCUUGACAUUUUUCUUCGCAAACUUUGGGCCUAAUGCUACCACUUUUGUUGUGCCAGCAGAAAUUUUCCCUGCCCGAUUUCGAUCUACUUGCCACGGGAUAUCAUCGGCAUCAGGGAAGCUUGGAGCAAUGAUUGGUGCAUUUGGGUUCUUAUAUUUGGCACAGAACCAGGACAAGACCAAAGCUGAAGCUGGGUACCCUGCUGGUAUUGGAGUGAGGAAUUCACUGCUUUUGUUGGGUGUGGUUAAUAUUUUAGGAUUUCUAUUCACAUUCUUGGUGCCUGAGUCAAAUGGUAAAUCUUUGGAGGAGAUGUCAGGUGAGAAUGAAGAGGAAGAAACCAAGGCAUGAAUAUUUUCUUCUCAUUUUGUAAUAAGGACUUAAGGUAGUAAGGUACCAUCUUUCUAUGAAUAUUGAAGUAUAUAUCAAGACUUCAAUGCAUACUUCCUCUAAUAAAAUUUAUUAGUUGUUGUUGUUGCUUGUAGAUGUAUUGUUGUCUAUUUUUCUAAGGUAUAUUAAAUUUCAUGGCAAUGAAUGAAGAAUUUCUCUAUCAUAUUUGUGUUUCUGAUAUGAUUCUGCUGAUGCAAAUAUAUAUUAGUGUUCAAUUGGGAUAAAUACAGUUACAUAGUUCCCUUGUUUAUUCUACAAUUCCACGUAUUACGUACCUGUAAGUCUUGUUGUAAUCUAAGAUAAAAACUGACAAAUAAUAUAGAACUUGAUAUCGGACACUAAUAGUCUAAUACUGGUUUUGCCUACCAUGUUACUAUUAAGCUCUUUUAUCAAUUCUAAAGGUUGAAAGUCUGUGUGAACUUUUUCAAUUAAUUUCAUUCACUUUAUACUAGUCCCCUUGUCUUUUUUCUCUCUUUAUAAAUAAAGGAUUUCAUAAUUGGGUGGUUGAUCCAAUCUGUAAGGCAAAAAUUGAGUCACUUAAAAAGUAAUAUUGUUGAGAGUAUGUGCAAAAGUGUGAUUAUUCUUUGUAACUAUUAAUUGAAGUACUCAGGUUUAUGGGAUGAUUCGUAGACGAUUUUUUAGAUUUUAUAUCCAAAAAUUGAAAUUUUAUUUUAUGGCAGUAAAUAAUUUUUUGCAGUGAUUUUGUAGAUAUAGGCAGAUAGUGUUGAACCACAAAAACAUUGAGAUUCCCUUAUUUUAUUUUUGCUGUGAUUUUUGUGCAUUUUCGUGGUAUUAAACUCCCUAACUAACUCUUAACUUCUUAUGAAUUUACAAUCUUAUGUUACAAAAAACAAGUUGAAUCUAAUGUAGAAUCUUUUUGGUAAAAUGUUACAAGUUCUUGUAGCGGAAGAUACAUGGAGAAAACUAAAUAGAGAAAAUGACACCGAAAAAUUAAUGUGGUUCAACAAUUUGCCUACAUCCACGGUUGAAGAACAACAAUGAUAUUAUCACUAUGAUAAAAGAGAAUUACAAGUUCACUCAAGUGUUUCACUCACUUCCCAAAACUCAAGUACACCCAAUAUCACUCUCUCUCAAGUAUAUCUUAAACACUAAAAUAUUCCUCACAAUAGUAGAACACGAAAAGAAGAGAGAAUAUGCACUAAAGCUAGAACAUUGAUGUGUCUUACAAUGGCUUGGAGCAUUCCUAUUUAUAGCCAAAGCCUUGAGGAUUGUAUGGCCAGAAACAAAGAUGUUUCACCACAACCUCUUCUUCUCAUUGGCUACAAAAAAGGUUCCACUAUAGACACUCAUUUUACUUGGCCACAUCAUUCUUUUUUUCUUUUAAGCCAAUAUUUAAUAAAUCUUCACCUUGCUUGUCGGGUCAGCCCUCCUUAACCAGUCUAAAAAAUGGGCUUCUAAACUGAGAGCUAACCCCAUUAUUGGAUAAAUCAUGUCCCGCCCAGUAAUAUAGUACCACAUCAUUGUAGAGAAGUAUUGAGCAGGACGGUGUUAGAGACACCAACUUAAGAGAAUUAAAUUAAUCUUCAUUCUAGAUAAAGAGGUGAGUGCACAUAAGAAUGAGAUGAGAGUAAUUGAUAGAAAUGGCAAAAUGAGUCGCACUUUGACUAUCACAGUAGAUGGUUGUUUCUUCUAGUUGUAUACCCAACUCUUCAAUUAGACCUUUCUCCCAAAUGGCUUCCUUUACAGCUUCUGUUACUGCGAUGUACUCCGCUUCAGUUGUAGAUAAAACAACAAUUGAUUGUAGUGUUGCUUUCCAACUAAUAGCACAAACACACAGUGUAAAGACAUUCCAGUGAGUGAUCUUCGCUUAUCCAAAUCUCCGGCAUAAUCUGAGUCAACAUAUCCGAUGACCUUACUUCCAACAUCUUUGACUUUUCCAUACAAUAAGCCAAUAUCCAUGGCUUUCCAGUGAACUUUACCAAGACUUGCCAUAUAAGUACUUACCACACUUACUACUUGUGCAAUAUCUGGUCUAGUGCAUACCAUGACAUACAUAAGACUGCCAACUGCACUAGCAUAAGGUACACUUGACAUCUCCUCAUUUUCGCUCUCAGUUUGCGGACAUAAGGCUAUUGAAAGUUUGAAAUGAGACGCUAAUGGAGUAGUGACCGGUUUAGCAUUUUGCAUGUCAAAUCGUUCCAACACUUUCUCAAUAUACUUCUUUUGUGAUAGAAAGAGCGUCCCUUCUUUUCUAUCUCUCUGAAUCUCCAUUCCUAGAAUUUUCCUUCCAACUCCUAAGUCCUUCAUUUCAAACUCUGAGCUCAAUUGAGCUUUUAAGCUUUUUAUUUCUGACAUGUUCUUACAUGCGAUCAACAUGUCAUCAACAUAAAGAAGGAGAUAGAUAAAUGACUUAUUUGCCAGCUUCUUGUAGUAGACACAACUAUCAUGCUCACUUCUACAAUAGCCAUUUUCGAGCAUGAAGGUGUCAAACCGUCGAUACCACUGUCUAGAAGAUUGUUUUAAGCCAUAUAAGGAUUUCUUCAAUAAGCAAACAUGAUCUUCCUUCCCUUGAACUUCAAAUCCUUCAGGUUGUUUCAUAUAGAUUUGUUCCUCCAACUCACCAUGCAAGAAUGCUGUUUUGACAUCUAGUUGCUCAAGUUCCAUAUCAAAUUGAGCUACAAUGGCAAGUAGGAUGCGAAUAGAGCUAUGUUUUACCACAGGGGAGAAAACUUCAUUGAAAUCAAUUCCUUCUCUUUGUGUAAAACCUUUGGCCACUAAUCGCGCUUUGAAUCUUGCAUCUUCAACUCCAGGAAUUCCUUCCUUCUUCUUGAAGACCCAUUUGCAUCCAACAACCUUUUGAGACUUUGGUCGUUUCUCAAGAACCCAAGUAUGAUUCUUAUGAAGAGACUCAAUUUCCUCUCUCAUGGCAGAAAUCCAUUUGGAAGCCUCUUUAUUGUUGAUAGCUUCUUCAUAUGAUUGUGGCUCACAAUUGCUGAUAUCAUCAGCAACAUUUAGAGCAUAAGACACCAGAUCAGCAUAACCAUAUUUCUCAGGAGGUUUUAUAUGUCUCCUUUGCCUAUCCCUAGCCAACUGAUAAUGUUGCAAUUGGGAUACAUCACUACUAGUAGAUGCAUCAUGAACUUCUUCUUCUUGAUCAAAUGUAUUUUCCUUUGUUGGCUCCACCUCAAACUCCACCUUCUCCGAGAUACUAGGGUCUUUGUUUUCACUUGAAGACUCUUUAUGAGGCUUUAGCAUUUCAGCUUCAUUAAAAGUAACAUCCCUACUAAUAAUACAUUUUCUUUUCUCUGGCCACCAUAACUUAUAUCCUUUUACACCAUCAGGAUAUCCAAGAAAAAUGCAUUUCAAUGCUCUUGCAUCAUGUUUUCCUUCUUUGUUAUGAGCAAAUGCAGGGCAACCAAAUAUCCUCAAAUUAUCAUAAUUUUCAGGAACACCCGACCAUAUCUCUUCUGGAGUUUUAAAGUCAAUAGUUGUUGAUGGACAUUUGUUGAUCAAGUAACAAGUUGUAUUGACAACUUCCGCCCAGAAUUGUUUUGGCAAUCUCGCAUUUGACAACAUACACCUUGUCCUUUCAAGUAAGGUUCUGUUCAUCCGUUCUGCAAGUCCAUUUUGUUGAGGAGUGUGCCUCACAGUAUAAUGUCUGACAAUACCAUGAUCCUUGCAAAAGUUUCCGAAUUCUCUGCUACAAAACUCUAGGCCAUUGUCAGUUCUCAGUCGCUUGAUCUUCCUCCCAGUUUGCUUUUCGAUCAAGGUUUUCCACUGCUUGAACUUCACAAAUGCUUCACUUUUGUGUUUCAAAAUGAAGAUCCAAACCUUCCUUGAAUAAUCAUCAAUGAAAGUUAGCAUAUAUCUCCUACCACCAUGAGAAGGUACUUGGGAAGGACCCCACAAGUCAGAAUGUACAUAAUCCAACGUGCCUUUUGUUCGAUGAACUGCAUUGUUGAAUUUUAUUCGACAUUGCUUCCCAAAAAUGCAAUGUUCACAGAAGUCUACCUUCCCGACUUGUUGACCACAUAGCAAUCCUUGCUUGGCCAACUCGGCUAGGCCUCUUUCACUAACAUGACCCAUUCUUAGAUGCCACAAUUUGGUGACAUCAUAAUCACUUGUUGAUGAGACAGCAGCAACACCCGUGAUUGUGUUUCCUUGUAGCAUGUAGAGACUAUUCUUUUUCUUUCCUUUCAUUACAACCAUAGCGCCUUUAGAUAUUCUUAUAGCUCCACCUUCACCUUUGUAGCUAUAACCUUUUGAAUCUAGUGUUCCCAAGGAAAUCAGAUUUUUCUUCAAUUCUGGAACAUGCCUUACAUCUGUCAACGUCCUUACGAUUCCAUCGAACAUCUUGAUUCUAAUUGAGCCGAUGCCAAUGACCUUGCAGGGAGCAUUAUUUCCCAAAAGGACCUUGCCCCCAUCUAAGGGUUGGUAAGUUGAAAACCAAUCCUUAAUGGGACACAUGUGAUAUGAGCAUCCAGAAUCAAGUACCCAUUCAUCUUUUGAAUCGUGCUCUGAGACUAUUAGUGCAUCUGCACUAUCAUAGUCAUUUGCUACAGCUGCAUCUCCAUAUUCAUAAAUCUUUUCCUUGCCUUUGCGCUCUGGACAAUUCUUUCUUAUAUGACCUUCCUUAUGACAAUGAAAACAUUUAUACUUUCUAGGUUUCGCUUUAGACUUGGACCUAGAUUUCCCUCUUUCACCAAAUUGAUUUCGCCUCUCUGUUCUUCCUCUGGCAAAAAGACUAUCACCUGAGCCUUCAGAUCUCGAAUAUGAUACUCUUUUCUUCAGUUCUUUUGAGUGCAACGCCGCCUUUACUUCGUCUAAGGUCAGAUCUUCUCGACCAUACAUCAUGGUGUCGAUGAAGUGCUCAUAAGAACUUGGAAGGGAACAUAGUAGAAGAAUUGCUUGGUCUUCAUCUUCAAUUUUAACAUCAAUAUUCUUUAGAUCAAGAAUAAUUUUGUUAAAUUCAUCCAGAUGAUCUUUUAUGGGUUUUCCUUCCUGCAUUUUGAAGAGUAUAUAUUCUUUUCUUCAAAUACAGCUUGUUAGUGAGUGACUUCGUCAUGUACAGGCUUUCCAACUUCAACCAUAAUGAAGCAGUUGUAGUUUCAUCUGACACUUCUCGUAGAACUUCAUCUCCCAAGCACAACAAAAUUGCACUAUGUGCUUUUUCCAGGUUUUCAUCCUUCUCGUCCUCGGUCAGACUCUGUGGUAACUUGUUUCUACCUUCCAAGGCUUUUCCCAAGCCUUGAUAAACUAGUAGAGCUUUCAUCUUCAAUCGCUAUAGGUUGAAAUCAUUUUCUCCAUUAAAUUUCUCCAAAUCAAAUUUAGCACUUGCCAUGAUAACCGUAUACUGGAACAAUAUCGUAGUCCGUGAACAUACACCAGGAAAGCUCCCAAGAAAGAGAGGUAAGUCUUAACAGACACGCUUAAAUACCAGGUCUUUCCGUCCAUUUAUUCUUUUAUAUUUGUACCUUAAACUACACGACUUUUAUCCUAUUAUAUAUAUAGAUUUCUAACAUAUAGCACCUUGCUUGUGUUGCCUAAACUUUAUAAUAUACAUCCUCUUAUAAUAUAUGCCUGUCAAUAUAUAUUAUAUAAAUAUAAUGUUGAUGUGGAAGACACAUGGAGAAAAUAUAAUAGAGAAAAUGACACCGAGAAAUUAACGUGGUUCAGCAAUUUGCCUAUGUCCAAGAUUGAAGAGAAACAAUGAUUAUUAUCACUAUGAUAAAAGAGAAUUACAAGUUCACUCAAGUGUUUCACUCACUUCCCAAAACCCAAGUACACCAAAUAUCACUCGCUCUCAAGUAUAUCUUAAACACUAAAAUAUUCCUCACAAUAUUAGAACAAGAGAACAAGAGAGAAUAAGCACUAAAGCUAGAAUAUUGGUGUGUCUUACAAUGGUUUGGACCAUUCCUAUUUAUAGCCAAAGCCUUGAGGAUUGUAUAGCCAAAAAUAAAGAUGUUUCACCACAACUUCUUCUUCUCAUUGGCUACAAAAAAGGUUCCACUUUAGCCACUCAUUUUAUUUGGCCACAUCAUUCUCUUUUUCUUUUAAGCCAAUAUUUAAUACAAGUUAACUCUAAUAAAAUUGGGAUAAAUAAUGUCUAUUCCACAUUUAGUUCCUAAUCGCAGAAGAAUAAAAACACCAUUUUUAUUUAUGUAAAAAAUAAUGGUCUUAUCCCAAUAAUGAGAUAUUUUUUUUGUUUCCUUUAACCAAUUAAUUUAAAAAUUGCAUUGGGUUUGUUGUGUUGCAUUAUUCAUUUCUUUGUGUUAACAUUUCUAGGGAUAUUAUCCAAAAUAAAUGGAAUGGAAGAUAAAAAAUAAAUAAGAGAUAGAUGUAUUUGUUGUAAGAGAAGGUUUUCGAUUUUUAAUUAUACAAAUAACACUAUAUAGAUAAGCAGGUCACACUCAUUGGAAAUGUUAUAAACUUAUAGUUUAAUAAAACUAUGAUAAAGUAACUGAAAAAUAGUUAAAUGUAACAGAAUUUAUGGUGUGUAGGAUGAAUAAUAAUAAGCUAUAUGACAAACUAACUAAAAGAGAUUAUAAGUUAAAUGAUUAUAAAACAUAAAUCACUUUAAGGAAUUUCUUAAAUUGGGAUUUAAAACCCUUGGAUUUUUCUAUAAUGCCCUCUAUCUAAAUACAUCUACCAACUUAUUUUUUGAUUGAGUUAUAAUCAUCUCUCUUGCCACAUGCAUGAAAAUUUCGGCUUUCAAAAUCAACUAUUGAUGCAUGUAAAAAACGGGCAGCCUAGUGCCGGGGCUCCCACUUAGUGGGAUGAAUAGAGGUAGAUAUACGCAACCUUAUCUCACAAAAAGAGGUUGUUUCCAAAAUUUGAACUCGUGCCACUGAGCAACAACCUUAUCAUUGUGUGAAGCUAACCCUCUAAUAUAUAUAUAUAAGGUUCACAAUCCAAGAUAUAUAAGGUUCCGGAAUGUAAUGUUCAUAAAGCAGUCAAGAACACUGGAAUUUACAGCAGUAACUAACAAAAGCACCCUUCAGCAUUGAGAUACAAUAUUAUUAGAGGUACAUUCUUGGGGCAGCAUGGACAUUAGCUUUAUCAUUUGCACAUAAUAGAAGUAUAGUGAAGCAAUUCACUAAAUGCAAAAUCUAAUACAUUUUUGCAAGAUAGCUGCAUAACAUUUCAAUUCGCACGGUCUUUGAGCACUUCUAAAUCCAUUUCUGUGGGAUCGGUAGCCUGGAUUUCGUAAUGGACACCGUCUAGAUCACGUCUAAACCUGUCCUUAGACGUGGAAUAAAGCAUCUUGGCACGGAUGCGUGACGUGGAAGGAGACCUAAUCAAUAUCAUGCAAUGAAUAACUUAGAAUGUUAUCUCAAUGGCAGAAAUGAACUAAGAAGCACAUAGGUGAAAGCUGUUGUGAAUAAAUAACUUUGUCCUAACAUAAGGCACAGGAGUGAAAAAAUGCAGAAUUCAAAUCACAAGAAAAGGAGGAUGAAGUCUAACUUCAAAUGAUAUAUGGAAGUGGUAGCGAAGAUAAACCGAAACAUAUGACAUGGUUCAAUUAAUGGUGAGAGUAGCCAUGUUCAUCACAAUAGCAUUCCAUCGAGAAAUAAGCAGAACUUUAAAAAAACAUAAUGAGUUUUGUAGGAAUCUUACUCCUUCAGUAUCUACAAUAUUUCCUUUCAUUUGUUUGGUACCUGAACCCCAAAGGUUCAAAUUGAAGUUAAUAGCUAAUGCCCUCAAUUAGGUUCUGAACAAGCCUCAAGGCUUGAGAACAAAUCAGAUCCAAUGAUAGAAGAAAUAGAGAACAAAACCAAUAGUGAGCCAAAGAAUCGAUAUUUAUACUUAUUUUUGUGGAGAACAAGGUAGAUUAUAUCACGGAUGACUUGCGAGUUUAGUUGAGGUAAAGAUUUACGAUGAACAAGACUACCUUUCCCUUCAUGAGACCAUCAUCUUAUUUGAGGAUACUAAAAUUAUGACUCCAAUCUCCAUAAGUAGACCAUAUAUCUUAAUGAAGAUUCUGUGACUAGAGAAUGCACUUGCUACAGAAUAGCAGUGCCAAAAGCUUAAUCUCCUCAAAUUGCUUUUCUCUUAGAUAAGAUUCCAACAAAAAGAAAGGACAUAAACAAAUAGAGAUUAUUUAAAUUAGGUAUUCAUGAUGCUUACUCUUGUAGUCUUGUAUGGUUGAAUCUAUGUGUUGCGCUAAUUACAUCAGAUUAUUCCGUAUAAACAUAAGCACCGGUAGCAAGUAAAAUUUAUCUGCAACAAAUGCUUUGUUUGCCCUUAAAAUAUUAUUUCCCCUCAUCAAAUUGAUUUCUGAGAGCAGCAAACAGAUUGGAAUGUUGUAAUUUACAAGAACCCAGAUAAAAAUAUCGAAAUACUACAAAAUGCUGGGUUCACAAGAAUAGGCAACUCAAUCAAUGUAAAAGAAAUUGCAUCUAAACAAAAAAAGAGAAGAAACUUAGCACAAAAUAGUGAAAAAAUAAACAUAUGGUUUCAUGAAUACAGAACAUGCAAAUAAUGUCACUAAAGGCUAAAGCAUUGCAGCAUCAUGGCAUGGUGAGUUCGAGAACUGCAAAAAUAUGGAAGUAUGUGAAUCAUAUGUGCUGCAUGAUUUCCUUUGUUGCACGGAAUAUUGCAUAUCAUGUGCCACAUUUUACAAAUAUCACUAUCUACUCUGUCUAGUUGGAGCAACAAUGCUCUUAAAAUACAAAGUAAAUAGCUUUUCUUUUUACACACAAAUAUAUAUGCGUAUGAGAGAGAGAAAGAGAGGUGAGAUAAACUAACCACGCAAUGAAAAAGAUUUUACUCUUUUGACAGUUAUCAGAGGUGACAAAAUCAAAGUCGAAGACAGCAUAUCUGCAAUCGUUCGCAGGCAAUGAUGCAGCAAAAUCAUCAUAGCUCUCAGCUGGAGUACCGGUUUUCUCAACCACAACCUCCCUUUUAUUUUCAUCAAUCUUAAAGAUCACAUAGCGAUAGACCUUCUUUAGCUUCAAGUCCAUGAAUGUAUUUUGGCUGUGAUCAGCAACACCCAUGCCUGAUGAAGCAUUUGGCUGGAAACAAAAUGUAACCAAAUCAAAGAAACUCAUUCAAAAAAAAACUCGAAUGCUUGUUAUUGAGAAGCCAUGCAAGUUAUGUUGAUAGAGAUAUCAUUAGUUUUAGGAAAAUUAUUGUGACCUUCCUUGACAUUGUUCCAAAUGUUAAUCUGAUCUCCCCUUGAAGUCUAUGUUGUCAUUAUAUCACCCCUUCAAGAUUAUUUUAUAACUACACUUAUACCGCAUCUAAGUGUAAUUUAUUCAAAGAGCUUAUUUUAACUUUCCUUUACUUUUAACAUGACCCCUGCAGCUAUAUACAUGUCAAACUGUGUUUGUUCAAAUGGAAGGGCAUGAAUCCUAGGAUACAAAGUACAAUUCCAAGAUAUUUUUAUGCACACACAAAAAAUACUAUUUGAAGAUUACCCGCUUCGUUGUCUAACCAUAUUCAGCAGAUUAGUCUCCUGAUAUAGUCAGAUCAAUACUGAUGACAGGUUUUCCAGAAAUUACAUUAGUUGGCCAUAUUGAUUACAAAUUUGGAGUUGAAACAUAGAAAAUAUGGUUUCUCUAUAGACAUGAAUUAUGAUUACAAACUAAAACAUUAUAACGUUAUUUGAUCCAUGUAGCCGACUGAGAUUAAGACUAGGUUGCUAUUGUAGUUGUUUUUUUGGUAUAACCAAUGGUAUCCUUUCACCAUAGGGAUAAAAAAACUAAUCCUUUCGGGUGAUGCUGUAUUCCAACAAGUAUGGCUCAUAAAAAUCAAACUUUCGACCUUUUUGGUCUAUUUGAUGAUCUAGUGGGGCAUUAGCCAGAGCUCUGUUGGUUUAUUGUAGUUGUUUACCACAUGAUUACAAGUUUCUAAACUAACUAUUAAGCUGAGUAAUUCAUGGCUCAUUCUACAAUAGAAACUAAAACCACAACUAUAUGAUGAUGACUCUUCUCCAAUCAUGACCCACAAAAAAAAUUAGAAUUAGAAGUAAAAUUAUAGCAAAGUUGAAAUCUUUUCAGGAAUCUACAAACAACAAGAAGAUUAAUUUGAUUAUCAGGUGGAGAUAAUGAUGAUGGGUACUUGAAAUUGAAGUAAAAUGAACAAAAGUAUGAAAAUAUUAUUACCCGGUUGAGCCAUCUGAAAGACAUGGCAACACAAAGAGUAGAACAGAGAAAUGCAGAGAAAAAAUUGGUAACUUGGAUUUGAUCACAAUCACAACACAACGUUAAUCUAAAAGCAAACAUUAUUGGUUCUAUGUAUUUGUAUUUAAGAAUCAAUGUGCCGUGACGUCAUUGAAUUGCUAGGCACGAAUUUUAUAUUUUAUAAACUAUGAAUGCACUCAAAGUCUCAAAAUCCAUUAAUCAUGAUAAAUGCAAAAAUAAAAAGUAGGCACACGCAAAUCAUUUUUCCCCUCUUUUUACUUUCUGAAUAAAUUUGUGUAAUAUAGUUAUACACACAAUUUUUACAUAAAUAAUGAAUUAAAUAUAAAUUGACUAACAUAUGUUUACUUAGUGUUCAAAUAUUUUUACAAUCAAUUUCUCAUCAAAAAUUUGAUUUCAAUUCAAAUAAGUGAAGUAUAAAGAAGAAGAGAGAAUAGUAUAUUGAAAAUUGAAGAAAAUGGAAGGAUAAUAAUUUCAUCUUUAAAAGUUAGUUUAUAAUUAUAUAUUAUUUAAAUAAUUACGCGUACUUAUCUUUUUACUCUUUUCAAUUCAAAUAAAAUAUAAUGAUUUGUGGUAUUUAUUUUUAUUACUCAGAUUGUUCUAACUUCAGUUAAUUACAAUACUAUUUUCUCAUUCUAUAAUAUUUAUAUUUUUUCUUAAGAUAACAUAAUAUUUUUAUUCCUCUUAAUGAAGGAAAAUAAAUAAGAACUCUAAUUUUGAGAAUCCUCCACUCAAAUGACAGAUUAAAUUUAUGAGGACGGGACAGUGCGUUGCUGCAACGCUAUUGUGGUAUUCACAUCAAUCAUAUUAUGGUAUGUCACUUAAAAAAUUAAAUAUUCAUAAUUUUAUCAGUUUUAUUUCAUUGUGAUUAACUAGAGUACACUUGUGUGUACAGAUAUUUUGUGUCUGCCAACGAAUAUUGUGUGAUACUACAUAUUCAAUUUUUAUAUAUUUUAAAUUUUUGUUGAAUUAAAAUAUAUUUGUUGUGUUGGGUGUACUUUAUAUUAUAUUUUGUGUGUUUAUCAUAAUGUUUAAUUUAAUUUAAGGUGAGAUAUGUGGUUAAUUAAUGGAUUAGUGGUAAUUACUUAUGAUUAUAUAGUUUUUUUGUAAAAAUUAAACAAUGUGAAGGACAAAAUAGGAAAUAAAAAUUAUACCAUAAGGAAGUUAUUUCAAGUUUUAACGUGUAUAUAUAUAUAUAUAUAUAUAGUAUAAAUACAAUAUAAUUACCUAUUUAAAGUGAACCUUUUUUUGUACGUAGGAAAAGAAGGAUAGAACUAAGUUAACAACAACCCAAUUAACCUCGUUCUCUCCAUUGACAGUACCAAACAGGUAGCGUGUACAAAGUCUCAAGUUCACAAGUAAGACAUAUGUCAAUGGGCUCUGGUGCUGCUAUGCGCGAUACAUUUGUCUUCUUGGCUCAAGGAAAGCCUACAUCUCCCACACCACCAGACAUCUGAAAAUUGCAUGGAAACUUAAUGGUAAUUUUGAUAUGAUGGAUGUUGAGCAUGAGUAUUUUAUGGUGAAAUUUGACCUUGUUGUUGAUAGAGAAAAAGUCCUACAAGGAGGCCAUGGAUGAUUUUCGAUCAUUAUGUAGCAAUCACCCAUUGGCCACCUUAUUUUAAUUCAACAACAGCCACUGUCACGAAGACUUUGGUAUGGAUUCGACUUACAUGUUUGAAUAUGAUUUUUUAUGAUAAGAGUCUUCUUCUCCCCAUCGCAUCAACGAUUGGUCAGCCUUUUAAGAUUGACACCAAUAAGUUGAGGUUUGCGAGAGGUCGUUUUGCAAGGAUUUGUGUUGAAAUUGAUAGUAAGCCAGUGGUAGGUAAAGUUUGUAUCCAAGACAAUUGGCACAAAGGGGAGUAUGAAGGUUUGCAUAUUCUCUAUAGCUCUUGCGGUUGCUAUGGUCAUGUAUCUAGGAACUGCAAUAGUAUGUUACAACAACCAACUAAUGUGGAUGUCACGACCAAGGAGUCCCAAGUUGGUGGAGCAAGUGGCGGAAACCACCAUGGUGAAGGUACGUAGGUACGUCCACUGUCAGGCUAAACGAUGAGGCACCUACAGAAGAUUCUCAUGCAUUGAAUGGGGUAGUUAAUGUUGACAUUAAUGGAGGAUUACAAAAAAUUGAUGUGCAUGGGGAAAGAAGCCCAUGAAAACUAGCAAAGAUUCCAAUGUGAAAGCUAGCAAACUAUAUACUUGUGUCAUUAUGUAUGAUAGGUAUCUAAUAUGUUCACACAUAUUUUUUCCAAAAUACAGGAUACGUUAUGUUUAGGGAUAUGCGUAUAAAAGAAUAAAACACAUAAAAUAUGAUAAAAUUAUAAGUGUAAAUCAAAAUACCCAAAGUAAAAAAUAUAGUGGAAAUUUAAAAUCACUGCCAUCCGUGACAAAUCUAUCUUAUUCUAUUUUAAUGAAAACGAAUCUAUCCUAAAAUCAUUGCCUCUAUAACAAAUAUAUUUUAUCCUAUUUUAAUGAAAAUAAAUCUAUAUUAUCAUGUUUUAUUGGAAACGAAUCUAUCUUAUCUUGUUUUAUUGGAAACAAAUCUAUCUUAUCAUGUUUUAUUGGAAAUGAAUCUAACUUAUCUUGUUUUAUUAGAAACGAAUCUAUCUUAUCAUGUUUUAUUGGAAACGAAUCUAUAUAUUACUUUACUAAAAACGAAUCCAUGUAUCCUAUAUUUUAUUAAAAACGAAUCGAAUACGUGUCUUAAUAUUUAUUUAUUUUAUUUUAUUUUUUUAAUUUUUUGAUACUCUAUGGAUACAUAUCUUUCGCAAAUCCAAGCGUAUUCGUGUCAGAUACGUGUCGGACACCGACACGUGAGGGUGUUUGACGAAUCCAUGUUUCUAGCAGCAAGGAAUCACAAUCAAAACAUAACCGUUUUGAGGUUUCAAUGAUCGAAAAAUGGGAACUGAUUCCCUGGCUGUUCGUCCAGAUAAUAAGGCAGCAAAUGUUACACCCUUGGAGAAGAUUAUUAUGGGAAAUAAAAAAGGGCAAGAAUUAAUUCGCAUGCCACAAAAAAUGUUGCAUCAUUAAGAGGUGCGUUCCACGGCAAUGAAGAGGAAAAGGUGGGAGUUGAUAAUUUGCAUUCAAUGUCUCUUGUUAAUAGGCAUAUUAAUUUAGAAGGUGACGGCAAGGCAUUAAUUAGCCAUAAAGAAAUUAUUUCAUUGCCUAAUGCUCCUCCUUCACGUCUUGGUACAUUGGAUAUUAUUAAUAAUGCCACUAAUGGUGUUUCUCGGCUUGAUCAUUCAACUAAUAAUGGCACUAAUGCCAUGGGUGUGGCCAAGAACAAGGACGUCCUUCCUAUCGAUGAAGCGCAUCUUCAUUAUUUACUUCAAAGGAAUAUUUAUACAAGCUACAAAAAAUAAAAACUAACAACAGGAUCUCCUAGAAUAUCUCUAUUCACAAACUACUAUGCUAACAAUAGGAUAAGUACAAAUUCAAAAUAUACAGACUGUAACGUAACAAGUUACGGUUGGUGAGGCUUAUCACUAAUAUUCCCCCGCAAGUUGGACGAUUUGUAGAAUAGGUGCAACUUGGACAUGAGAAAUUCGAACUUAGCACGUGGUAACGGUUUUGUGAGUAUAUCAGCCAGCUGAUCUUCUGUGGAAACAUAUGAAACACGAAAAAUGCCUUUUUGAACCUGUUCACGUACAAAAUGAUACGCAAGAGCAAUAUGUUUCAUGCGAGAGUGAAAAACUGGAUUAGCACUAAGACUUGUGGCUCCUAGAUUGUCACAGUAGAUCACAGGUUUAGUGGUGAUGGUGUGCCCAAGUUCACCAAAGAGAGAGAUCACCCAUAGCAUCUCAGUUGCGGUGUCUGCGAGGGCUUUGUACUCAGAUUCUGUGGAUGAACGUGCGACUGAUCGUUGUUUGCGCGAACUCCAUGAGAUUGGUGUACUCCCAAGAUAAAGCAAAUAGCCCGUGGUUGACACAUAGUCGUCUGUAUCCCCGGCCCAAUCAGCGUCGGAAUAGGCAUGGAAAACCAUGGGAGAUGAAGCAGAAAUAUGAAUGCCAUGAUUUGGGGUACCCGCCAAAUAACGUAGAACUCUUUUGAGAGCUGACCAGUGAACCGUGGUUGGAGUUUGCAUGAAUUGAGAGAGUUUGUUUAUAGCAAAAGCAACGUCUGGUCUGGUUAUGCUGAGAUACUGCAGACUCCCCACUAGUUGUCGAUAUUCAGUUGGGGAAGGUAUAGGGGUGCCACUGGAACGAACUAGAGGAACCGAUGCACAAAGAGGAGUUGAUGUGGACUUGGUUUCAGCCAUGCCAGCCUGAACAAGCAAGUCUUGAACAUACUGUCUUUGUGUAAGAAACAGUCCAUCUGGAGACUUUAGUACCUCAACGCCAAGGAAAAAAUUGAGCUUGCCUAAGUCUUUCAAAGAGAACUUAGCAGCUAGACGAGAUAUAAGAGCAGAGAUGACAUUAGUUGAGUUACCUGUUACAAUAAUAUCAUCAACAUAGACUAACAAAUACAAUAUGGUUAGUCCAUGCCGAAAAAUGAAGAGGGAGGCAUCAGCAACUGAGUUCUUAAAUCCUAUGGAUAUUAGGAAGUUACGAAGCUCAUUAUACCAGGCACGUGGUGCCUGUUUGAGGCCAUACAAGGCUUUGCGGAGACGGCAAACAUGAGUGGGAUGAUCCUUAUCAACAAACCCUGGUGGCUGAUGUAUGAACACUUUGUCAGAUAGGGUACCCUGUAAAAAAGCAUUGUUGAUAUCUACUUGGCGAAGAGACCAGCCAUUAUGAACUGCAAGAGUGAGAAUAACCCGAACCGUCACGGGCUUGACAACAGGGCUGAAAGUUUCACUGAAAUCCCAUCCAGGACGUUGGUGAAAACCUUUUGCGACUAACCGAGCUUUAUACCGACUAAUAGAACCAUUAGGAAGACGUUUUAUGCGGAAUAUCCAUUUGCAACCAACAACAUUCUGGCCAACAGUGGAGGGUACGAGAUCCCAAGUAUGAUUGUGGCGAAGUGCAUCAUAUUCCAUUUGCAUGGCAGCCCGCCAAUCAGGAUCCUUAAGAGCUUGGGUAAUGGUGGAGGGUUCGGUUGGGUUUGGGGAGGCUGUGAUGUGUAAGUUUAGUUUGGAUUUAGGUUUGGUUAUAUUGUUUUUGGACCUAGUAACUAUUCCAGUAGGUAUAUGGGACGGUGGGGUGGGAAUUGUAGGGCGGUCAAGUGCAGGUGGGUGGGGUAAUGAUGAUUGGCUUGUUGCAGGUGGAUUGGUAUUCAGUGUUUGGCUAGGUGCAGGUGGGUUGGGGUCUGUUAGUUGGUGCGGUGCAGGUGGGUUGGGGUCUGUUGGUUGGUGCGGUAUUAAAGGGAGGGAGUUGUUGCAUAUUGGGACGGUGAGAUCAGGUGGGGACAGGUAUGGGUGCCGUAGGUAAUGUGUGGCUGUUUGAGAAAGGAAAUUCAGUGUCAAUGAACCUUACAUGUCGUGACACAUAUAUGCGGCCUGUAGAGGGAUCAAGACAGUUGUAGGCAUUUUGAUCAGCAGCAUAACCUACAAAAACACACUUGGUAGAUUUUGCAUCAAGUUUAUGAUUCGAAUAAGGUUUAAGCCAAGGAAAGCACAAACAUCCAAAACUCUUAAGCUUAAGAUAAUUAGGGGAUGUGUUUAGUAAUUUAGAAAAAGGUGAUUGGUAGGAAAGUAUGGGAGUGGGGAGACGAUUUAUGAGAUAAGCAGCUGUUGUCAUUGCAUAUGGCCAAUAUUUAAGAGGUACACCAGAGUGUGUUAAUAAAGAGAGACCAGUUUCAGCAAUAUGACGGUUCCGUCUUUCUGCAAUACCAUUAUGUUCAGGUGUGUGGGGUGGGGUUGUUUUGUGACUUAUUCCAUGAUCACCUAAAAACGAACGUAAGCCAAUAUACUCUCCGCCAUUAUCAGUAUAAAGAAUUUUUAUUUUGUUUUUGAAGUAAUUUUCAACAAGUGAUUUAAAUUUUGGAAAAAUGGAGUAAACAUCAGAUUUCUUGCGCAUUGGAUAUAGCCAAAUAUAACGUGUAAAAUGAUCAACAAACAUGCAAUAAUAUUUUAGACCAUCAAUGGAUAUAACUGGAGAAGUCCAAACAUCUGAAAAUAUUAUUUCUAAUGGAAAAGAUGAUACAAGAGAUGAUUCAUGAAAAGGUAGUUUGUGACUUUUACUUAUUUGACAAGAUGAGCAAUCUGAUUGUUUAAACUCCAAAGAACCUAAGGAAAAUUCACGUUGAAUAAAACUAAAAAUUGAAGAGGAGGGAUGUCCCAAUUUGUGGUGCCAGCCUGCUGAUUUAUUUAACUGAAGAUGAUGAACGGACGGAGAGUAUGAGGGCCAAACAUAAACAUCGUUGAUGCAUGAUCCUUUAAGCUUCGUGUGACAUGUUUGGAGAUCCUUCAUAACAAAAGAACCAGGUAAGAAAACAAGGGCAUAAUUGGUUUCUUUGGUUAGUUUGGAAACAGAUAGCACAUUUUGUUUCAUGGAGGGUACACAUAGGACAUUAUAUAAUGAAAUAUCAUUAAGCUUAAGAGUACCAGAAUGAGAAAUGUGCAAACCUGAACCAUCACCCAUAAAAAGUGAAUCAGGACCAGUGUAUGGAUGAUAAACCGCAAGAUUGUUGAGAUCAGUGGUGACAUGGUGUGUGGCACCACUAUCAACGAGAUAAUGAGGAUUUGAGGAGCCCAUGGUCAUGGUGUGAGCUUGUGGAACUGUGUAAUUGUUGGGUUGACGGGGUGGUGCUUGCGGAACCUGAAUGGUAGGAUGCAGUUGACGGAAAGUAGUGCACUGCUGCAAUGAGUGGCCAACAGUUCUGCACCAUUGGCAUUUGCCUAAAUAUGGCCUUGGACCUCCUGGACAAGAUGCGGAAGAUUGCUGUGAAGGUGCAUUCCACGAUGAAGGUGGUGGAGGAGAUGACCGUGGUUGAGGCGGUGUAAACGUCCUCACCUUGGGUUUGUUGGACUUAGUUUGAGCAGUAAGUGCUGUUGCUGGACCAAUGUUUAGCUGGUGAGUUGUCUUUAAAUAAAGUUCGUGAUGUAUGAGCUUCUCGUGGAGCUCAUCAAAGACAAUGGGAUUGUCUCUUGCGUUAACACCAUCAAUAAUGGGCUUGUAACUGUCAUCAAGACCACGAAGUACAUAAUCAGUAAUAUCCUCAGCGGGAACGGGGUGACCAAUGGAUGCAAGUAGAUCAACAACAAUUUUAAUGUUGUGCAUGAACUCCGUAACAGAUAAAGGUCCUUUCACCGUGGAACGCAAGCGAUCUUUGAGUUGCUUAACAUGUCCUUGGGAAGCAUGGGCAAAAGUACCUUUGAGAGUCGACCAGAGGGCAGCGGAGGUUUUGGUCUGAGUAACCAGCGAUGCAACGGAGUCUGAUAGCGUGCUAAGGAGAGCGCCAUAGAUCAGACGAUCUUGACGUUUCCAUGUUAGGUACGCUGGGUUGUUUUGGCUCACAGGUGGGGUCUCAAUGCUGGUGAUGAGAGCCUCGGGUGCUGGAUGAGAGCCAUCGAGAAACUUGUAGAGAUCAAGACCAUCAAGAAUGGCUUCUAUUUGCAGCUGCCAAUUUAUAUAAUUGGAUUGUGUCAGUUUGACAACACCUGAUAAAGUAACAAAGGAGAAGGGCUUUGUUGGUUCAUGGGGGUUAGGGAAUGUCAAGUUUGAUUCCGCAGCCAUGCUUAUGGUGAGAGAGAAAGAGGGAGCGACGCCCUUGAGAUAGAAAGAAAAGGAAUGGUGGGAGAGGUAGGAUCAGAAAAGGAAAUCUGAUACCAUAUGGAUGAAGCGCAUCUUCAUUAUUUACUUCAAAGGAAUAUUUAUACAAGCUACAAAAGAUAAAAGCUAACAACAGGAUCUCCUAGAAUAUCUCUAUUCACAAACUACUAUGCUAACAAUUAGCUAACAAUAGGAUAAGUACAAAUUCAAAAUAUACAGACUGUAACGUAACAAGUUACGGUUGGUGAGGCUUAUCACUAAUACUUCCCCCUCAGUAAGAGCUCCAUCAUCCAGGUUCGGGUAGUGAUGUUUUGUGGGUUGAAAAUCCACCAAAUUGUACGUUGGUGGAUGGCUGCGCUUUUUCUAAAAAAGACUCGAUGCUUAUGGAGAAUGAGACGUAUGGCUUAAUGAAGGAGGGUGAGAAAGGUGACACCAAGCUUGUUGUUCAGGAAGGGGGUAAUUUUUCCAUGGGUUGCCAUUAGUUCGGUUUGUUUGCCGGGUCUUUGCUUUUACUGCUUUUUUAAUGAUAGAGUUCAAAGAUUUUUCAAUUUUAUCGUGGAACAUUCGUGGAGCCGUCAAUUAGGAUGGUCACCGUCUUGCUAGGGAAUUAGUGAGAAAGUAUAAGCCUUCUCUAAUUUUUCUCAUUGAGACUCAAUGUCAUUUUAACAGAUCUAAAGAUUUUUGGAAGAAGUUGGGUUACAAGGAUAGUGAUAUUGUUGAAGCUGUUAGGCAUGCUGGUGGCAUUUGGGUCCUUUCUGAAAUUGGGAGUAACAUUAGCUGCUUGGUUAUGAACCGUUGUUCUCAAGUCAUUUCCUCGAAACUUCAUUGUGACAAUAAGGAGUGGAUUUGUACAGCUGUUUAUGUGAGCCCAUCAAGUAUGAUCGUGGUUUGUUGUGGCAGCUAGAUUCUCUUUAAUUAUAACGGGGCAGCUAGAUUCUCCCAUGUUCUUGAGGUUUGUGGCCUUAUGGACUUAGGUGCUGUUGGAAGUAGGUAUACUUGGUUUAGAAGGGAGCAUAAUGGUCGUAGUAUCUCUAAUAGGCUUGAUAGGGGGUUGGCUAACUGUUCCUGGCGUACUGCUUUUCCGGAAGGGUACGUGGAGAAUCUUACUAAGCUUCACUUUGAUCAUUGCCCUCUCCUAGUUAGAUGUGGGGGUUAUGGUGAGAGUUCUCGCAAUAGACCGUUUCGUUUCCAAGCAACUUGGACAACCCAUGAGGAAUUUAUCAAUGUUGUCCAGGAAGCUUGGGCUCAAGGGGAGUUGGGAGUUAUUGAUGGGCUUUCAAGGGUUAGAGAUGGGGCUAUUACUUUUAAUAAAGAGAUAUUUGGAAUAUUUUCCGAAGAAAAAGGCAUGUUGAGGCUCGAAUUUCAGGUAUUCAAAGGAGACUUGAAGUUUUUGAUUACCAGGAUCUGGUUAGACUGGAAAUCCAAUUGAGGCGUGAGUACAAUAAAAUCCCGAGGCAAGAGGAACUCUUGUGGUUUCAGAAAUGUAGAGAGCAAUAGGUGAAAUUUGGAGAUAGAAAUACUAAGUUCUUCCACACUCAAACUAUUGUACGACGUAAAAUAAAUAGAAUACACGGGCUAUUUUUUGAUGAUGGAAUUUGGUACAUUGAUCCUGAGUUGUUCCAGAAUGAAGCUAACAGGUACUUUCAGAAUAUUUUCUGCAGCAAUGCUUCUGUUUUCCUUGAUAAGUGCGUGGUGGAGACUCCAGUUCUUUCAAAUAGUGGAGUGGAGAGUUUAAUUGCUCUGGUCACUAUGGAGGAAGUUACUAAAGUAAUUAUGGGUAUGCCUUCAUUCAAAUCCCCUGGUCCUGAUGGUUUCCAGCCAAUCUUUUUCAAGAAGUAUUGGCCUGUGGUGGGCAAUAUUAUUUGGAAGUUGGUUUCUGAGGCUUUUCAAUUUGGCAUUUCUGAUGUGCGCCUUGUUCAGACUCUUAUCGUGUUGAUUCCCAAAAUUGCUAAUCCUACAUCUUUAAAGGAGCUUCGACCCAUAAGCCUUUGUAAUGUGGUGUAUAAGGUUAUUACUAAAGUAUUGGUGAAUAGAUUGAGAUCUUACUUGGAUGAUCUGAUCGGCCCCCUUUAGAGUAGCUUCAUUUCGGGGAGAUGCACUUCUGAUAAUAUUAUUUUAGCUCAGGAAGUUAUGCAUUAUAUCCAUAAAACGAAGGCUAAGAAGGGUGUUAUGACCUUUAAAAUGGAUCUAGAAAAAGCUUAUGAUAUGGUUAAUUGCGAUUUCCUUCACCAAACUCUUGUACAAUUCGGAUUUCCUACUAUUACCGUUAAGCUCAUCAUGUGGUGUAUCACUCUAUGGGGAGGUGUCCUUAUUGUGGAAUGGCUCCAAGCUUGAUAGUUUUAAGCCAAGCAGAGGCCUACGUCAAGGCGAUCCUUUGUCCCCUUAUCUUUUUGUCUUGUGUAUGGAAAAAUUAGCUUUAUUGCUCACUAAGAAAGUGGACCUCGGGAUGUGGCAGCCUAUUAAGCUUUCUAGAGGAGGCCCACCUCUAUCUCAUAUUUUGUUUGCAGAUGAUGUUCUCCUUUUUUGUAAGGCUACAAAAUCCCAAGGCAUGAUGGUUUCUUCUACUCUAAAGGAAUUUUGUCAAGCGUCUAGGUUGAAGGUUAAUAAAGCCAAGUCCAAGUUUGUGUGUUCAAGGAAGGUGUCUAAUCAAAAGAAGAAUGCUUUCAUGGGUAUUUGUUCGAUGCGAGUGGAUAGUAAUCUUGGAAAUUACCUUGGUAUUCUUCUUGUUAUAGGUAAGGUCAACAUAUCUAUUUUUAAUCCUAUUUUAGAUAAUAUUCUGCGUCACAUGUCUACUUGGAAGGCAAGUCUUUUUAACAAAGCAGGCAGACUUUGACUUGCUAAGUCUGUUCUUUCUUCCAUCCCGGCACACUAUGCAGGUAAUGUGGCUUCCUCAUAGUGUCUGCAGUGAUAUUGAUAGGAUGACUAUGAACUUUCUUUGGGGUGGUGAUGUUAAUAAGCGCAACCUCAAUCUUGUCGGGUGGGAUGUCAUCUCUACCCAUAAAAGCGAUGGUGGUCUGGGCAUAAGGGAUGCUCGGUUUGCUAAUAUUUCUUUGCUAGGCAAGCUGAGCUGGAAUUUACUCGGGAAUAAUGAUAAAUUAUGGUAUAGGGUUCUUUCCGAUAAGUAUUUGGGGGAAGAGUCUUUGAUGUUUGCUCAAGUUAAAUCUUCAACUUCCUUUGUUUGGAGAAGUUUGUUGAAGGCUUUUAACCUUCUAAGGGAAGGCUUCAAUAUGCACUUGGGUGAAGGAAACAAGUCUCUUUGGUAUGAUAAUUGGAUGGGUGGUGCCAAGUUAUGUAAUUUCAUCCACUUGGGUUUUGAUACUCAGCUUUAAGUGAAGGAUAUUUGGCAAGACUACUCUUGGGACUUGAGUAGUUUAUAUACUAUGCUCCUUUUAGAGGUGAAUGAUCUUAUACGAUAGUACUUCUCUCCAAGAACGCAGGUUGAGGAUGAGGGAUGGAUUUGGGAUGGUCAUGCUUCUGGGGUGUAGUCAGCUAUCUUAGGCUAUCAGUGGCUUAGCUCAAGUGAUAAUGACGUUGGCACCAAUGAUAAAGUUUGGCAGUAGAUUUGACGUCUUAAAAUCCCUGAGAAGGUGAAAUUUAUGUGUUGGCUUGGAAUGCAUGACGCUCUACCUUCCAAUGAACUUCGUUUCAAACGAAAGUUAGCUUCUGAUCCUCUUUGCAAACAAUGCCAGGGUGGUGUGGAGAACCUAUUGCAUAUCCUUAGAGAUUGUCUGGAGUCCUCUCUUCUUUGGGAUAUGCUUGGUUUGACUACUAGUUCCUUCAUGAGGAGGCAUUCCUUCAAGUUCUGGAUUAUGGAGAACUACAAUCAUCAUUUUGGGCUUUUGUUCAUGGCAGGUGUAUGGUGGGCUUGGCAGUGGUGUAAUGAGGUAUACCUUGGUUUAAACAAUUAGGAUGUUAACUUUGUUGCUCGUCAUGUCCACCUGGAUUUCUAUGAUUGGCAUCAUAUUGGCCACCUUGAGAACAUAACUGACAAUUUCACUUUGUUCCAGUGGACCUAUCCACUUGUGGGCCAAGUGAAAAUCAAUGUGGAUGAGAGUUGUAUCAUUCAUAGUGGUAUUAUUGGUGGAGGUGGAGCAAUUCGUGAUCAUGAAGGGAGGUGGUUGGUUGGGUUCUCAGCAAAUUUUGGCAGAGGCACUCCGAUUUUAGCUGAGCUCUUGGCUAUUGAUCAAAGUCUGAAUCUUGCAUGGAGUCAUGGUUUCAAAAAUAUCAUCCUUGAAACUGACUGUCUGGAAGGAGUUCACAUUUUUCCAGAGGGUGUGCAUAUAUUCCUUCAAGAUAUUUUGCAAGUGGUGAGGAAGAUUCGAGCGUGGAUUGCUCUAGAUUGGGUUGUCGUUAUUAAGCAUAUAGAUCAGGAAGCUAACAGUGUGGCUGGUUCUCUAGCUAAGAUUGGAUCUCACUCAUCUGCUAAUCUCGUGGUGUGGAGUUUGGCUCCUUUGGAGUGUCAAAUGCAGCUUCAUCUUGAUCGUUGCCCCUCUGACUAGUUUGUUCUCUUUUAUUUCUGAUGUACAAAAAAAAACUAAGUUAACAAGGAAAAAUAUAACUACGAUAUUAGUUAAGAGUUUGUUGGGGUUGAGUCCUAAACCUUCAGCUCUUCCAAUGAGAGAGAAACUAAUUUAGCCAUAAAAUUUGCAACUAUAUUAACGUUUCUCGUAACAAAUGAUACUUGACGAACCAAAAAAGAGCCUAUCAAAAUCUAACAUUAUUAUCACAUAUAGAAAGCAAAUAAUCUGAAUUUGAAUCUCCUUAGAAAUCAACUUAACAACUUCCAACUAGUCACUUUCCAAAAUCACAUCCUGAAACCAAAACUCGAAGCCAAAGACAACCCAUUUUCUAUAGCAAAAAAUUCUACUAAAAUUGAGGACACUUUACCAUAAUUACAAAGAAAAACCCGACAUCCACAACCUUAUGACCGCUAAGGACACCACCCUUCCCAUUAUAGUGUGAACUGUUUACAGUUGUUUUAAAAAUAUCACUAAUCUAAAUGUUAUAUUUUUUUCAUUUCAUUACUAUAUUCCUUAUUCAUUACCAACAAGGAGAGAAUGUAUCGCUAACAUACAAAUGUACGGAUAAUAUAUACAUUUUUAAUAAUGUCAAUACAUGAGUAAUAAAUAUCUUUUAAAUUAUUAAAAUAUUAAAAUACAUACAUAACAUGUAGUUUCUUAAGCACUUGAAUUUGCAGGUAAAAUAUAUCUUCUUAAUCAGGUAAAUGCUGAUAUAAUAUUUAUAUUCUUAAUCAUUUAAAAAAAAUACCGCUAUGUGUGAAUACAUCUUAAUUUGCUAGUUUUUAUGAAACAUUAUCAAUUUGAUAAAGUAUUAGGACUACUUGCUGCUAUAAAAGACAAUUAUCCACCGUCCAUGGGUCCCACUACUUUUCACCCAUUCAUGCCCAUUCUGAUCGAAUCGCCGCGUCAUUUAUCUCUUCUCCUACGACGUCGUUUAUUCGUUCUUAAGCAUAUUAUAUUGGUGCUGACUUGGCGUAACAUGAUUGGUUAAUGAAACUGGUUGCAAAAUAACUGAAUGCACAAGAACGCUUCGAAAACAAUCGCACACUUUCAGCCCUAGAAGAGGAAAAUUGGGGAUUUAGGGUUUAUAUUUUCCUUCAUUUUUUCACGCGAAAAUGGAAUCGGAAGGUUAGGCCUUCAAAUCUUCAAUAAAUGGUUCUUUGAUUCAACUCAAUUUUUGUUAUUUGAAACAAUAAUGCAGUAUGUUUGAUUUUUUUACGCUUUAUCAUGUUUUAGGGCAAAAAGGUACCAUGAAUCCUUCAGCAAUGUUAGCUUCUCUUCUUAGUAGGAGAGCUAAACUUCACGAGGAACUUCGCAGCAUUGAAAAGCAGGUAAUUGUUUUUUUAAUUUCACAUCAGGGUUCGUUUAUUUGCUUCGAAUUUGUCCGUGUAUGAAAAAAGUUGAAAACCCUAAAAAAGGGGUUUUCUCUUAAUUUAUGCAAUUCCAUAUAAUAAAUUUGGAAAAUAUCAUUUAGCCUAAAAUUGGGCACGUCACUAGCUCAAUAUUAUCACUUAUGUUUCUUGUUGAACUAGGCAUGCAGAAAAUGAUGCACUUUGGGUUCAAUAUAUUAUAUUAUAUCAUCAUAAGCUUAAAUUACGUGUUUAUGUUCACCAACAUGAAAUGAAAUAAUGAAGUAAAGCUCCUAUUAAGGACUCCACAGUCCAACAUGACUUCUAGCAAAAGGGGGCUAAUGUUUUCCCCUUAAUACAGGUUUAUGAUAUGGAGACAAGUUAUUUACAGGAUCCUGGACAAUGUGGCAAUGUAUUAAAAGGAUUUGAAGGGUUCCUAUCUUCAUCAAAGAACACUGCAUUGUAUGGGUUUUUUCUCAGGCUUAAUUGUUCAGUUCUUCUGUUGCUUUUAUUUUUGUAAGAGUUAUUUUAUUUAAUUUUUUUAUGGUGCAAUUCAAAACUUAAGAGAAUUUAAAACUGGAAAUUAAAUUACAUCAAUGCAAUUCUGUCCAAUUUUGUAAUUCAAAGUCUAAAUAUGUAAAAAUGAACAUGAAAUCAGUCAUUCUUUAUACUGUAAUUCAAGACUAGGAAAUUUUUAGCACACAACAUAGUAUACUUCACCGUUAACCCAUCAUGGCAUGUGAAGAACUUCAUUGCAUUCUAGUGCUGCCAUUGCCCCACCAUAUAGCAACUUUGUCUCUCUUGACCCCUCUCACCCUCUCCUUUGAUGACACUAUGAUUUGAAUGCCUAAUUACAUUUACAAUUGCUUCCCCUUUAUGUGGUCCAAUCCAAUCAUCCCUCUUGGUCGAAGGGACCUAAUUAUAUUUACAACUGCUUCCCCUUUAUGUGGUGCCAUCUUCCCUCUUGGUCUAAGGGAGACAUUAACAUGAAUCUAUGAACCUGUAACCAUUCCUCUUGGUCAAAAGGAAGCAUCUGUGUGGAUCUCUGAACCUUUUGAUCUCUACCUAUGCUGCAUCGAUGUGGUCAACAGAGACAUCAACGUCAAUAGAGAAUUGUCCUCUACAGAGUAGCUGCCAUAGCCAGAUAAAGUCUCCUCUACAUGCUGGUGGUUGGUGGCAGUGACGUUCCAAUCAUGUUCCUUCUGUGGUGUUUCGGGAGAGGAGUUAGAUGAGGGAUUUCCUAAAUUUCCUCAAUAGAGGUGUCAUUUCUAGUUCUCUGUUUAGGGUUACAAAAAAUACCCAAUGAAAAUUCCCAACAUUUAUUAAAUUCUUCCAUUUAAUAUCCAAACAAAGUAGUCUAUACAAAAUCAUUUUAGUUCCCCUCAAUAGAUGCAUUACCUCCUUUGAAUAACUUAUCCAAGCACUCUCAUAUUUUCUGAUGAUUCUAAGGAAAAUGGGAAGAGUAAUGGCAUCUUAGUAGUUAAUCCUAUUGGGAUCCAUGGCUUUCUCGGGACCGCAUCCCGACAAAUGGCAUUGCUAGGAUGCAAUACUGUCCGGUAUCCCAGUUCACUGUCGUGGCUGUCUCAUGCUGUUAUCCCAGCUGCUAUGGCUUUUUUGCGGCAGGAUCUCACUGCAACAGGCAUAUAGUGAAAUCCAUGUCCCCCCUCAUUUUCAAACCCCUUUCUCCUUUGUUUUUGGACCCAAUCAUCUUUUCUCCCCCAACCCUAAUUCAUUCUAACGGCUCAGGGGUGAUCAGCUUUCAUGCCAUUCAACCAAACACUGCUCUAACAAUUCUCAGCUCUCAACUUUCAUAACUUUUUUUAAUGCCAUUUCCCAUUCUUCUUCUGGAACCCAUUCUCAUCUCAGUUUUAACCAUGCCACCCAUUUUGAUCUAUAAUUUUUAUAUGCGCUAUAUUGGAUUUUAGUUAUCUUUAAUUGUGAAUUUUCCUAUUUUUGACCAUUUAUAUGUCUAUAUACUUAUUUAGUUUCCCUGGAUGUCCAAAUCCCAGCCACCCAGCUAGCCACUAUCCCAUUUUUGGGGUCGGACACUCUGCUAAGUGAAUGGUCUGUUAUAUGUGGUCAUAAUUCAUAUUAUUAGGUAUCUAUUCAGGUCUUUUGUAAUUUUGAUAUUAAUGGCUGUAGGAAAUCUAACUCAUAAGAUUUGCUAUGAAUAUUGAUUACUACAAUGCCUCAUAAAUUGUAUCUCGCUGGGUGUUUCCCAAAUGCAUUAGUAAUUGGGUCUUAUUAAGACUUCAGAUGAUGAACUACAGAAGUAGAAUUGUUUGAAAUACUCCGAAACAAGAGGAGUUCAAAGAGUUUUGCUCAAAGCGCGAUGGAGUUUUCAACGGUUGUCUUGUAUAUCUAUGUUCUAUGUUAAAAUGAAUAGUAUUUACUGGUCUUAUGCAUCUAUUCAUCUUAAGUAGAUGACAUGCUGAUUUAUUAUUCAUUAUGGAUGUUUGUCUUUGUGUAAGCAUGCUUGCAUGUGUUCAUGUAUUUCAAAUGAGAUAUACAUUUAAUCAUAGUUUUUCUAAAGCUUCAUGUUCAUGUUUGUAUGACCUUGUUAAAUUUAAUUCUCAUGGCAGCUUGAAGCGAUCAAGAAAGUUUCAGCCCGAAGAUAGGCUCUUUUCAUUAUCUUCAGUGACCUCGCCAGCGGUGUGUUUCUGAUAUUCAGUGAUAAGCUUCAAUCCAAGAAUAUAAAAAAGAAUAUCUGCUUGUGAGCACUGAGUAAUAAGAGUGACUAGGAAUAAUUAAAUAUAUCUUCACACUGUUUGUUUCUUUUUCAAGUUUCACAUCCUUAUUAUGAGUGGUCAAAUUGAUUUAAUGACCUUUGUGACCGUUUAGCAUGUUAAUUUUCGAUUUGGAUUCAGUGACUUUGAAGGUUGGUAACUUUGGUGACUUUAGAUCAAUUUAGAACAUAAUUAAUAAAUCUUAAUUGACCUAGAUCAAUCUUACAGACAAUUGACCAAGAUCAAAUUGUGAAGUCCCUAAAUCCGGGAUUUGGUCAAUUGAGUUCAAGAAUGGCCAAUGUGUUUCGACUUGGUCUAAAGUCACCAAAGUCACUGAAUAUAUUCCUGCUAAUUUCUAGGUAGGUUGGUAAGACUGAUUGAAGCAGAUUGGAGGCAAGAGUUUCCAACACUAUUGAAUAACAGUACAUCCAUUAUUCUUUGCCACCUUCUCUAAAAGGCACACGGCACACAUGUAAUGGAAAAGUUCAUUUAGGAAGUUUGACAAAGAAUGCUUGAUCUGAAUGUACCAUUUUAAUCAUUUUGGAACAUAAAACAGUCAGAGGUUACCUCAGUUAUAUGAUUGAUCUAUAUUUGGUAUUUGAUACAAGUAGUACUUGAAAUAUCUUGGUCAUAUACGGUUCGCAAGUCUACUUCGUAUUGGCAUAGGAGAAAUUAGUUCUGAGAUUAGGCAGGUCCUGUCAUUUGAUUUGAACUUCGCCAGAUGGUAGGUAUUACCGCAUUUGAUUAAGGAACUGUAACAACUUUUUUGUGGUGGAUAGUAUACAUCUGAGUUUCAAGUUGCUUAAACCUAGCUCUUCAACUCAGGAUCCUUUACUGGACAUGAUUCUAUCAUGCUCUUAAAACCUCUUCUCUGCUUUACUUUUCAUUCUUCCAAUUCAUUUAAUAAGUGUUUGCAACAUCAUCUUUUCAUUCAUAGGAUAUUUCUGACUUGUAACAUGCAUUUUCUUCAUCUGUUUAUUAUAGGCAGAAGAGAUAGCAGCUGGACGAGAUGGUGAGUUCAUAUAAAUGAGCAUUGCAACAACUUACCUAGCUUGAGUUUUAUUGUCUGUUCAUUGUAUUUCUGUUUAACUCAGAUGGGAGAUCAGAUUUUGGUCCUGGUCGUUCAAAAGGCGGAGGAAUUUAUGCAAAUGGACAGUAAGCACUCAACCAAUGUGUCUCUGCUAUAAUCUUGUUGAAUUAAAUAUUAUUUUAGUUUAGAGAAGCCUGUUUCUACGAAUUGUUGCAAAUAUGCAUGCAAUACAUGUUGUAUGAGCUAAAAAAACUGCAUAUUUAUAAUAGGGGUAAACCAAAGAAAGGAAGAGGCGCACCAAGAGAUGCGAAGAGGAUGAGAGCCUCAAGCGAACAAGAUUUUGAUUAUGAAGAUGAUCCUGAUUUGACACUGUGAUUGAAAAAUGUGGGUGCAAAUUUCUGUUAAACUUUGUGGAAUGCUAGAGCUUGAAAAAAUCUGCUUUCAUUAUGUACGGAGCGCAGUUUGUGCUCUGCAUUUGUCUACUUUCUCUGUAUAAAUUCUUCUAGUUCAGGUAGUUGUGGAUUUUGUACUUCUCAUGUACAAAAGGCAUGGGUAAAAUGUUAUGUUGCAAUGCAACUGGAAUGUAGUAAAUGGUUCUUUGUACAUUUUUGUUGGCAAGUCAAGAUUGUUAUAGAUUUGUUUUUUUCUUAUAUGAUUUGGUAGUAAUACUGUAAACUUGUAACAAGAAAAAUGAAGUCUGCUAUUUUACUAUGGACUUAUAGUUUUUGAAAUUUAUUUUUCCAGUUGUUUGUGUAUGUGGUAUGAAUCCUUCCAAAUACUUAAUUCUGAUCUUUAAAGGUUCUGAUUUUUAAUUAUGCCAAACAGUUAAUUUACACAUUUUCCCUACUUUUCUCUGCUCAAACCUUUGCCCACCCGCACCUUUAAUACAUAUUGUUGUCAUCAUUGUACUUAAAAGAAAAAGAAUGUAUAUACUAACCGUAUAUGGAAUUUAUGUAUUAUUAUUUAUUAUCUAUCAUUUAUAUUUAAUUAUUAUUAAUUCUUAAUGUAGUGCUUAUAUAUAAUUUUUUAGAUUAACGGUGUGUAUAUAUUAGCAAAGGAUGGCAUUAUUCAAGUGACUGUAGUGAUACCAAUGAUCAUAAAUUCAUAAUAGGAGAAGUGGUGGUAGUUUUGCGGAUAAUAUUGCAUUGAUAAAGAUUUUUGGUCUGAAGUUCUUUCAUCUUAUAAGUCCAACGAGACAAGUAAUUUACAUGACAUUGACUCUUAGUAUGAUAUUUACCCCAUAGUUGAGGAAUUAUUAGAAAAAUUGUAACCGUAGCCUGUUCUUCUAUUUGUUUUAUUUUACAAAGGUGAUAAAGGACUUUGAAAAUUUUCCUUUAUUCAAACUAUCAAAAUACUAAUUUAAUUUAGUCCAAUCCUAAUGAGAUUUUGUAACCUUUUUUUUGGGGGAGAGGGAAAAAGUUAUUUAUAACCUGAUUAUUAUGUAAAAAUGUAAAAUAAUUACUAAAGAACAAUUUGACUAUCAUUCGCGAUUUUUAAAGAUUAAACUAAGACAUUUUAUUUUCCGUUUUUGGUCUUUAUUGAAAGUUAUAACUUUUUUAUACUGAAGUUAAAUUCCCCCACUCUAUUCCUUCUCUAUACUAUUUUGGGAAUUGAAAUCCCUAUGUUUGAUUGAGUUGAAAAAUGAAUGAAGUAAUGAACCGGUGGAAAAGCUCAAUUUUAGGUUAAAAAUGCUAUUACUUUGCUUAUAAUCUUUAAUAGUUAUAAAGCAUAGGAUGGGUACAUUUCACAAUAAAUUUACCACAGCUUACAGUUUUGAACAAAGUAAAUAUAGAAAGAUCAAAAAUUGAGCAAACCAUAAGAACAACAACUAACAUUUAACAAUGGUGCAACAUUUAACAUUUAACUUGUGAUUUUAUCUCUUUUUUGAAAUUAAUUUAAAGAGGUCACCACCUAAUUUUCUACUUCGACUAAAAACUAACCCUUAAAUCCCGACUUUAAAAGCAUAUUUUGCACUAAUAUUAAUGAAGUAAGGAUCCUAUUUAAUGGGAUAAAAAAGUGAUAGGAAAAAUAACAUACUAUGAUAUUUUUAUCAUUUUAUUACAAUUGUAUUACACUUUUACUGCAAACAAAAGCAAAAAUAAGAUCUUCUCUAGAUAGAAUCCUUGUUGGUAUUUAGUGUAGCUUCUAGAUUUAAUGCAUAUUUUGUACUAAUAUUAGUGUAGCUUCUAGAUUUAAUGUUUGUCUUUUUUUACUAUAUAGGAAAAACAAUAAGGUUACACAAUGAUUAGCCAAAUGGGCAAUGCAAUCUCUUGUAGCUAGGGUUUGACUUGAUAACUCCAUACUUCAUUUCUUAAACCACAUGAAUAUAUUCUCAUAUCUAACACAUUAUAAUACGAACAAAUUAAUCUUCCACAGUCAAAUAAAGAUAACCCCGAAAUAGAAAAUAUACCUUUUAAGUCAAGAUAAAAAUUACCCACAUAACAUAAGAAAAACAAAAGAUGUUGACAAAACUUCAAAAGUCUUGUAUAUAUUAUUAAGCCGAUUGUACAACAUCAUAUAAGGAGGCUCAAAGUAUACAAGGAUACUUUAUUAUUACACCUUAUACCAAAGUUCUAAACAUCAAAAACUUAUUGGAUCAUAAGAUGAGGCCACCUUAGUUUACACCAUUAUUAUGUUAUCAUGCCACCUUAACAAGGUUGUGAUCCUGAGACUGAGAUUGAGGAGUAACCAAAGGGUUAUGGUUUCCAUUAUAUUUGAGCUCACUCACUUGAUUCAAGCUGAGCCUAAAAGCAUUGGCAAGAACCUCAGCAGGGAUGCCCCUAAACACUUGCUUCAAUGGGCUAGUGGUAGCUUGGUCAUUUGUUUUGAAUGCAAUGAACUCAAAUCCUUCAUCUCCUGCUUGGUGUGCUACCACAAAGUUUUGUGGCACCACUAAUAGUUGUCCCCUUCUAAGGUCAUCAUUGAACACUGAGUUUCCUUGGCUGUUUACCACUUGAACCCUUCCUCUCCCUCUUAUCACAUAGAUCACACUGUUUGCAUUUAUGUUCCAGUGUGGAGCAUAUAUCCCAUUCUGCAUGUACAUGCAGACAAUACAUAAUAAUAUCAUGUUAGCAUAUACAUAUAGCAUAGUGUGCUAAUACAUAAUAAUAAGAAUUCGUUUAAGAUUUAAGUUAUUAAAUAUAGUGGUAAGUAGUGUUUUAAAUUUCACUCCAAUUCCAAUUCCAAGUGUAGUAUCAGCUGUGAUCGUAUCAGCUGCAUUUUCUAGAAAGGAAAUAAAUUUAGUAAGUUACCCGGUAGAGGUUAACAUAUUCGGCACUAAGUUGGAACCAUCCGAGAAUUGGGAGGGUGAGGCUGUUGGCUGUGCUGAUGCGACCAGCUGUAGGGUUGUAAAGGUCGGCGCGUGUUGGAUCAGCAAUGUUCUCACGAAGUAUGGCAGUGCAGAUAGUUUCUUCAAGGCCAUUUCUACUUCUCGGUGGGGAUUGUUCCUCUUCUUCUUCUUGUCUACUUCCUCUUCCACCACGGCGGCGGCGACGCUCUUCGGUUGUUGUUGUUGUUUCUUCCUCCUCUUGUCCUUCAUCUCCUCGUGUAUGUCUUCGCCGUGUUGUUCUCUUCCAUUCACUACCUCCUCUUCCUCUUCCUCUCUCUUCCUCCACCUCCUCUUCUUCAUGUCCUCCUCGGUGUCUUCUUGACUCGCGAGGUUCAUCUUCUUCUUCUUUCUCUUCUUCUUCUCUUUCCUCCCUUCGUUCACGUCGUCUUCUCUGGCGUGGUUCUUCUUUUUCUUCCUCUUCCUCCUCUUGUUCUUGCCACUUGGGGCUGAUAACUCCCAAACCUUCCUCCACUCUUAUGAUUUGUUUGAUUCGUUCAUUCGGAUUUUGAAGUUUGUGUACUGUAUCCUCGUCUAUGUUGAGAGCUUGAGAUAAAAACUGUGGGUCAAAUCCACUCAGUAUGUUGUUUUUUCCUUCUUGUUCCUCUUCUUUCUGGUGUUGUCCAUGCCUGCGUCCACUAGGUCUUUGAUGCUGCUGUCGCUGCUGCCUUUGUUGCUGGGUCUCUGGAUACUCUUCUUCUGGGUUACCAGCUAGAUAGAAUCUCUGCAAAGCCAAGUAAAUAUAAACUAAGUAACCAACUAAUCAAAAUAUAUAAACUACAUGUAUAUAAGAAGUUAGAGGUUAAUUUAUAUAAAGUAAUGAUGUUGAAAUCUGGUGUCACAUAUUUUAUUGACAUAAUUUUGGAUAAAAGAUCCAUGAUCAUGUUAUGUUUACAACUUCAUCACAAUAAAACACUGAUAUCACAAUAUUUAGUUGUGAAGUAUACUUACUCUUGGGUUUGGAUCAAGCUGGUUUGACAAGCUGGUAGUGUCAAGAAGAUUGAUAGCAACAAGUUGUUCAUCACCGUAGUUAUAAGUCCAGUAAGGGGUUCCAGGUGGAAUUACUAAGAUAUCACCUUCUCUGAAGUGACGAAUCUUCUGGUGACUAUCCUCUUGUUCCUGUGAUUGUGACCUUUGUCCUCUCCUACGUUCUUGUCUAGACUGUGAUUGUUGUGCUUCUUCAAAUGUUUCAGUACAUCCAGGAACUGAAAUUCCUAGGGCUCCCUCACCUGGAGUAUAUGCACAUGCAUAUGAGAGAGUAGUCACAAAUAAUCAAUAAAUGUAAUAAUGUAUCCUUUUAAACAAAAAUAUUGGACUCCUUUCAUAUGGGAGAUAAUUGAAGAGGAUCAAACGCUUCAUUAUAUGGUUAGUUUGCAAUUAUAUAUGAUGAUUAAAUUGGCUUCAUAAAAAUGGUGUAAUAAUGUAUAGGAAUGAAGGUUCAUACUUACCUUAAAAAAGUGCAAGCCUUGAUAAUUUACUUGAAAUUAUAAAAGUUAUAUCUUAGAUUUGGAUUAAAGCUAAAUUUGAUAUAUUUCUAUAUUUCUUUCUUGACUAUUGAAAUUCAAAUCCUUUGAUCAGAGAAAAAAAACAUCUAACAAUUAAGAAAGAGAGGAUAAUGUAUACCAUUUCAUAUACUAUAUACUUAUCAUUAGUAAGUUUUAGUUUUAUAUUUUAUAGAAAUAAUCAAUAAUCGGAUAUCAGUACAGACUUAUAUCAUUAAUAUAUAGAGAUAAGAAAGAAGGAAAUAAGAAAGAAGGAAAUAUUAUAUAAAGAUGUUGUGUUCGAAUAUAUCUGACCUUGAACAAUCAUAAUGAUCUGUGGAUAAUUAGUGUAGGAUGGCAAGUGUAAUCCCUUUGGCUCAAUGGUAUGUUUUUCAAAUGCAACACCAGCACAACGUAGCUCAGGUUUAUUUGAGUUCCAUGUCUCAGUAACACCACCUUCUGACUCAAUCCUAUUAUCAGGUUCCAAAGCAUUGAGUCUAUCCAAUUGACACUCAUUGAACCUAUCUAGCCCUUCACCUAAACAUGCACUCGUGUAUAACAACACUAAGCAAAGGGAUAAAGAGAGUAGAAAAGGGUUAGCCAUUGUGAAACAGUAAUAGUUGAGUGAAGUUGGUGAAGCGGAGAAACUAAACUGUGGGUAUUUAUAUGGAAGAGUGGAGUGUGAAUGAAGGACACGUAAUGAAAGUGUGUUAUUGAGGUGUUGACAUUCUUCAACAUGCAUGGCUAUAUAAACCUCAUGUUGUUACACCUCAUAAGUGCUGUGGGCGCAGGUGCCUUCACGUUUCAUAUAAUCAUCCAAGGAAUGGAAUUGUUUGCACCCCUUCUUUCAUGAGUUUUCAUUAUUUAAUAACAUCUAUAAUACUAAGGGUUUAGAUUUAGAGAAAACAAUGUAUAACUGUCAUAAAAUAAAUAGAAGAACACAAAAGAAUUUCGUAACCAAGUUGAGCCAAAUGUGUUUCCGUUCUCGAGAAACGUACUACCAAUAUAUUAUUAAAAAAUAAUGAUUAUAAGUUCUAGCAUACCCUUAAGUCCAAGUUCCUAUUAGGUGUUUCUAUUUGGACAUAUUAUAACAAGUGACUUGAGUUUAAUAUAUAAGAUUGUUCACUUUACUCUAUUCCAAUACUAGAUAAUGUAGGACUAAUACACUAACAUAUUUCAAGCAUUCCAAUACAUCCACCAUUUAUAUUUAAUUAUCACAUUGUCUCAUAAAAAAUAAUGUAAAUGAAUGAUAGAUGUUGUACUGACUUUGUAUAAAUCUUGAGAAAAAUAUAAAUGUAGUGACAUUGUGUAAGAUUUAUAUAUUGUUAAUACAUCAUCCAUAUUUUAUCGUUAUUGACUUUUCAAAAAAAUAAAUAACACAAAUGAAUGAUGAAUAAUAUAUUAACUGUAUCUAAAUCUUUAUACCGACAAUACAUAAAUAUUGCACUCAUAAAUCUUUAUUGUCAAAAUUAAAUAUUUUAUAGAAUCACAAAUUCCUUUUUUUUCUUAUAUUUUAGGACCGAUCUCUUUUCUUCUUUCACAUAUUGGCUCUCUGGACAUGACUAAAUUAGGAAGGUCUACAUAUAAUCUUCUCUAGAAGUGUCAAAACAUACUACUUGGACGAGUUUCGACUAGUUCACAUAAUGUUCGGGUUAAAUUGAACUGAGCUAAAAAUUCCAGGUACAAUUUAUGUAUAUCAAAUUGCAGCCUAAACUCUUGUUAAGCAAGUUACAGGUUGUGACGGACCAACCCGUAUAAUAUUAAAAAAAUACUUAUUUAAAUUUUAAGUGAUUAAAUCUAUUUUUUUAAAUAUAUAUUAAUUGAUAUUUGUGUAUAAACUUAUUAAUAUACUUGUUAUGUCCAAGUCAACCAAACUCAUAUAUUUAAUGCUUUAUGUUUGAGUUAAGACGUGAUAUCAAGUUCACUUGUAUAAUUUUUAAUAUAACCUAUUUAUUAAUUUUCUUAUCUUAUUAGACUCUCACUUCCUUUGCAAUGUAAUUUGUAACUCCACUUUAUUAAUAUGCAAACCUUUGGAAACUAUCAAAAAGAAUUUUAUGUUAAUUUUAAUAAUGGUAGUAUAGACUUAAGUUCAGAAGAAAUGCUAUAUGUUAAAGUAUAAUCACCAUCGUAAUAUAUUAUCAUCAUUCUAUAUUUUGUAUAUGAUGAUAAUUUGUAUGUUCAUUAUCAACAUCUUCAUUGUGAACUGAUACAAAUUAAAUUUGGUCGUGUAGAGUUUUCAAUAUUAAACAAGUAUGAUGUCUUUUAGUUUAAAUACAAUUAAAUACACAAUUAAAAAAGAAAACAUGAAAUCCAUAUGAUUUAAUGUUUCUUCUCAUUUGAUUUGAUAUAUUACUUUCUUCUUGUGCUUAAAAGGACAAUAUGCAAAAUAGGAUAAAUAAUAUAAUGUUUUACUUUAUAACAUUAUUAUAAUUUAUAAAUAUUAAUGUUAAAAAAAUUAAUCUAUUUUUCAAAGCUCAUAACACUAAUAUUUAUUAUAAGUUUAUGUUAUUAUUAUGUUGUAAAACAAUUUUCACCUAAGACUUAUUACCAAGCCAAAAGUCCUAAAAAAGAAGAAAAAGGAAAAAUGGGUAGCCAGAACCCACUGAGGCAAGCCAAUCUAAACCAUGUUGUAAUAUAGCUCGGUCAGUCCAGGUUAAAAAGUUCAAAUUCAAUAAAAAGUACCUAAUAUGUUACCAAGUCCUAUGAAUCUUCUAAUUGUGGUGACAUUUUGGGCUUUAGCGGAUCGAAAAAAGAAAGGUCACCACAAAUUAGAAGUUAGAGAUUUGAACAACAUAUCAAAGUAAGAGUUUCUAUUUCAUACAAAGACAGAGUCUAGGCUUCAAAUGUUAAUUCAUUGCCUUCAAAUGUUGUUACACUUGUUAGCUGAUUGAUUUUUUAUAUAGCCUUUAUUAUUUUCUAUUGCACUAUUUCUAUUGUGCAUUUCAUUUUUUUACAUUAUCUAUUUAACAAUGUUUCAAUUUCAUUGUUUUUAUUCAUUGCCUUCAAACAUUGUUUGUCUUUAUUCUUUACUUGUUUCAUUAUUUCCAUUUCAUUGUUUCCAUUGUUUGUUUAACAUUUUUCUAUUUUGUUGUUUCUAUUUAUUGCCUUCAAACAAUAUUUCGUUGUCUUUAUUCUUUGUUUUCUUCAUUAUUUAUAUUAUGUUUCAUUAUAACUAUUCACUCGUUAACUUUUUGUGAUUUGUAAUUUUAUUGUUACUAUUUUGCUUUGCUUCUAUUAUAUUAUAUUCUAUUUUCCAUAUUAUGUUUCACAUUUUUGGCUAGGAAUUUUAUUGUGUUACUUUCUAAAUGCAGGAGGACUACAAGGAUAAUGGAAAAAAAUAGACAGACAAUUUCAUCAAAAGAACAAUUAUCAAUCAUUGAUAUCUUCUGAACCAAGUCCCCGAGACAAAGGAUUGUGCUUCAUUUAGAAGAAUUGUCAUCAAAUCUAGGGGUGAGCAUGACCCGACCCUAUCCACUUAUCCAGUAUGGUCCAAUCAUGAUCGAGCCUGAAAACGGCCGGGUCUCAUCGAGUCUAGAACCGAGUUUGGAUUAAAAUUUUUGAUACAUUAAAUAUUUACGGUCUGGUAGGGACCAAGCAUGACCCAACCUGACCCAUUUCAUGGUUACUCAGUCAUCGUGUUCAUAUGUGUCUGUAUUCAAUUAUGCACAGAGUAAUGACACAUUUUUAGUAGAGAGUAUCAUUGAUUCUCUAAUUUUUUAUCAUAUAUACAUGAUUAAUAAUAUUUAUAUAUAUCAUUUUAUAUGUCAAAUUACAUAUUCAUAAUAACAAGACUGAGGCAAGCCAAUCUAAACCAUGUUGUAAUAUAGCUCGGUCAGUCCAGGUUAAAAAGUUCAAAUUCAAUAAAAAGUACCUAAUAUGUUACCAAGUCCUAUGAAUCUUCUAAUUGUGGUGACAUUUUGGGCUUUAGCGGAUCGAAAAAAGAAAGGUCACCACAAAUUAGAAGUUAGAGAUUUGAACAACAUAUCAAAGUAAGAGUUUCUAUUUCAUACAAAGACAGAGUCUAGGCUUCAAAUGUUAAUUCAUUGCCUUCAAAUGUUGUUACACUUGUUAGCUGAUUGAUUUUUUAUAUAGCCUUUAUUAUUUUCUAUUGCACUAUUUCUAUUGUGCAUUUCAUUUUUUUACAUUAUCUAUUUAACAAUGUUUCAAUUUCAUUGUUUUUAUUCAUUGCCUUCAAACAUUGUUUGUCUUUAUUCUUUACUUGUUUCAUUAUUUCCAUUUCAUUGUUUCCAUUGUUUGUUUAACAUUUUUCUAUUUUGUUGUUUCUAUUUAUUGCCUUCAAACAAUAUUUCGUUGUCUUUAUUCUUUGUUUUCUUCAUUAUUUAUAUUAUGUUUCAUUAUAACUAUUCACUCGUUAACUUUUUGUGAUUUGUAAUUUUAUUGUUACUAUUUUGCUUUGCUUCUAUUAUAUUAUAUUCUAUUUUCCAUAUUAUGUUUCACAUUUUUGGCUAGGAAUUUUAUUGUGUUACUUUCUAAAUGCAGGAGGACUACAAGGAUAAUGGAAAAAAAUAGACAGACAAUUUCAUCAAAAGAACAAUUAUCAAUCAUUGAUAUCUUCUGAACCAAGUCCCCGAGACAAAGGAUUGUGCUUCAUUUAGAAGAAUUGUCAUCAAAUCUAGGGGUGAGCAUGACCCGACCCUAUCCACUUAUCCAGUAUGGUCCAAUCAUGAUCGAGCCUGAAAACGGCCGGGUCUCAUCGAGUCUAGAACCGAGUUUGGAUUAAAAUUUUUGAUACAUUAAAUAUUUACGGUCUGGUAGGGACCAAGCAUGACCCAACCUGACCCAUUUCAUGGUUACUCAGUCAUCGUGUUCAUAUGUGUCUGUAUUCAAUUAUGCACAGAGUAAUGACACAUUUUUAGUAGAGAGUAUCAUUGAUUCUCUAAUUUUUUAUCAUAUAUACAUGAUUAAUAAUAUUUAUAUAUAUCAUUUUAUAUGUCAAAUUACAUAUUCAUAAUAACAAGUAAUAUUAAGAAAACUUUAUCUAAAAUGAGUAUGCAUUAUAUUUAAUCGGGUCUAGGAUUGAGUUCUGGUUUAAAGGUUGACUCACUCGAUAUUUAGGGUUGGGUUAACUUUGGUCUAGGGCCGAAUCUUGGUUUAAAAAAUGACUCAACCAAGUUUUAGGGCCAGGUAAGGGACAAGCCUUAACCCGACCCAUGCUUACCCCUAAUCAGAUCGACGAAAAAUAAUUAAAAUUGUGUAAUAUCAUCAUUAUGAUCAAGAUAAGAUUCGAAGAGUAUAUUUAAAAAGAGAACCAUGUCAACCUACACAACAUAAUUUCCCUAAAAAAAAUUUGAAAUUCUUUAAGAAGAUUUGUCAUUCUUGGUUUAAUGAAUUUGGCAAGUGGUAAAAGUACAGUUUAGAAAAAUAUGAUAUAUUUUGCUUGUAUUGUUAUCUUUUUAAGCCUGAUUUUGGAAAGCAAUCUCGUGGUGACAUAUUUGUGAUAGAAGGAUUCAAACUUUGGAAUAAUAAACAUAAGCACUCAGAUCAUAUUGGAGGUCCUAAUAUUGCUCAUAAUAUUGUGUGUAAGAAUUCUCAAGACUUGUUGAAUCAAAAUCGACAAACUGGAGCUGCAAUAGUUAAGGAAUCCGAUCAAGCUCAUGACAUAUAAUGAAGGUGUUUAACAACGUCAGUUGAUUCAAUUCACUUUCUAUUGAAGUAAGGAUUAUAUUUUCAUGGUUAUGAUGAAUUAAUCGAUUAUGCUAAAUGAGGUAAUUUUCUUGAACAUCCUAAGUUUCUUUAUGAACUUAAUGGAGAAAUAAAUCAUGUCGUCUUGUAAAAUGGUCCUCAAAACCAUCAAUUAAUUUCUACAACUAUCCAAAAGGAUAUUAUUAAUGUUGCUGCAAUAGAAACCAUUAGGGUUAUUAUCACUGACCUAGGAGAUCAACCAUUUCCUAUUAUGGGUGAUGAAGCGCGUGAUGCAUCAAUUAACAUUCAAAUGACUGUUGCUUUGUGUUAUGUUAACUAUUAAACAUACACACACACAAGCAGCCUAGCCAAUCAACCUCUCAAUCCAGUCAACAUAAUAACAAGGCCAAGACCAAACACAAGCCACUUGAUCAAGAGGCGAAGGCCAAGUCAUCUGUUGAUCAAGAGGCCAAGACCAAAUAUAAGCCACCUGAUCAAGUGGUCAAGGCCAAGGACAAGUCAUAUGCUGAAGACAUUAAGGAAUCCGAUCAAGCAAGUGGCACAAGCACAUGAUUAUAAGUCCAGUCCAAAACAUGCGCUUAGUUACUUAGUUCACAACUCAACUUAUUUUGGUUUGUUAUCUAGCUUUUAAGCAUGUGUUGUUUUACUGAUUGGUUAGUUUUAGUGUUUAUUAGGAUUAGUUAGGACCCUUUGUAUCUCUCUUGAGUCUAUAUAAAAGAGGACACUAUGCUUCUAUUGAAUAUCAAGAAUGUAAAAACUACAUUGUAAAAAUAUGCCAUUGAUUAAUGAAGAAUAAAGUAUGAGGUAUUUUUCUGCAAAAAAAGUAAUAUGAUAUCAAAGCCUUCUUUUUGAAGGUUCUGGUUUACCUUUUGUUGUGCAUUCUUCCUUACUCAUCUUCAAUCUAAGUUUUCUUUCUCUUCUAUUCAAACAACCAACAAAUGGCAAAAAGUGUUGAGCUGGAAAGAGAUCUACAUGCUGCUUUGAGCAACAUCUAUGAUAUACAAAGCCCUUAUUGUCUACACCCUGGAGAAAAUCCAGAGGCAAUCCUAGUUCCCCCCUAUUAGAUGGCAGAAAUUACCAGUCCUGGAGUAGAAUAAUGAGGAGAACAUUGCUCUCAAAGAACAAGUUCAAGUUUCUAGAUGGAUCUAUACCAGCAACACGCAGAACAAAUCCCAACUUUGAUAUAUAGGAACGUUGCAAUACAAUGUUGAUCUCUUUGAUCACAAGGAGCCUAACACGUCAAAUAUCCCAAAACAUUAUGUACAUUGACAAUGCAAGGGAAUUAUGGUGAGACUUGAGAGAAAUAUUUUCAAAGGGUGACUAUUUCAUAUUCUCAAACCUGCUCCAUGAACUCCACUCAAUCAAACAAGGUGACAAAAGUAUUUCCAACUACUACACUGACUUGAAAACCAUAUGGGAUGAACUUGAUUUUAACACAAAAUAUGUCGUAUGCUUCCUCAAUGGUUUAAAUGAUGAAUUCAAUGCUACAAGGUCCCAAAUUCUCAAGAUGGAGCCAUUUCUCAGUAUGAACAAAGCCUUCUCAUUACUUGUUUAGCAACAAGGACAACUAGCUGAGGAAAAUCCACAAAACUCUAAGAUCUUCUUCAAUUCAAUAAGCAACAAACAACAAACAAAUCAAGAUGAUGAAAUGCAGAAUUGGAAUCCCAGAAUCAAUAAUAUGAGGGGAGGUACUUCACAAAGCAGAAUCAGAGGCAGUGCAAGAAACUUUGGUGCAGACAGGACCAAUGGAGUUAAGGUCUCACAUUCUGUGGCAAAGAAAGGCAUACAAUAGAAACAUGUUAUUUUAAGCAUGGUUUCCCUCCUAAUUACCAACAAGGGAAUCAAAGAUAAACUAAUACAAUUAUCAACAAUAUUGUUGUAAUUGAUCACAAGGAACCUUAGUCCCAAGCAACAGAAGGUGGUAUUUCAGGAUUCAAGUUUGGCCUCAAGGACUAUGCACAAUUAUCAUCACUUCUGAAAAAUAUUGGGUCUUCCAAAGACAAUCACAACAUCAACCAACUAAGCAUGCACCCAACACUAGUAGCUGAAUCUCAAAACAUUGCUAACAGUGAGGACAUCUCAUGUAACACAUCUUUCUGGAUACUAGACACAGGGGCCACAUGCCAUGUGUGCCCUAAUUUAGGUAAAUUUGACACUUUCUACAAUGUUAAGCCUAUUACUACAAACAUGCCAAAUGGUUCAAUAACAUUGGCAAGACUCUGUGGAUAUGUUAGUUUCUCUGAUUCCUUGAUAUUGCAUAAUAUGUUGUAUAUUCCCGACUUCAAAUUUAACUUAAUUUCCAUCCAUAAGCUGACUAAUUCUAUGCAUUGUGCUCUAACCUUUGAUGAAUUGAAAUGUUCCAUCCAUGAUAUGAAUACUUGGAAGAUGUUUGGACAUGUUGAAGUUAGAAAUAACUUGUAUAUUUUUAGGAGAAAAAUUAAUAAUGCCACAAAUUUAUAACACAAUGUAAAUACACUUUAUGUUGAUUUUGAUUUUGACUUAUGACACUAUAGAAUGAGACAUUCAUCACCUAAUGUUUUGAAUUUUGUAUGCAAAAAAUAUUCCUUUGUUCAUUUCAAUUCUGCAACAAUAUGUGAUUCUUAUCAUUUUGGUAAAAAAGCUAGGCUGGCCUUUCAUUGCAGCAUGAUGAGUACAUAAAGUACCACAUCUCCCUAUAAGAUCCAACAUCUUCUCUCAGUUGUCAUAUCAUACCAAUCCAUCCCCACUAAUCACCGUAGCCACCUUAUCUCUAUCACUAUAACUAUAGAGCCAAAGCAUUACAACCAAGCUAUUAACUCAUAACAUUGGAUAUGGGCAAUGCGAAAUGAACUCAAUGCACUUGGGUUAAAUAAGACCUUGACCCUUGUUGACUUGUCUCCCAACAAAAACCCUAUAGGAUGCAAAUGGGUGUAUAAGGUCAAGCAUAAAUUAGAUGGAUCUAUAUAGAGAUAUAAGGCUAGGUUAGUGGCAAAUGGCUUAAAUCAAACAGAGAAGAUAGACUUAUUUGACACUUUUGCUCCUAUUGUGAAACUCACAACAAUGAGACUAUUACUUGCCAUAGCCUCUUCCCAAAAUUGGCUUGUCCAUCAACUUGAUGUGAACAAUGCCUUUUUCCAUGGGGACCUCACAAAAGAUGUCUAUAUGACCAUACCAAAAGGUGUGAUAUGCAACAAUCCUAACCAAGUUUGCAAGUUACAUAAAUCCCUUUAUGGCCUCAAGCAAUAUGGAAGACAAUGGUUCACAAAACUCACCAAUUCCCUGACCUCCUUUGGCUAUAACCAGUCACAUUAUGAACAUUUCUUGUUCACCAAGAAACAAGGACUACACUCCACAACAUUACUCAUAAAUGUUGAUGACUUAGUUCUACCUAGAAAUGACAGCCUUGGGAUCCAACAUGUCAAGCAUCACCUGAAUAACCAAUUCAGGAUUAAAGAUCUAGGUACUUUGAAAUAUUUCCCAGGCAUAGAAUUUGCUAGGACUAAGACUAGUAUUUCAAUUUCACAAAGGAAAUAUGCAUUGGAUAUUUUUUAUGAUACAAGCUUUCUAGCUUCAAAGUUUGCACCCACUCCUAUAGUUAAGACUACCAAACUUCAGAAUGACAAUACUUUGCAUUAUGAUAACCCUUCUUCCUAUAGAAGAUUAAUAGGUAGGCUAUUAUACCUCACUAAUACUAGACGUGAUAUAAGUUUUGAUGUAUAACAAUUGAGCCAGUUUAUGGCUCAACCUACUGUUAUUCAUUAUAAAGGCUUAACCAUGGUGCUCAGAUACAUAAAGUCCAACCCAGGCUAAAGGUUACUCUAUCAUGCUUCAUCCAACCUACAACUUAAAGCCUUCAGUGAUUCAGAUUAGGCAACCUGCAUAGACUUAAGUAAAUCAAUUAGUGGAUGUUGUAUCUUUCUAGGAAAUUCAUUUGUGUCUUGGAAUUCCAAGAAGCAAAACACAGUAUCAAGAUCCUCUUCUGAAGCAAAGUAUAGAGCACUAGCAUAAGCUUCUUGUGAAAUUCAAUUGCUGACAUACCUUCUUCUCAACUUCAAGGUCCAUGUCACCCGACCAACUUUGUUAUAUUAUGACAAUGACUCUGCUAGGUACAUUGUUGUCAACCUAGUCUUCCAUGAGAGGACCAAGCAAAUAGACAUUGAUUUCCAUGUUGUACGAGAACACCUUGAAGCCAAACUAUUUCACCUUAUCCCUAUUUCAACCAAUCAACAAACUGCAGAUAUACUAACCAAACCCCUUGACCAUUAUUCAUUUCAUUACCUACUUGCCAAGCUUGGAGUAUUUAACAUUUACUCUCCAAUUUGCGAGAGGGGGACUAAAUACACACACACAUAAGCAACCUAGCCAACCAACCUCUCAAUCCAAGCAACAUAAUAACAAGGCCAAUACCAACCACAAGCCACCUAAUCAAGAGGCCAAGGACAAGUCAUCUAUUGAUCAAGAGUCUAAGACCAAGACCAAAUAUAAGCCACUUGAUCAAGAGGCCAAGGCCAAGGACAAGUCAUCUGCUCAAGACAUUAAAGAAGCUGAUCAAGCAGUGGCACAAGCACGUGAUAAUAAGUUCAUUCCAAAAACAUGUGCUUAGUUACUUAGUUCACAAGACAACUUAUUUUGGUUUGUUAUCUAGCUUUUAAACAUGUGUUGUUUUAAUGAUUGGUUAGAUUUAGUGUUUGUUAGGAGUAUUUUCUUCUCUCUUGAGUCUUUAUAAAAAAGGGCACUAUGCUUCUCUUGAAUAUCAAGAAAGUAAAAACUACAUUGUAACAAUAUGCCAUUGAUCAAAGAAGAAGAUAAUAUGAGGUAUUUUUAUAUUAUGGAUGAUGAAGCGCGUGAUGCAUCAAUUAACAAACAAAUGGAUGUUGCUUUGUGUUAUGUUAACAAAAAUGGAAGUGUUUUUCAAUAAUUUUUUGAUAUUUUUCAUGUUAAAGAUACUACAGCUUUAUCAUUGAAAAUGACAAUUGAUGAUUUGUUUAGUAAACAUGGGCUUGAUGUAUUAAGAAUUUGUGAGCAAUGUUAUGAUGGUUCUAAUAACAUGCAAGGAGAAUUUUAUUGUCUCAAAAGUUUGAUUUUAAGGGUGAAUUCAUGUACUUUUUAUGUAUAUUGUUUUGCUCAUCAAUUAUAAUUGACAUUAGUUGUUGUUGCUAAAAAUCACAUUGAUAUUGCAUAUCUUUUUAGUUUAGUAUCCACAUUAUGAAAUAUUGUUUGAGGGUCAUGCAAACGACAUGACAUGCUUUGCGAAAAACAAAUAAUCAAUGUUUGAGAGCGACAUUGGAAAAGGUGAAAUUCUAAGUGGACAAGGUUUGAAUCUAGAAACUAGUCUAGAGCGAGCUACACACCGUUGGGAUUUACAUUAUGCAACUUUGAUAAAGUUUAUAUUGAUGUAUUAUACUAUAUGAGAUGUUAUUGAAAUUAUUAGAGAAUUUGGAUCAACUCUGAAAAAAAGACUUGAAGCCAAAGGUAUUUUAGGCUUGACAAAUGAUUCAAAUGAACUGUCACAAACAUUGCAAAGGAAAGAUCAAGACAUCAUCAAUGCUAUGAACUUGAUUAAAAUCGUAAGACAAUGAUUACAAACUAUGAGGGAUGAUGAAUGAGAUUCAUUGUUGUAAGAGGUAAUCUUAUAUUGUAAUAUGCAUGACAUUAAAAUUCUUGAUAUGGAUGUCAACUUUUCAUGAUGGUAAAUCACAAUGUGGAAGCAGAGCACAAGCUAUCAUAAUAGAGCAUCAUUAUCAUGUUGAAUUACUUUAUAAUAUUGUGAAUAUGUAACUUAAGAAAUUCAUGAUAGUUUUUCUGUGACAAAUACUUAACUGCUUCUUUGUAUACCUUAUUUGAGUCCAACCAAAUUUGUUCUAUAGUUUUGAUAAGAUAAAACAUAUUGAAUUUGGAAAGUUCUAUCCACAUCAUUUUUGUUCAGCUGAUUUGGCGAUGCUUGAUAAUCAACUUGAGACAUAUAUUUGAUAUCUUAGUAGUGCUGAACUUGCUUAUUUGAAAGGAAUCAAUAAUCAAAAAAUUUACACAAGUAGUGUAGCUUGAGUUUUUUAUUACGAUUCUGGUGUACAAUUUUAAAAUAUUAUUGGAGUAGUGCACUUUUCACUGAACUCGUGGAUAAAACGUACGAGAUUUCACAUUUUCUCUCUCCUGGUAUCGUGGACAUGGUCCACGAUUUUGGACCCUCUUUUUCUAUCUCUGGAAAUUGUGGAUGCAUUCCAUGAUUUUCACCCUUCAUUUUUCUCUCUCCAAAAAUUAUGUUUUAGGUCCAAGAGUCCUACCUACACUGAUACGAAUUUAAUUAAGUUUAAGUUAAUUAAUUAAAUUCAAAAAAUAAGCUACUACACUAAAUAUAGUAAUUAUUUUUGACAUUGAAAUCUGAAUGUAUAUUUAAUUGUCAUUCUAUUGCAAUUUAUUUCACCAAUUUAUUGAUUAGAUAAUAUUUUAAAGGUCUAUGGACAUAAAUUUCAGAUUCCAAUGCAUUUACAUAAUCAUGUUACUUUAGUGUAUUGAUUAAGACAUUUAAAAAAUAAUUAGUAUAUUUAGUAUAGUAUUUUAUUUUUUGAAUUUGAUUAAUUAACUUAAACAUAAUUAAAUUAGUAUUAGUGUAGUAUUAAAUUAGUGUUUUUUUCAUAUUAUUUUACCAAUGUAUUUUAUGACACGGACAAUGAAUGAAAAAUGUAGGUAGAACUCGUGGACCUGGAACAUAAUUUUUGGAGAGAGAAACAUGAAUGUUGAAAAUCGUAACGCCAUCCACGAUUUCCAAAGAGAGAAAAAGAGGGUCCAAAAUCGUGGACCAUGUCCACAAUUUCAGGAUAGAGAAAAAGUGAAAUUGUGGACCAUGUCCACGAUUUCAGAAAGAAAAAAAAUCUCGCGUGUUUUGUCCACUAGUUCAGUGAAAAUUGCAUUACUCUGGUAAUAUUUUAAAAAUGUACACCAUAACUGUAAUAAAAAAGUCAAACUACACUACUUGUGUAACUUUUCCUCAAUAAUCUUCUAGAGAAGUUGGUUGCAAGUAGUAGACACAUUGUUUACCCAUUAGUUUAUUUUGUUUUACAAUUAGCAAUGAUUUUACUUGUUGCCACACCAACAGUUAAAAAAGCCUUUUGAGGUAUGAAGAUUGUUAAAAGUAGGUUGCAUAAUUGAAUGAGAGAUAUAUGGAUGAAUGACUAUCCCGUGACUUUUAUCGUGUGAGAAGUCUUUGACGAUAUUAACAAUGAGUUUAUCAUUUAAUGAUUUCAAAAUAUGAAGCCAUGUAGAGAUGAAUUAUGAAAUAUGUAAUUCAUUUGAUUAACUACGUUUAAAUUUUGUGAUUUUAACAUUAAUGUUUUCACAUGCUUAUAUAUGAUGAUAUUUACUAUUUUAAUCUUUAACAUAUAUUGGACAAACCCUACUCUAGGCUCUUAUUCUGUCACUAGAUGCAGCCAUAAUAUUAUGGCUGUAAUGACCGCCGCAACCGCAUCACACUAUAAUUGCGGUGGGAUCCUGAAUUGCAAUGAUGUGACCACAUCGGGUUGCAGCACAACCACAUUUAACCCCAUUUGUACUAUAAUACGUUGCAUGGUAUUAGAGACUGGACAACUAUGAACAUUGCAUUUUUUAGUAAAUUAAUUUGGACCCUUAUACUCGGUACUAAUAAGCAUUGGAUUAGAGCUUUAGAGACUCCAUUUUCUGUUGCAAAACUCCUAUCAAAUGCUUCUUGUUUGGCAAUACAUUGUUAAGACUCUUUAUGUUAAUUUGGUAUGAGGAUUGGAUAGGAAAUGGUUUGCUUUGCAACUUGGUUUACUAUGUUCAUAUUAUGGAUACAUGCAAGUUUGUUUGUAAUUGUAGGUGAAUAAUGCUUGGAACAUAAAUUCACAUGAUAUUGCUAUGAUACGGGAAUUAAGGACCAUUACGUGUAGUUAUUAUAGGCAACGGAAGAUCAUGUCACUCAACACUAUGCAUGAAGAUUAGCACAAAAUAAAAUUUCGUUAUUAUAGGUUUCAUUGGAGAGGAAUGAGAUUGAGGAAACUAGAAAUUGAAGAAAAAUGAAACCUUGAUAAAAAAAGGUUAUCGUUGGACUCUCGCCCAAGCGAGAGCUGGCGCUCAAGCGAUAAAACAAGCCAAUCCUUCUAGAGACCUCUCGUCUAAGCGAGGUCUGGCGCUCAAGUGAUAAAAUUAAGCCAAUCCUCUUGGAGACCUCUCGCUCAAGUGAAGUCUGGCACUCAAGUGAUAAAAGCAAGCCAAUCCUCCUAGAGACCUCUCGCCCAAGUGAGAGUUGGCACUCAAGCGAUAAAAAUAAUCCAAUCCACCUGGAGACCUCUCGCCCAAGCGAGAACUGACGCUUAAGCGAUACAAGCUUGAGAACAAGCUAAUUCUCCUAUCUUAAGGAAAAGUUUCCUCACACAACUUUUCACGCCUACUAAGGAGAAUCCUAGAUUUCAAGAUCACUUCCCCAUUGUUAGCACAUGUGUUUAGGUCUUGAGAUCAAACAAACAAUUCAUACGUAUAAGCUACUAGAACACUUAUUUGAGUAAUGUUCAUCCAUGGAUAACCAUAGCAUUACUCCACACAUAUACAUAACUUAAAUGAUAUGGCUUAAGAAACCACACGUACUUAAUCCAAACAAACAGACAAUUGAUUAAGUACAAGAUUUCUUAAUUCCUAAGACAACUCCUAAACUUAUGAGGGAGUUUAGGAGAUCUUGAUGCCAUAUCCUGACACCACUGUGUCACGAUGUUUUCUCCCUCACCUGAGUAUUUCGUGCAAAUUGUUUUCUCGACUUUAGGUGAAAGUAAGGUGUUCAGUCUCGUCUUGAAAUCUUCAUCAUGAUAACAACCAAUAUAAACACUAAUAAGAAUACUUGAUAAUUACAAUUCUUAUAUAGUGACACUUUAUGAAAAAACUUAAUUUUUAAUCUAAUAUAGAUUUAAUCACUUUCAUCCAUCCGAUUCAAGAUUAAGUAUUCUUGAAUCAUCAUUUAUCAUUUAAAGUCUUAAAAUAAAAAUAAUACUUUAAAAUAAAACUUUAACAAAACUUGUACUUUUGAAGUAAGACACUCUUACUAAGAACAACAUCUUAAAGUAAGAUUAUUAAGUUAAACUUACAUUUUUAAAGUAAGCUAACUUAAAUAAAAAUCAAUACUUUAAUUAAGACUUUUUAAGUCACACUUACCACUUCAAGGUAAGCUAACUUAGCCAAAGUCGACACUUUUAAAUCAAAACUUUUUAAGUCAAACUUACCACGUUAAAGUAAGCUUAUCUUAACAACGUCCACACUUUAACUAUAUUACUAUCCAAGACUUUAUAACACUUUAAGUUUAUAAAGUCAAGACUUUAAUAAGUCAUCUUUUAUCCCAAAUCAUUACUUUAACUUGUAAAUCAAAGGAUAACAUUUACUAAUUAAACUCUUAACACAUAAUACUUUUUUAACAAGAAGUCAUCAUUUUCCGUAAUAUGGUUCACAACUUCACCAAUGAGCCCAAGGGGUGUCAUCCAACAACAUUUCAUUCUAAGUAAUCACAUGACUUUUUAGUGUUGAUAACACAUUCAUUAAGCAUACUAACAACACUACUUUAACACUUUAAAAUACACUUAAACUCAUAAACUUAAACAUUUUGGAUUUCAAAAAUAGAAAAUAAACUUUUCCUAAACACAUAUAUAGGCCACGAUUUUUAGGCCAAAUGACAAGGACUAGACCUCACCAAAAUAAAAGAACACAUUUAUUGAUCAAUUAUCCGUCAUAAUAUAUCCUAGGAGAAAGAGGUUUAUAAAGGAAAAUUCUAAAAACAUAUGUGACAAAUUAAACAAACAGAACUACCAACAAGGUGUUGGUUUAGUAGUGUAGGCCUCACUUGAUCUCUAAGGCUGAUGGUUUGAUUCCUGUGAGCGACACUUAUUGUGAGAAAUAGCCACAAACCCCAAAAGAGAUUUAUUCCUUAACCAAAAAGGUAAGGGAUAACCUUGAUAGUACAAAAAAAUAAAUAAAACUACUAUCUUGGUUUUUUAAAAGUUAUUUUAGUGUUUUAAAAGGUUUCUUUUUCCAAAUAAGUCCCAUAAAAUUUCUACUUCCAACAAAUAAAUCUUUUCAUUAUGUAAUUAAAAUGGUACACAUGACAAAUGUUGUUACUUAUACUUGGGUUGAAGAAUCAGAAAACUUAUCCCAAACAAAACAAAAUAAGGAGAGAGAAAAAAAAUUAGUUGAAAGAGGAAUGGUGUAGUUUUUUUCCAAUAAAAAUGUGUAAAUACAUAUAGUUCUAGUAAAUUUUAAAGUGUAAUAAUUUGAUAAUUGAGAAAAGUAAACUCAAAAAAUUAUAACAUCUGUAUUACCAAAAAAGAUAAUAAUGUCUCUAUCAUGAUAAUAAAAAUAUUAAAACUAAUAAAUUUGACCUAUAUUAAAUAUUUUUUGAAAUCAUUUUAAACUUUCCCAUGGUUGAAUUCACCCAUUUUCUUGAAGAAUAGCUCUUGAGUCUAAAAAAAUAGAGAGAAAGAAAGUUGGUUGGGUUAGAGGGUUUUGGUUCAGUUUGUAAAGUGCAAUGGUUUCGUUGUCAACAUGGGUUCGAUACAUUGCUCACAAGCUUGAAUACUCCGCCUCUAUCGGCUGGAAGGUUCUUUACUCUUCAAUUCAUACCUUCAUUUCAUUUACCACUUAUACUCUCCAAAACUUGUUUUUUUAUGUUUAAUUAUAAAAACAUUGUUCCUAUCUUUGAGUUUUGGUGUUAAUUGUUAAUUCUAGCUAUGCAAUUUAUAAGAUCCCUGCUCCAAAAUAGAAGAAGAAGAAGAGAAAUGGGAAAAAAAGCUGUUUUUUUUUCACAUAACCCUUGUAAAGUAACUCUAAUCAAAUGUGGUUCUUUUAUUAGGUUCUACAAGUGUUCUCCGCUUUUGCUGCAUUUUAGGGUCAGUUUGUUAUGCUUAAAAAAUGAUUAUAAGAUAUUGUAGAAAAGUGAUUUUACAAAAUAAGGGAUUUUUUGAGAUGCUGAAAACUAUGGAUUCUUGUAAAAGCUGAAUUUCAGCUUCUGCUUUUUUUUUAAAGCCUAACCAAACAAGCUUGUAAAUAUCAUAAGUUGAAUAAAGCUUAAACAAACAUGCCCUUAAACUGCUUUCAUUAAUUUUUUAAUUAAGUUCGUUAAGGUUGUAUUUAUGGGGAGUGUGUGGGUUAUAAGGAGGAAGUGUGAGGGUAGGAUGCAACUCGUAAAGAGGGAAAGUUAGAAGUGAUAUCAUAGUUUGCUUGGUUGUCAAAUGAUAUGAUGUUCUGCAUAUUCUAUUUGCUGUAUUUUAGUUUCCACGUCAUAAUGGGCGGAUCAAGUAAAUGGUUGUCCCUGGAUGUUCUCACUUAGGCAAGCUAAAUAUUUUCGUAACCGAUGAUUCGCCCGUGUUUCCAGAUGCAAGUCGGUAUAUGAAGAUUUUUCACCUCAUGAUUUUUGUGAUUGGAAGUUAGAUUUGCAAAGUAAACUUAAAACUGGUCUGCUUUGAAUUGUUUAACAUGGUAAUGAUACAACAUCCAAGCCUUAGUCCCAUUAGAUGGGGUCGGCAACAUGGUAAUGAUGAUGAGAAAAUAUUAUAAUUUGGGUAUUUAAUAGGGUUCAUCUCAUUAAUGUUCUAACUUCUAACACAUGUGUAGAUUUCCAGAAAUCACUGUGUAGUUUAAAAGGCCAUGCUCGGCAUGGAACCUUGUUGAUGCUUUGUCAAUAGGCUCUCUAGCUUGUAGGUUUGAGAUACGUAAAUAAGAUAUUACUGGAUAGAAGAAUUUUAUAUCUGAUGAAGCUUGUUUUCUUCAAAUCAGGAUCUAAGUAGUUUGAAAUGAAUUGCAUUUGGAGUUUUCAUGGCGUUAGAGUGGAUGGGAUAUUAGAGCUUAAAAGUUUAGAUUCUAUAUUUCCUCCCUUUAUUUCUAUUUAUUAUAAACAAAGUGUAUAAGUCUAAGUGGAACUCUUUAAAAAAGAGAGUUAACUGUAAGUCUAAACUGCGUUGCAUAAGAGGAGGUGAUAAGUAAUAACUGUUUACACACUUGUUUUUUGUGUGUGGGUAAAUCAAGGACUUGUUGUUUUAAUUGGCACUUAUAAAUGUAUGCAAGGUUAUGGCCUUAUGGGAGGUACCCGUGGCUUGAAAACCAGUUUCUUACUCUAUGUGAAUUCUGGCAAGCAUUAGAAAAACAAGGCAUCCCAGUAUUCUAUUUCUAGCUUCCAAGGUUAUGAUUUUAUCUUGAGAAGUUCAAACACUAAUCUUUAUGUUUUAAUUUUGGCUCUCUCCUUCUCUUCAGCUAAAUCUGUUAGAAUAUUAGGGGUGGUAUUGACUUUGGCGGGUUAUUGGGAUGGGGCAUGUACCAGUAGCACACUUGUAUUUGGCCUAGAAUUUUAUUAUAAUUAAUAGGAAUAUUAGGUUAGUGUUUUUAUAUCACAGCUUAAUUAUCAUUCAGGGUCUAAUACAAAUAUAUUCUCUCUUUUGUCCUUCUCCGUAAUGUACUUUGAGCUUAUACUUGGGGUCAUUUGAAGCAUAACUUUGUGAAGAACAUCAUAUAUGAGCUUUGAUAUUAAAGGCGAGGGAACUCUCCUAAGGCCUACCUUUGUGGGUGUUAUAACAUAGAACCUUGAUGUAAAAUGUUUAGAAUAAUAGGCAAGUUAUCUACUAAGCAGAGGCAUAUGAAGUAAUAUUUUUCUUUGUAGUUUAAGUUCUACAAUUGUACAGGUUUUACCUGCUUUUCCUCUAUUCUGUGGCUGUGUAUCACAUUGUUAGCAGUAGCACUUAAAAGCCUCUCCUUUAAAGUAUUUUCUGACUGAUUCAGUGUUGUCAUGUGAAACAGAACUAUACAGGAGGUCAAAUCACAGACACACAGCUAGGUGAUGCUGUUUGGAAGAACCUUUUUCAAGGAAAGUUAACAUACAUGCACUGGAAUAAAGGAGAGGAGAUGGCCCCUACCAUUGCUGGAAAAGCAGUAACUCUUGUUCGUAAAAUACCAAUUGCUGAUCCAAAGUAACUAUACUUGUCCAAUUCAGCAUACAUUUUUCUUUAUGAAAAUCUAUUGACUGCUAUUGCAAGUUGUUUGAUAUGGGUCAUCCUAGGUAGUCAAUAGCACGCUAUAGCGCCGCAAUAGCGGACUGUAGCAGUAUUUCGACCAUUACCCGCAACGCCAUAGUGGAUAGCGGUGCAGAUGGCUGUAGCACCUGUAGCAGGUCAAAUAGCGGCAAAAUUGCAGGGAAAAUAGCGGAUCAUGACCCGCUACAUGUUUUAUUGCGAGUGGAACCCUAACUUUAUAGAAGAAAAGUAUUUUUUGCUCCUCUUUUUAAUAGGUGGCUGGUUUUUCACUAGGGUUUUAGGUAAUUUAACCUCCCAUUCUUUCCCUUCUACUUAACACAUUGAUUUUCCUAGGCCAUGUGAUUUUUAAUUGGUUAUACCUUUCUUCUUCCAAAUUCCAGUUCACAUGUUCAAUUGCUUACAUGUUCUUCAUCAGCAUAGAACAAAAUUGCAAGGCUUCCUAAUUUACGAUCAUUCUCCAUCUUUUCUUAAAAGAAAAUUCUUGGUCCCUGAUUGUUUGCCCUAUCAUCUCUUUAUUGAUUCUCUUAUUAACCUGAUUGAACCCAAUUGACAUCAUCUUCGUGUGGUUCAAUUUCGUGAGAUACAAUUCUGUUAUGGCAUCCAACUUUGAUCAACUCUAGAACCUUUAAUACUUUUUUCUUGAUUAUUAAUUAGGAAUGUGUCUUUAAUAUGAUUAAUUUUAGUAUUUAUAUAUGUAGGCUAUAAACUACUUAUAUAUAUAUUUUUUUCUUAGCUGUAGCGGUUGUCCCGCUAUCCCGCUAUAGUGUUUUUGGGGUCGGCCGCUAUGCUCUGCUAUCCGGGACUGCCGUUUUUUUACUACUAGACCAAUAGACCAUCAUUGUGAACUACAGUGAUAUAGAAUUCACACUUGAAGCAGAGUUACUUACCAAUUUCAAUAUCUUUUAUGGUGUGUCUGUGUAUUAUUUAGGAGACACCAUUUUCUGUGUAUAAUUUUUUUGGUUAAAUUAGAGUUUGCCCGUUGUGGUUUGAUUUCACAAAUGAAUCACCUGUUUUUUUAUUUCUGCUACCCACUUUAUCCAAAUGACAUUGAAUCAUAAUUUUUAUAAUAAUGAAUAAUAAAUGAUUUGCAAUGACUUAUGCAUUAAAGUAGGGACCUUCUUAGCUUAAUUGCAUAUUUUUGUAUGCUAUAUCAGCUCAACAUAAUCUCCAUCAUAAAAAAUAAUUUUGGCUGAAUGUUUCAAUCUCUGUUAUAAUCCAGAUCACUUAUGAAAGUGGUAGCUAUUCUUUCGUUCAUUUUUCAUUGUUAUGCAGUAAUAUAUUAUUUUCUUGGUUUGUACCUUUUCCAUUUCCACUGUUUCGUUAGUUUUUUUUAAGCGCAUACUUGAUAUCACGAUUCACGCAUUAGGGUGUGCCUUGGUGCAAUGGUGCUAUUGGCGGAAACCACCUUUCUGCUCAUGCAGUAAGAAAUAAAGUUUAUUCAUCUACUCCUCGUCAAACCCCACAAAUAUUCUUGUGUGCUAGGCUGCCGUUUUUAGUCAGUAAUGUGAUGCUAUGAGGAACUACGUGUAAUGUUGGUUCAGGUCCCUUUCUGUGUUCAGAUAGAUAAGUGGCUCCUCGAGGUAGGUAUCUAAGAUUUUUGCUGUCCAAGUAAUUGUUCUUCAAUGGUUGGGCCAAUGAUUUAAAUUGCGAUCACGACUACUGUGAUUGCGGUCACUGCAGUACGCAUUGUGGACGUUGCGGUGUGAAAUUUUUUAUGAUUAAAAAAUUGUUUUGAAUUUGAUGCGGCCCAAAUGCGAUAUAAUGUGAUUGUAUUGCAGCUGCAUCAUUGUAAUUCGCUGUCACACCUCAGUUGCGGGGUGAUGCGGUUGCUGAGAUCACCACGAUCACAAUGUUGCGGCCACAUCUGGUGAUACAUUUCACAAUUUGAUACAAUUGGUUGUGCAAAUAUACAGUAAUUGUGUCUACAGUUUCUGACCUGCAUUUGUUCCACAGAAGUUAGUAAGAGAUUGACUGACAAUUGAUGAUUUCACCCGGAGAUAAUUACUUAGUGCAUGCACAUUUCUGUUAUUUGUUAGUGAUAUACAUUUUCUUUGACAGGACUGUUUUUGUAGGAGAUGUUGUAGUGUUGAAGGACCCCGAGAAGGCAGAUAACUUCCUAGUCAGAAGAUUAACUGCAGUUGAGGGUUAUGAAAUGGUUUCUACGGAUGAGAAGGAUGAACCCUUUGUUCUUGAGAAGGAGCAAUGCUGGGUAGCGUCUGACAAUGAAAAUUUGAAAGCCAAGGUAUAAACUGCUUACUUUUCUUGUAAAGUAAUUGUUAUAUUUGCAUUUCCAAUUCACUAUUACCUAUAUUCUAUCAGUAGAUGGAUCAUUAUGCAUCUCUGCCACAAUUUAAAGUGCUAUUAUUGUAUUAUUGUUGGAAUAGAAAUUUAAGAUUAUAAUAUCAUGCAAUAAAGCAAGUGGUUCUUAUCGAUAUAAUAUCAUUCAAAGCGAUCACAUACGUGUAAUUGCUUAGAAUUUUUGAAAUUUAGUGUGUUAGGUUCACAUGAGAACUAGCUAGAAUUCAACGGUUUAAUUGGUUAAAAUCUAUAGAAUUACUAGAUGGUGCUAGCCAAUUCUUACACAUGUAUCAACAGAUCCUGUCAAUGUGACUUGGACAUCGGUUUUCAGCUAAACCCCCCUUUUAUCAAGUCAGAGUCAUAGAAAUGAAAUAGACCACAGCUUGGCAUGGCAAUUCUGCAAAGCAUUUUAGAAUUCAGUUUACAACAAUUAUGUUGCUAUAGGUGUAUGAGCUUGUGACUUGGGUUUCUCAAGUAGAAAUGUUUAAUUCACUUAUUUCUGUCAUAAUCUUUAUGAAGAAUGCUAGCAACACACUUUUUAAUGCAGGCUUUGUUAUUGGGUCGAAUUUAUGUGGCCCGCUAAAUCAUAUGGUUCCACUUUCAAUUUAGUGAGUCCACAUGAAUUCCGCGAUUUACAAAGUGCGUGUUGAAAAGAGUGUGUGUUAGCAUUUCUCUAAACUUUACUGUUUUGAGUCGUUAGUAAUACAAAAAUAGCUUCUUCUUAAACAGUAAAAAAUAGCUGUAACAGUAACAGAAAACCUUUUUAAGUGAUAAUUGAGCAUAUAAUUAAUUUUGAACCUUGUAUUAAGUAUCUCUAAGCUUUGAAGUGAAUGUUUCCAGAAAGUCUAGUAGGAUCUGCUGUAAUAUUUUGGCUAUGCUUUUGACUGCUCAGUCGCUUGUAGAACAAGUAAUAAUUCCUUUGCUUAACGACCCCAAUCCAAAUGGCAGGAAGCAAAUGAUAGUCGAAAAUUUGGUCCAGUUCAGAUGACAGACAUUGUAGGCAGAGUCAUAUAUUGCCUGCGAAAUGCCGUAGACCAUGGCCGUGUAGAGAACAGGUAAACUAAAUUUCCGACGCAUAAUUUAUUAUGCACAUAUUGUUUUGUUUUUUAUUGAUAUAUUCUUCUUCUUUGCAGUGAUUUCAGCAUGCAAAAGGAUUCACCAGUGUUGGAAGUGGAACUUGAUGUUGAUGAGAUGGUAAAGAGUCAGAAAGACUAAAACAUAUGCCCUCAGAAAAAACUAAUUUGUUCAUUUUAAGCAUGCUCUGAUUUGUUCUUGCUGAUCUUCUUUUUUAAGCACAGAGGAAUAAUAAAAUAUUUGAUUUUUGAGUUGUUGCAAUGGAAUGGUGUUGUUGUUAUGGGAAUGUCCUUAGAUAAGUCUGUAUAUCAGGCAUUGGCUCUUUCUUUGUAACUGCAAAAUUUGAAGUGGCUCAUGUGUUGAAAAUUGUUGCAAGUUAUUUGGCUCCAUUUGUUGAUGAUGAUAAAAGGCUACAUUUUAGAAAUUAUUGUUUUAGCUAUAUAUACUUUUCUUCCCUGGGUAAAAGUUGUGCCUAGUGCUACUACUAUGCUCUACUACGUUUACGUGUUGAGUUUUGAAGGUGAAUUAAUGGAAAUAGAAGGUUUGGGGGCCAUGAAAUACAUUAGUGAGAUGACUCCGAUCCUCAUUUAUCUUAUUUCCCCUUCAAAAUUUAACUUGCAAACAAAAUCUAAGUGUUCACUUAUUGAACUGUAGAAUGAGUUUGAUCAAGAACGUUUUAAGUGAAUCUUAAUUGAAUCAAAUAAAACUUUCUUCAACUCAUUUCAAUUUAUUUGACUUUCAUUUUAAUGAACUAAAAUUUAUUGUUACUAACCUGCAAUGCAUAAUGCAUUCACAGACUGAAUAAACUCUAAAUGGGACCUCUCUCUAUUCAUCAUUUCUUCAUAAACAUCUGUCCUUUGAUGAGUUAUUGAGAUUAAUGCACCUAAUUUUUUUUGUUAAAGAAAUCAAAAAAUGUUGGUCUCAAACACACAGGUAUGAGUACCCUGGAAUAAAAUAUCAAUAGGGGCGUUAGCAGUUCCGGUUUAAACCACGAAAUUGGUAGAACCGAAUCAAACCAUAAAAUGUGGUUCAGUUCAGUUUUGCGGUUGGGUUUGGUUAUUUAUUUAAGGAACCAUUUAUGUUCGGUUCGGUUCAUGAUUUUAAAAAUUUAUAAAUUGUUAGAACUCAACAGCAUAUUAAGUAAAUAAAUACUAGGGAAUAAUGUUAAAGUGUUGUUUGUAUUCUUCAACCAAUUUUGUGAUUUAAAUUAUCAUUUUUGUUUGCAUUGUAGUGUUAUAAAUGUUACUAAAUUAUUGUUAUAUUAGUGUUAUCUAUAUAACUACUUACUAAAUUGUUAUAUAUGUGCUACUUUCUCAAUAUCUUAUGAUUUAGAACAUAUUUUUUAACUUUCGUGGUAUUAGGUUUGAAAUUAAUAUAUACCAUAAAUUGUUAGACAUGUGUUCUUACAUAUGUUACUACUUACAAUUGUGAAUUGUAAUAUUACAUUUAUUACUAGUAUAUAUAUUACUAUUAUAUAUAUUACUAAAUUGUUAUACAUGUUACUAAUAGUAAAUUAUAUUGUUAUAUAUGUAACUAAUAUAUAUAUUACUAAUUCUGAAUGUACUAUCAUAUAUGUAGUCUUUUAUUUUUUCUUCCUAAAUUACACAAUUUUUAUAUGGGUUACUAACUUAUUAGUUUAAAUUUUUUACACAUUUAUUCCUGAUUUAUAUUUUUUGGAUAAAUAAUAUGAGUGUUUUUCUUUUUAUGGACAAACAAUGUUUCUUAUAAUAUAUUUUUAAUUUUUAAUUGAUACAAUACUUUUUUUAUAUAGAAAAUCGUGGAACCGAACCAUUUAUGAGCGUUUCGGUACCAUAAUAAAAUUUAUAGUUGAUUGAGGUGUAUUAAACUAUUUCUUUAUGUUCAAUUCAGUCACCAAAUUAAACCAAAAACCGAACUUUUAUGUUCCUAACUAUUUACCUAUUUUUAUGUUGUAGUUAAUAUAAUAAUUUUAAUGUUUAAGUAUGUUUUUAGUAUCUAAAAAACAAUUGGCACCCUACAUGGUGCUUUAAUUUUAUAUUUUCUUUUUAUUUCUUAUUUUUAGUGUUUUUGGGCAUCAACAACCAACAAUCAUCUAUCUGGAAAACCAAAGAUCUAAUUGAUUAUAGAUGCUGUUGACAAUCUUUGUAGGAUUGAUAGUUGAAGUUGGAGAUGUUAUUACCAUUGCUAUUGUUCAACCCUCUCACCAUAGUCAUUCACCACACAUUGUCCUUCUCACCUUUGAAUCAAUUCUACAAUCCCAUAAAACAUCGUUGGAACCCAUGUACAUGAACAAGUCACAUAUUCCCAUGGCCUUGGCAUGAAUAUUAUAGUGCAGUAAGUAUAGAAAAUGUCAACAUAAACCUUUAAUUAUGUCGUUACACUCUCCAACUCUUCAUGUCCACAAUCUAUGUUCUGCUGCAUUGGAAUUCUUUUCCCUUCAAAAUGUCAAGACAAUUUAGAAGAUUACAUGGAAGUUUUUAACUGCGAUGACGAGAGCCAUAGUGCAUUACAUUGAGAAAAGAAAAGGAUGUAUGCAUAACAAAUUUUUAUAUUGUGAACGUAUCAUUUAUAUUCUUAUAAAAGUUAAAUAAUGUUUUUUAAGUCAUGAGAAAAAUGACUUCAUAAUAUAAGAGUUUUAUAUAUUAUUACUAUAUCAUCUAUCAUUCAUAUAUUUAAUUAUCAUUGAUAUAAAUAAAUGAUAUAUUGAUUAUAUAUAGAUUUUUACAAUGAAAAUCUAUUCUUAAGUUCAUAACAUUUCCAUUCUUAGUUCGGUUCAACGUAUUAUUUUAUAUCAUUCUUAUUUAUAUUUGAGUAUCACAAUUUAUCCAUAAGUUUUUUAUUUUAUAAUAACAAACGAUUUCUCUGUCUUUUUUUUGUGCUUUCCAAACCCACAUUUUCUUAUUUAGAAUAAACACAAGAUAUUUCUUGUACAAAUAAUAUUACAUAUUCUUAAAAAAAUAAUAAUAGCGAAUGAGAGGAUAAUAUUUUAUUUAAAUAAGAAUGGAUUAUUAUCUAUGAUCUAAUUCCUAAUUUUUUUGGUAUCAUGAAAGUAUUCACUUUUGGAUAAUAAACUAAUCCAUUCCAAAAUAUAUAUUUGUCCUCUUAAUAAAUGUUAUUUUCAAUAAUCAAACCAUUAAUAUUUGGAUUAUCUUAAAGAUCUAGCGAACCUUACAUUAGUAAACUAGUUCUAAUCCCAAUUUGUUAAGGUUAGUCAAAUUCCAAACAAACUCGUUUGGAAAGGAAAUUGAUGUUGGCGAAAAUAUCCCUUAUGAUGGGUCCACCAUCUUUCUAACAGAUACACACUGAUAAGCGAAACAGUAAGAAGCUAUUGAGUCUCACUCACUGUUACUUCCUCAGUCUCACUAUGUCGCAAACGCCGCAUCUCGUCGUCGCUAAUAACGUCGGUAAGUCACUCUCUCCUAUUAUUCUCUCAUCCUCUAUGCUUUGUGAUUAUUCUCCUUCUUUUUUUCCCCAUAAACUUAAUGGAACACACAAUAACCUUAACCACUUAAUACUAAAUAAAUAGCUGCUCCAUUUUCAAAAAUCUACCGUGUCUCUUUUUUCAUUUACUUACUUUUGUAUUGAACACUAGGGUUUUUGCAUUGCAGUGUGUUGCUAAAUUUCCUCUAUUAUUUUUUUAAAUUUUUGUAGCUUUGUGAUAGAAAGCUUCUUGCUUUAUGAGUUUUUUUAAUGGUUUUGUUUUUUCCCUGCAUUUUUGUUAGCUCUAUGUGGGAACUAAUGGUUUGAGAGAGAUAGAAUAUUGUUUUCAUAUAUGAGGUUUUGGUGUUUCUAUUGCCUGUAACGUAUUUGAUGAAAUGCCAGUGUUAAACUGUAGUAGUUGUUGGACAUCUAGUAGUAAAAAAUCGGCAGUCCCAGAUAGCGGCCAACCCCAAAAAUACUAUAGCGGGAUAGCGGGUAGCGGGACAACCACUACAACUAAGAAAAAAAAAUAUAUAAGUAGUUUAUAGCCUACAUAUAUAAAUACUAAAAUUAAUCAUAUUAAAGACACAUUCCUAAUUAAUAAUCAAGAAAAAAGUAUUAAAGGUUCUAGAGCUAAUCAAAGUUGGAUGCCAUAACAGAAUUGUAUCUCACAAAAUUGAACCACACGAAGAUGAUGUCAAUUGGGUUAAAUCAGUUUAAUAAGAGAAUCAAUAAGGAGAUGAUAGGGCAAACAAUCAGGGACCAAGAAUUUUCUUUUAAGAAAAGAUGGAGAAUGAUCGUAAAUUAGGAAGCCUUGCAAUUUUGUUCUAUGCUGAUGAAGAACAUGUAAGCAAUUGAACAUGUGAACUGGAAUUUGGAAGAAGAAAGGUAUAACCAAUUAAAAAUCACAUGGCCUAGGAAAAUCAAUGUGUUAAGUAGAAGGGAAAGAAUGGGAGGUUAAAUUACCUAAAACCCUAGUGAAAAACCAGCCACCUAUUAAAAAGAGGAGCAAAAAAUACUUUUCUUCUAUAAAGUUAGGGUUCCACUCGCAAUAAAACAUGUAGCGGGUCAUGAUCCGCUAUUUUCCCUGCAAUUUUGCCGCUAUUUGACCUGCUACAGGUGCUACAGCCAUCUGCACCGCUAUCCACUAUGGCGUUGCGGGUAAUGGUCGAAGCACUGCUACAGUCCGCUAUUGCGGCGCUAUAGCGUGCUAUUGACUACCUAGGUUGGACACUUUCAUUAUUAAAGGAAGUACUCUUCUCCGAAACUGCCUUGGGAUUUCUUCUUUCUGAAUACUUUCGUUAUGUUUGUUUUGAGUUUUGACAAUGUUUGGAUUUUCUAUGUGAUUCCUUCCCUCCUGCUUAUUGCUAUUGUUCAAUUCAAAAUGUGGUAAAUAAAAUUGGAUGGUCAUUAUGCUUAUUUUAAGUUGUAUUAGACAAUGGAUUGUAAUGUUGUAUGUUGUUGAUCAGGAUUCUUUACCUUUAGAAAGGUUCUCACCAAACUGAAAUAAUGGAUUUUUUUUAUUCUGUUUUUCUUUUGUGAUUGAAACAGUUACUGUAUUUUCGGUCAAUAGGUUUUAUCUGCAAGCUGCUUCUAGAAUAGUCUUAAGUCAUCAUGACUAUAGCGUUAUUAGUAUGUUCUUAAGCUGGUUUUUUUAUGGCUGGGUUCCCAUUAUUAGUCUUCUCACUUUGAUGCUUAUUAUCCGUAAAUUCAGAGGUUUGAGUACGUGGUGCCUUGUGUAGGGUUUCUCUUGCAGCCUUGUUUUGUGUCAUUUACUGUCGUUGUUUAUUUUUCAUUUCUCAUAGACUCAUACUUUACCUUCCUCUUUGUGGGUGUUUGUUGAAUUGGUUUCAAUGAUAUUGCAGGUUGUGGAAUGUCAGAAGUAAGGUGUCUCCCAUGUUCAGGCGUUUCUGGAAGGACAACUGCUAUAUAUUCUUGCUCUUCUCUGAGUCAUUACAGCAUUCAUUCACAUGUCAAAAUUAGAGGGCUAAAGUGUGCUUCUGCGGGGGCAUCUUUUGUGUGCGAAGCAAGGAAGAAUCCAGAUUUCUCAAGGCAAAACAAGCAUGGGUCCUCCAGAAGCAGGAACAGGCACAAUGAAAGUAGAGAUAGCUUUGAGAACUUCGAAGAAGAUAUGUUGUCUUUGAAAAACGGACCAUUGGUAUCACUUUCUACUGCUGGAAAAUCCCAGGCAACUGCAGCCCCUGGACCUAGAGAGAAGGAGAUUGUUGAGCUAUUUAGGAAGGUUCAAGCUAAGCUGCGUGAGAGAGCUGCUACCAAGGAAGAAAAGAAGGUUGAAACCCCCCAAGGACGUGGUAAAGAGAAUGGUACUGUUGAUUCCCUCCUCAAGCUACUGAAGAAACACUCAAAUGAGCAACAAAAGAAAAGCAGUGGAGGAGGCAGAGGGAAAGAUUUUAGUUUGGACGGGUCGCAAGAAAGUAGUCAAUAUGAUGGUGGACGAAGCACUAAAUUUUCCAAUUUGGAUAAUGCUCCAAAGGAUAACUCCCGAGAAUCCAGCUUCUCAUCUGUAACUAGGCCUCGGUCAAGUUUCCAACGAAGGUCUCCUGUUCCUCGUGUAAAACACCAGUCUGUCUCUUAUAAUGAGGAAGAUACUAAUGUAGUGCCACCAAGUAGUGAGGUUAGAGUAAACAAUCAUGAUCAGAGAGAUCUGAAGCUUGAUCAUAAGGUGGAGCCUAGUUCUGAACUAAAUCUUGAUCAUGAGUUAGAGCCUGAUUCUGAACCAGAUCUUGAUCUUGAAUCGGAGAACGACUCUGAACCAGAUCUUGUUCCAAAGGACAACCUGUUCUUCCCAGAUAUCCCAAUUGCUGAGUUGACAGAUAAUGAUUCUCAUGAUUCUGAACAAACAUAUGAGGAGGAACAUGCAGAGGAACAGCUAGUGGUUCAAAAUGAGGAUUUGAGUGCACUGAAGCUGUCUGAAUUGCGGGCACUUGCGAAGUCUCGUGGCCUAAAAGGGUUCUCAAAAAUGAAGAAGGAUGAUCUUAGGGAGUUGCUAACUGGGAAUUGAUUCUGAUCAACAAUUUGCCAGACAAGCAACAACAGACAACACAUGUCAGACUAUAAAAUAGAUGUUUCUUUUCUGUUUUUACCCUUCAUUCUAUUUGGUGUUUUGUAUUUUUUCCGAAGUCUAAUGCUUCUAACUAGACGAGUUUUAUACAUUUGGACAUCAUUCUUUGAAUCCUUCUUUAUUUUAAAUAUCCAUUCACAACUAAUAAGUUUUAUUCUUUCAUUCAAGAAGAUCCCAAACUUUAAUAUCAUGUAUAGAUUUCAUCUCAUUCUUCCCGACAUUAAUUCACUUAUAAAAGUUAGAACUAGGCAUAAUUUGAUAGAAAUUGACUGGUUCAUCAUCUAUUAAACUGAUGUCAUUUUCAUGUUUUCCAAGAAACACAAUAUAAACAUUUGGGGUUGCAUUUCUCCUCUUUAGUACAUCUCAUUCACUACACACUCACUUCCACUUCUUGAGGUUGUUUAGGUUGCUCUCUAAGUACUUUAGGGGAACCUUAUUGUUAUCUUGUUUUAUAAUAUUACCGAUAACAAUAGUAUAAAAAUUAUAUUCUAUUAACGGAGUUGUGUCUUGAAUGAUAAUAGGUACAAUGGCUCGAUCACUAUUAAUAACAAAUUCUUAUUUAAAGACAACAUUUUUUAUGUUAUCUUUGAAAGUGCAAAGUGUCAAGGAUAGCACUAGCAUAUCUUUGCCUAUGUUUUGAUGAAGAUAAGAUUCUAACAAAGCUUGAAGAUGACUCAACAAUCAACAUGCAUUAUGCUCAUUUGGUCAUAUUUAGACUAGGAUGUAAAUUGAGUCUAAAAUCUAAGUAGUCUGGGAUGUGUGCAGUAGUAAGUGAGUAUAGGUUAGGUGAACCUAGGUGCAAGUCUCUUAAGUCAUCUUAAUUGUCACAUCAUAUUCAUGAAACAUAUCGUCUAGUUAAUUGUAUGUUCAUGCAUCUAUCAUACAUGUUAUAUGUACAUAUUAGGCAUAAUAUAAUUGGUAAAACAUGUAUAUAUAUUGUGCAUAACAUACGAGAAGUUUACCAUUUGAAACAUAUGCAUGUUCUAGUUAAUCGAUUAACGUGGUAACUUAAUCGAUUAACUCAACUGUUUUUCUUUUAAAUGUGUGUUUUCUGUUUGAACUAAAUUCUGUGUCAUUCUGUUGCCCCAUUAAUUGAUUAAAGAGAAGCCUUAAUCGAUUAACUAGUCUGUUAUUUGUUAUAACUAAAAUCUGUUUUAACUAUUUAACUGUUUUGCAACGAAUGUAACCGCCUAUUCUCUAUGCUAUAAAUACAAGGCAUUGUUCAGAAAACCACAGCAUUGCAUUCUAUUGUAUAGGGUUGUUUAGAGAGCAUUUUGCAUACGUGUUUUACUGUAUUUUUGCAAGAGAGUUGCAUGCGUGAGAAGAGAGAUUAUGCUGGUUUAAUUGAUGUUAUAUGCUUACUGUUUUUGCAUAAUUCUGUAUCUAUUCUUAUCUUGCUCACAUGCUCAUGCAUUAGAUAUUGUUAGAGAGAAAUUAUCUGUAUACUGAUAUUGAUUAACUCAUUUGAAUCUUGAUGGCUUAAGUGGUUAGUAAAAGGGUUAAUCUUUGAGUCUUUAUCUUGUCNNNNNNNNNNNNNNNNNNNNNNNNNNNNNNNNNNNNNNNNNNNNNNNNNNNNNNNNNNNNNNNNNNNNNNNNNNNNNNNNNNNNNNNNNNNNNNNNNNNNAGGGUAGAGUCAAACCAAGGAUUUAGAGGUCCUAGAUUUCAAGAAGGGAGCGUCCUAUGUGCUUGUAAUUGAAUUGGUAUUUGUAUCCAUAUUUCAAUAUUGUGAAGAAAGAAAAUCUCCCUGAUCCAGAAGGGAAGGCUUGGAUGUAGUUUAUAGUGAACCGCAAACGAAUUAGGAUAAAAAUCCUUUGUGCACUGUUCUUUCUCUCUUUAUCUUCUUUAUGUUUCUUGCCAUUAUAAAUUCUUGCCAUUAUCUGUAAUUGAAAAGUUGGAUAUUUGUUUACUAUCAUAUACUUAAUAAUUAUGCGUAAAAAUAUCUGUAUUAUAUAUGUUCAAUUUUGUUUUAAUUACUGUGCCAAUUGCCUGUCUAAUCAUUCUGUUCUGUGCAAUAGUUAAUUGAUUAAACCUUGUUGUUAAUCGAUUAACUGGGCUAUUUCCAGCAGUUGGGUUUUGGUUCAAGAAGCGGUGAUUGAUAACCGCUACACCAAUUCAACCCCCCUUCUAGGUGAUCCUAGGCCACUAAUACCUAACAAGUGGUAUCAGAGCUAGUACGACGUGCUAGCUCAACCGCAUUCGCGUGAUCCGAAGGGAAUUAAAAUGGGUUCCACCAACCCCUUUGGCGGUGAUGGUGCAUCCAUUAACGUCCUCACGUAUUUAGUGGCGAGGGUUACGCCUACUGGAAAGUCCGAAUGAAAAUAUUCAUUGAGGCUAUUGAUUCGGAUAUUUGGGAAUCCGUAAUUAGUGGCCUCUUCGCCCCACUUCACUUAGUGGAUAGCAAACCGAAAGAAAAGCCAAAAACGCUUAUGGACCGAUGAGGAGCGCAAGAAGGUCCAGUUUAACCUUCGCGCCAAAAACAUCAUUACCUCGGCUCUAUCCAACGAUGAAUUCUUUUGGGUAUCUCAAUGUCAAAGUGCCAAGGAAAUGUGGGACACUUUAAAAGUGACUCACGAAGGCACUAGCGAAGUCAAGCGCGCCCGGCUAAACGCGCUAACUCACGAAUACGAAUUAUUUCAUAUGCUACCGAGUGAAUCAAUCGACGAUAUGAAAAAACGAUUCACUCACAUUAUUAACCAUCUUAUUGAUUUAGAUAAGAUGUUCACCAAAGGAGAGCUCGCUAAUAAAGUCUUACGUUGUCUUGACAAUGCAACCUAAAGUAACAGCAAUCAUGGAGUCCAAGGAUCUAGACUACAUGCCUCUGACAACACUCUUUGGAAAGCUUCAGGAGCAUGAGAUGGAGCUUGGGCGUUUGACAAUGCAUGAGGAGUCCGAUCGCAAAAAGAAGGGAAUAUCUCUUAAAGCUUCAACAUCACAACCCAUCGAAGAGAUAGAUAAUGACGACUCCGAUUCAGACAUUGACGAGGAAACGCUAAACCUCCUUGUACGAAAAUUUGGAAAUUUCUUGAAGAAUAAAGGAUGACUUAGACGAUUCCAAAGGAAAAAAGAAAGGACUUAGACGAUUCCAAAAGAAAGAAGCGUGUGAAUCAACAAAGAAAGGCAAGACAAAUGAGCGCUUCACUUGCCAUGAAUGUGGUAAGCCAGGACACAUGAAGUAUCAGUGCCCCACUUACUUAAAAAUAGUUGAUUCAGAGAAGAGCACUCCCCGGGACUUCAAGUCAAAGAAAGCAUACAUCGCCUGGGAUGUACCGGAGGAAGAAACAACAUCAAGCACCUCGGAUGAAGAGGAGACCGCGAAGUUGUGCUUAAUGGCUAUAUCAGAUGAGGCUUGCGGAUUAGGUAGCAAGGAUACUUCAGAUGAGGUAUACUCUGAUACAUCAUUCUCUUCUUCUGAUUCUCCCUCAUAUGAAAUAUUAUAUAGUGCUUAUGAGAUGCAUGAAGAACUUAAAAAAUCAGCAAAGUUAAGUAACGAGAGAAAAAGAAUAAUUUUGCUAAACCAACAAAAAAUAAUUCAACUGCAGAAAGAAUUAGAUGAAUUAAAAUUGGAAACAGAAACAUUAGAUCUAAUUUUUUCCCGUGCUUCACGCGAUUGCUCGAAUAAUAACUUAUGUCAAAAUACUACCUGUGAGUCUUGCGAGGACUUGAAAAACGAAAAUUUUAAACUAAAUGAAAAACUCGCAAAACUCACAAAUAGUAAAAACCAAUUAGACACUUUGCUUAGCAAAACAAGGAACGUUAGUGAUCAUACUGGAUUAGGAUAUGUUCCCCCAUCCCAUAAAAAUAGACCAUAUAGGAGACCUCUAACACGCCAAUAUAGAAAUUCAAAUAAGAAAAAUAGAGUUCCCACAUACCAUUACUGUGGCACAUAUGGCCAUACAUCUAAUUCUUGUUACAUCAGGAAAUAUGGGAUACCCAGUGGCGUUUACACUUAGGUAAGAAAGGGAGAUAACUCCCUAGUCACUAACAAGAAAGGACCGAACAUAAUUUGGGUACCUGAGUCUAGCAGAUGAUCUAUAUUGCAGGUAUGUCUUCGAACACACGGACAAAAUUGGUAUCUUGAUAGCGGCUGUUCGAGACAUAUGACUGGGGACAAGUCGAAAUUCAUAGACUUGUCGUUGAAAGAAAAGGGAUUCGUCAGCUAUGAAGACAACAACAAAGGAAGAAUCUUGGGCACCGAGAAGAUUGGCAACGCAACCCACACAAUAAUCGAGAACGUUCUCUACAUAGAAGGUUUGGAACACAAUUUAUUGAGUAUAAGCCAAUUAUGCGACAAAGGUAAUACUGUGUCUUUUGAUUCUGACUGUUGUAUCAUUUGUGAUGUAUUAUCUAAUAACGUUAAGUCUGUCGGGUAUCGGGUAAAUAAUAUUUAUAUGGUUAAUCUGGAGGAUGUCACUUCUCUUUUCUCAAAAUGUCUUAUUUCAAAAGAAGAUGACAUCUGACUUUGGCAUAGACGCGUCGCUCACAUACAUGUGAAGCAUUUAUAAAAUUUAUCGAAAAAUAAUUUAGUAAUCGGUCUUCCAAAACUUGAUUUUAAAACUCAAGAUUCCUGUGACAUGUGUUAGAAAUGUAAACAAGUCAGGAAUUCAUUUAAUAAAAAGAAUGUGAUAUCCACUACUAGACCAUUGAAGAAUAUACCAUGCAAGUAGAAGAGUCUAUUCAUGUCCAUUUUGACGAAUUUUCUCCAAAAGAGAAGAGAAAGGUCUUUUCUGAUGAUGUUUCAGGUACACUUGAAGAAGUAUCAUACUAGGACAUGGAAGAAAUCCAACAAGAAGCAGAGCAAACACUAGCAGAACAACAUCAGGAAAUGCCUAUCGCGUGAAAAACUAAAAAGGAUCGUCCACUUGAUAAGGUGCUAGGUGAUAUAUCUACGGGAGUGAUAACCCGUAGCUCUUUACGAAACUUUUGCAAUUUUGUUGCAUUCGUGUCACAAUUAGAGCCUAAAACCAUCGAUGAAGCCAUCGAGGAUGUACACUGGGGUAUAGCUAUGCAAGAAGAGCUAAACCAGUUCGAGCGAAACAAUGUGUUGGACUUGGUCCCCAAACCAAAAUAUCAUCCCGUUAUUGGCACCAGAUGGGUCUUCCAAUAAGCUAGAUGAAUCUAGCUUAAUAAUUAGAAAUAAGGCUUGCCUAGUGGCCAAAGGCUACAACCAGAAGGAUGACAUCGAUUAUGAUGAGACCUACAUUCCUGUAGCCAAACUUGAGGCCAUUAGGAUGCUCUUGUCAUUUGCAUCAAUCAUGAACUUCACACUUUUUCAAAUGGAUGUUAAAAGUGCCUUUUUAAAUGGAUAUAUUCAAGAGGAAGUGUACGUAGACCAACCACAAGGGUUUGAAAACUUCAAAUACCCGAACCAUGUAUAUAAACUCAAGAAGACCCUCUAUGGCCUAAAGCAGGCUCCCAGAGCCUAGUACGAUAGAUUGAGUUCGUUCCUUCUAGAAAAAGGGUUCAAAAGAGGUUUGGUCGACACCACUCUAUUCACUCGUAGAUCUGAUAAUCAUUUUUUACUCGUACAAAUAUAUGUUGAUGAUAUUAUCUUUAGAUCUACUAAUGACAUCCUUUAUAAGGAGUUUUCUGAGUUGAUGCAGGGAGAGUUUGAGAUGUCGAUGAUGGGUGAGUUGACCUUCUUUCUUGGACUUCAAAUCAAACAAAUGGAAAGUGGCAUCUUCAUCCAUCAGUCGAAGUAUUACAAGGAAUUAUUGAAGAAUUUCGACAUGGAGCAGUGUAAGGAGGCAUCUACACCUAUGACAUCUGCAUGUUAUCUGGACAGAGAUGAAAAAGGAAGCGAUUGAGGUAAACAAAUAUCGUGGGAUAAUCGGCUCCUUAUUGUAUUUAACUGCUAGCCGCCCCGAUAUUAUGUUUAGUGUUUGUAUGUGUGCUAGGUUUCAAGCUUUGCCAAAAGAAUCGCAUUAUAUUGCUAUAAAAUGUAUCAUAAGAUAUCUAAAAGGAACUAUUCAUAUGAGAUUAUGGUAUCCUAGGGAUGCCUCCCUAUCCUUGGUAGGUUAUUCCGAUUCCGACUUCGCUGGGUGUAAGUUGGAUCAUAAAAGCACUAAAGUUGGAUCGUAAAAGUACUAGUGGGACUUGUCACCUAUUAGGCAGCUCCCUAGUUGCAUGGCACAGCAAAAAGCAAGCGUGCGUUGCUUUGUACAUCGCUGAAGCGGAAUACAUUGUCGCUGGCGUGUGUUGCGCUCAAAUCCUUUGGAUGAAGCAGUAACUUAAGGACUUUGGGCUCAUAUUAGAAAAUAUCCCUAUUUAAUGUGAUAACACGAGUGUCAUUAACCUCUCCAAGAAUCCUGUCUUACAUUCUAGAACUAAGCAUAUUUAAAUAAGACAUCAUUUCUUGUGUAAUCAUGUUCAAAAAGGUGAUUGUAUAGUAGAAUUUGUUGAAACAACUAAACAAUUGGCAGGUAUUUUCACCAAGCCCCUCUCACGAGAUACUUUCUAUGUUCUUCGAAGAGAACUAGGAAUCCUUGAUGAAAAAUAUCUUGAUUAAUAAUUUUUUGUGAUUGCCUUGCAUGAUCCCUUCGAAUGCCUUGUAAAUGAUGAUUGAAUGCUUAAAUAUAUGUGAUAGCUUAAAAUCAAAUUAUCCAAUUAAGUUUGAAAUCCAUGCAUGCUUUUAAAAACAUCCAAAAUGCUGAAACUGAUGCAUUUAAUCGAUUAAGUAAAUCGAUUACCUGGGCCAAAACUUUUAAAACUGGCAUUUUCAACUCAGGUUAAUUGAUUAAGAGAUGCUAUUAAUCGAUUAACGACAUCAAUAUAUUAGAAACAAAAGCGUUUCUGGACAUUUUUCAAAACCCCAUUCAUCCCCUUUUCUCUCAAAUCUUAGAGGAACAAGUCCAACAUCAUCCUAAGCUUCAUCCUAGCCCUAAACUGAAUCACCCCACUGCAUUUUCACUCCAUAAGCCGUCUUCCUCAUCUCCUAUUUCCAAGCAUUUCGUUUUCCCCAAAUUCAAAGCCUUACCUUAGGUUUCCCUCAAGCUUCCUCUAAACCUCCAUCACGAUUCAAUGUUUGAUUGCUAUGGAUAGAGGACGUGGAAAGAGAAUCAAGACAACCGCACAACGUCCACCGCAUGCUCCAAAAGUCGUGCCUCCUCCACAACCACGACAGAACCGCAGGGACCCAUACUACUCAUUAAUUCUACAAGAAACUCGGUUGUAGAAAUUUCAGGGAAGAAAACCCACUUGUAUUCGGUUUGCGAAUGUGACUUGGCUUGCGGAACAGAACUUCAAUUUUCCACAUGGCUUGCAAGCUCAAGGGGCUGUCCCCUUCUUGGAAUUGAAAUGUAAUAUUUACCCUGCUAUAGUUAGGGAGUAUUACGCGAAUUUUAGAUAUAAAGAUGAGAAAUAUUGGUCGAUGGUAACUGGAAAGUUGUUCGAAAUUAAUGAAGAAAUCUUUAUGAUUGUGGGUGAUUUAGCUUUUUCUGGUGCUAGUUUAAGCGAUUGUGGUUGGGCAAACGACAACUCAUUUGACGCUGUUGAAAUGUAUAAGUCGUGUUUGCUUAGACCUCAACUCUAUGUCCAAGGUGAAUUGACCAACUCUAUGAUAAAUUGGCCUGAUGAGAUUUUGAAGGUCAUGUAUAACGUCUCAGCCUCUCAAUCAAGACUACUUCUGUAUAGUAUCUUCAUAUCCCGAGUUAUUGACUAUCUACAUAUUGAUGUUUCAGAUACUAUAGUGAUUUACUGCUUAGACAAGGAUCACUUGAUUGGUGAGAGUUUAAUUCACAAGAUGGACAUCUACAAGAAUGGCAACACCUGACAAUAUAAAGAGGACUUCAACAAUGCUAACCUUGAUCCUUCUGGUGAAGAUGAUCAAGACAUGAACCAAGAGCCAUUUGCUACAACUCAGGGGGAGCAUUCAGGACAUGCAUCACAGGAACCUGCUUUUGGACAAGCUUAUAUGGAUGCUAUGGAACAACGUCUCAACAAUAGGAUGGACCUUCACUUUUAGUCUCUUAAGGAUUCAUAUCAUACGAAUUUGGAACAUUUUGAGGAACGUCAGAAUGCAUAUAUUGACAACCAUUACCAAUCCUUGCGGAAUUAUAUUUAGUCUACUAAUGAUUCUCAGAAUAGAAGAAUGGUUGCUGAGUUCAACAAGUUGAGUGUCUUCAUCAAGGGUGGUUGUAGUUCGUCGAUUCCUGAGAACCAGAAUCCUCUAUCUCAUCCUUAGAUAGGAAACCUUAGAGCCUUAGUUUAGUCUUCCUAGCUAAUGGACCUUGUUGAUCCUUGUUUACUCUUGAGAUCUUAUGUUUUGUAUUGCAUUGCAGUUUUUCUUUGGAUUAUAACAACUCUAUAUCUACUGCUGAACUACUGUUUUACAUUCUGUGGUAAAAUGAUUUCGAAUUAUCGCGUUUAUACUUGAUUGUUAAUUAUGUUGCAUAUAGCACAGUAGUUUGUUUGAAAUGAAUCUUGAUCAUGAUUGGUAUAUGUGAUUAUAUUGAAUGAUUGUGCCUAUUGCAAACUGCUCAAAUAUAUCAAAUGCUUAAUCAUUCCGUGCUUGAUUUGCUUCUGCAUAACCUUUCAUGUCAUUCAAACUGUUCCGUGGCUAUCUGCUGUCAAUUUAAUUGAUUAACGGUUUCACUUAAUCGAUUAAAUGAUGUAAAACUGUGAAUUUGUUCAAGCUUCUUACAGCUGGUUAAUUAGUUACAUAUCCAAGUUUAAUUGAUUAAUUACAGUCUGUCAUAAAUAACUCUCCUAACUUUUGACUAGAAUUGAAUACGUUUAUCUUUUUGAUAAUGUCAAAAGGGGGAGAAAGGUUGCUUGUUGUGUUACAUACAUUUUGCAGGUUGUAGAAUGUUUUUUGUAGGUUGUUCUAUCAAGCUUCCGUACAUAAUUCUGCUUACCUAUAAGGAAGCAAUGCACUUUAACUUUGUUCUUAGAAAAACAGCCUUAGUCAACCAUUAUGCAAAAUCAUUAUCAAGCUUAUCCAUCAACAAUUGAAUAAUUUUGAUGAAGUGUUUGUCAUCAUCAAAAAGGGGAGAUUGAAAGUGAAAAGUGUCAAGGAUAGUACUAGCAUGCCUUUGCCUAUGUUUUGAUGAAGACAAGGUUCUAAUAAAGCUUGAAGAUGGCUCAACAAUCAACAUGCCUUAUGCUCAUUUGGUCAUAUCUAGACUAGGAUGUAAAUUGAGUCUAAAAUCUAAGUAGUCUGGGAUGUAUGCAAUAGUAAGUGAGUAUAGGUUAGGUGAAUUAGUUUCUUAAGCCAUCUUAAUUGUCAUAUCAUAUUCAUGAGACAUAUCAUCUGGUUAAUUGUAUGUUCAUGCAUCUAUCAUACAUGUUAUAUGUGCAUAUUAGGCAUAAUAUAAUUGGUAAAAUAUGUAUAUAUAUUGUGCAUAACAUAUGAUAAGUUUACCAUUUGAAACAUAUGCAUAAAUGUUCCAGUUAAUUGAUUAACGUGGUAACUUAAUCGAUUAACUCAACUGUUUUUCUUUUAAAUUUGUGUUUUCUGUUUGAACUCAAUUCUGUGUCAUUUUGUUGCCCCGUUAAUCGAUUAAAGAGAAGCUUUAAUCGAUUAACUAGUCUGUUAUUUGUUAUAAUUGAAAUCUGUUUUAAUUGUUUAACUGUUUAACUGUUUUCCAACGAAUGUAACCGCCUAUUCUCUAUGCUAUAAAUACAAGGCAUUAUUCAGAAAACAACAACAUUGCAUUCUAUUGUAUACGGCUGUUUAGAGAGCAUUUUGUAUACAUGUUUUACUGUAUUUUUGCAAGAGAGUUGCAUGCGUGAGAAGAGAGAUUAUGCUGGUUUAAUUACUGUUAUAUGCUUACUAUUUUUGCAUGUAUUCAUUCUUAUCUUGCUCACAUGCUCAUGCAUUAGAUAUUGUUAGAGAAAAAUUAUCGGUAUACUGAUAUUGAUUAACUCAUUUGAAUCUUGAUGGCUUAAGAGGUUAGUAAAAGGGUUAAUCUUUGAGUCUUUAUCUUGUCAUAUUUUAAGCAUUAUUGUGCUUAGUAUACCUUGCUGUUUAACGUGUUUUUGUGUUGUCUGGAUUUGUCUCUUGGUGUGAGAUCACCACAGAGAUUGGGGUUCUUCACUAAGGCCUGAUUUGAGGAUAAGAAUCUUGGCUGGGCUAGUUCGUGAGAAAGGUUUUCUCAGAGGCGAAGGGUAGAGUCAAACUAAGAAUUUAGAGGUCCUAGAUUUCAAGAAGGGAGCGUCCUAUGUGCUUGUAAUUGAAUUGGUAUUUGUAUCCAUAUUUCAAUAUUGUGAAGAAAGAAAAUCUCCCUGAACCAGAAGGGGAGGCCUAGAUGUAGUUUGCAGUGGACCACAAACGAACCAGGAUAAAAAUCCUUUGUGCACUGUUCUUUCUCUCUUUAUCUUCUUUAUGUUUCUGGCCAUUAUAAAUUGAAUCUGUAAUUGAAAAGUUGGAUAUUUGUUUAUUAUCAUAUACUUAAUAAUGGUGCGUAAAAAUAUCUGUAUUAUAUCUGUUCAAAUUUGUUUUAAUUAUUGUGCAUAUUGCCUGUCUGAUUAUUCUGUUUUGUGCAAUAGUUAAUCGAUUAAACCUUGCUGUUAAUCGAUUAACUAGGCUGUUUCCAGCAGUUGGGUUUUGGUUCAAGAAGCGGUGAUUGAUAACCGCUACACCUAUUCAACCCCCCUUCUAGGUGUUCCUAGGUCACUGAUACCUAACAACCUUUCAUCUCAGACUCUACAUUCUCAAGAAAUCACACAUUUCUUGUUUUAAUAAAAAUUUUGAAGUGAAAUUAUAAAACUUACAACCUUACGAGUGCUCAUGAUAUCAAACAAAAUAACAAUGUUUCUGAAUUUGUAUUUCUUUCACGUGGCCUAUAAGACGUGCCUUAGCUAAACAACCAUAGACGUGCAAAGGGUCAUGGACAUUUUCUUGACCCAUCAUAUCUAUCAUAGUGUUUACUAUCUCAGUCAGAUUUGACAACCUUAAUUUUCUUUAUGAAUUGAAGUUUAACUUUAACCUUGAAAAAGUCCUAGAGAAAUGACUUGAAAAAGUACAACUUUAAUUGUAAGGAAAGGACCACAUGGAUUUGUAUGUAUAAGUUUUAAGAUAUUCUUAACUAUUUUGAAACCUAAUUUUGUUAUGUUUAUUUAUUUUCCAUCUAGCAUUUAACAUAAACUUCAAAGUCUGAAAAAUCCAACAUAUUAAAAUAUCAUUAGAUACAAGUUUUUGAAUUAUAUAUUUAGAUGUAUGAUCUAAAUGUUUAUGUCAUAGUAUAACUAAAUUCUAAUUUAGUUCUUAAUAACUAGAGUGAUAAAUAUAUGUCAUUUAUGUGUCAUGCAACAUACCUAUAACACUCUUUCUUUAUGUGUCAUGACUUCUUACAAAAUUUGCUCCUAAAUUUCUCAUUACUCUUUCGUUUCUUUUGCUUAGAAGACUCAUCCACAAUACUGUUAUUAUUCUUUCUUUUCUUAUCUUGAGAGGUUGUUGUUGUAAAAAAAUCUUUAAUAAUAGACUUUAAUUGGUGGGAGAUACUUUAUACUUAAAGAUACAUAAUAUAUACUAAAGAUGAUGAACACUAUCAUCAUAUAUAGCCAAGAUCUUUCAUGUCAAAUCAUCAAGAAGAAUAUAGAUAAAACUAAAGCGGAAACGUACCUUAAUAUAUUCAUAGAGAAUAUGGUGAAAGAACUUUAUGUCAUCCUCCUUUAUCAUGUAUCGUUCAACUUCAUAUCAUUUAUCCUUAUAUGCAAAUACAUGCUCAUAGUAGAGCAUGUGGGUUCCAAUUGUAGAUCACCAUUAGUCUUUAGUUCAUCUUCUAAUAGGAUGAAGAGAAUAAAAUUGAUUUUGUUAUAUCUAUAAUUGGGGACCAUAACCCCUUAUUUAUAAGGAAGUGCAUACCCUUCCAUGAAGGGUGAUGCUACUUGAUUUUCUUAUUCCAAUUUUGCCCAUCAUAAAAUAGAAAUAAGACUUUAGAUAUCUACACAAUAAUUUUCAUGACAAUUAUAUCUAUAGUCAUAUACCUUACUUGAAUGGGACCACAUCUACUGUCUCACUUUGUGUACCAUUCCAUGUACCAUCAACUCUGAUUGGUUGAAAAAAAUUAUUUAAGUUAAAAUUUUAAUUAUUAAAUAUUUUUCUAGCCAAUCACAUCUUUUGACACAUGGAGUGACACAAAGCUGCGGGACAACAGAUGUGCUCCCUACUUGAAUUAGAUUACUUUAAUUUGGCUACAUAAGAUAAUGACUCUAAACACAUUUAAACAUUACAUGUGUGACCUAAAAUGCCUUACAAUUGUAGCCAAAUGAACAACUUUAGUCUUGCCCUCUGCAUGCUUUCUUCAUCGUGUAUAUAGUGAGAUAUAAGCUCACUAAGGGACCAUUUAUCAAUCUGAGUGUUAUAUCCCACUUUCAGUUGUAAAAGUAUUAAAAUCAUGUACAAGAGCAAGUUCUAACCAAGUUAUAACUUGAGUGGCUUAAGUUUUAAUAUGUAAUUAGAUAUGUCCACAAUGUGCUCUUUUGUGUUCUAUUUGCCUUUAUACCUUCAUGAAAAUGAAUUUAACUAACAAAUUAUUUAUCCAUGCCUUGUCAUUUUUCAAAAGUAUUGCUCCAUUUCUUCAAAUAAUUUCUUUGCACUUUAACCCUAAAAAUAUAGUCUUAGAAUGCGUCUAGAAUAGAGCCCUUCAUAAUCAUUAGACACAAUGAAUUAGAAGUUUCUCAUUUCUCAAUUAUAACCUCGUCAAUGUUAUAUUUAGUAGGAGUGAGUUUAUCUGUUUGAAAUGCUAAAUCUAAAUUCUAAGAAAUAUGGGUUAUCAAAAUGGCUUCCUUCUAGGCCGAAACAUUUGUCUCAUCCAACAUUGAGAUACUAUUGUGUUAGAAGAUAUUAAUUGUAUAUUAAUUAAAUACCAAAUGAAUAACAACUUCCUAACAAAGCCAAUUGGGUGACAUCAAGUUUAGUCUUUAAACAGAGAGUCGAUUUACAAGUGAUCAAUGAGUCAUAGUAAUUGAGUUUGAUAACCAAAUAUAUAAAGCUUUCCUUUGGGCUUGCUAAGUGGUAGCGACAAACACCUUACGACCAUCACAACUCAACACUACUUAUGUAUGCUAAUUCCUAUCAGACAAUUGUUUUCCUUUAUAUCGAUAUAUACAUUGAAAUAAACAUACAUAAACACCUUAGUAAGUCAUAAGCAAUUAAAAAAUCGCUAGAGUAUAUGUCAUUUUGGCAACUAUACUCUUUUAACCAAUCGAAAUAAAAACAAUACAAACUCAGUAUGAACAAAUUAUUCUAUUAUUUAAUCACAUUAACAUGCAAUAGUACGCAAGAAGUCAUAUAGUGUAUAUGACAAAACAUGUAUAAAUAAUUCAAACAAUAGACCUCCAAUUUAUUACUUAUAUAGUUUUUUCCUUUUCUCAAGUUAAAAGAAUUGGACAUGAUUGCCAAGCUGCUUCAUUUCUCCCCCUAUUCUCUGGGUAUCUUUUUUGAGAGGCUACUUUCUGAAAGUGGUCCUCCCAAGUCAGUGUUGGCAUAUUUGUACAUAUAUACUGUACAAUUUUGUUGUCUAUUAUAAAUUAUAGUACCUUAUACUGUUCUUUCAGUUGUUUUAUUACUACCAUUUAUUCAACCUUGUGUCAAUCUAUAUUUUUAUAAUUUCAUAUUGACCCUUGCAAACCUUACUACUGUUCAUAGGUUAUGUUGCUAAAUGUGUUGGGGAUGGUAUUUUAUAUUAUGAUCAUAUUUAUGGUUGUGUCUCUUUCAUACUGCAGGCUGGCUAGCAACCAAAGCAACUAGGUUCCAGUCUUCUACAGUUACUCAAUAAUAUCAUUAUGGUCUUUCUCAUGUACCCUAUUAUUUUGAGGUGACGGGUGUAAAAUAUGUUUUUUUUAGAUUUUAAGCUACAUUUAUUUUAGGAAUUGGGGAUACAUUUACUCCACGAAUAAGUUAAAAAAAUGUACUCCACAUUUUAGUCACUUAUUCUAUAAAAAUCUAGUGGUUCAAAUCUACAGACUAAUUUAAAUCAUAUGAAUCAUUAGAUUUUCAUAAAAUGAAUGACGAAAAUGUGAAGUAAGUUUUUUUAACUUAAUCAUGGAUUAAGUAUUUAUUAGAUAUGUAAUAUUAUCCCUCUAGAAUUUAAACCUUGAUUUUUUACCUUGUACAAUACAUGCGGAUAACAUCCUACCAACUCAUUGUUGUCUUUUGUUUUGAACUAAUUUUAAGUUUGGUAAAUUAAUAAGGAUUUGAAGAAUAAGAAAGUUGAUUUAUCCAAGGAAAAGCAUAGAUAUAAACUGAUUUACCAAGUUACAAGUUAUUAUUAAUAAAAUAUAGGUGUAAAUAUGUUUUCAAUUGUUGUAAAUAUAACUUUUUUGGGUUCUAGUCCUUAUGAACUUUUAUUCGGUAUUAGUCACUAAAAAUAUAAAAACAAUGUAUUUUAAGUUUUUGAUUAGGGACUAAAAUACAUUUUUAAAAUGAAGGACCCAAAAUGAACAAAAGUAAUAUUGACACUUUAUUGUGAAUUACACUCCAAUUAGGUUUUGAACUUUGACAUUUUGCCUUCAUUUAGUUUUCUUAGUUAUAUCUCUUUAAUCUCUUUUAGGUAGGAAUUCACACAUUACUUAGAAUUGUUAUAGUAGAUAAUGAAAUGUUAUAUAUUAAACUGAAAUUCCUAAUUAUAUAUAUUUUAUCUCAAAAAAUAUGUCAUUUGUUUUGAUUUAUGUUAAUUUUCUUCAUUUCCUUACCUUAAGCUUCAAGCUUCAAUAGCUUCCUUCUUCUUUCUGUUUUAGUUAAAAGGAAUAAAACACUAACUACCCUAACCAAAUUAACUAACCGACUAACAAAAGCUCAACUAUUUUAACAAUUUAUACAAGUGAUAUAUGAGUGACAUUCUUUUUAAAAGAGCUGGUCUUUUUUUUGGUAUUACCAAAUUUAUCUCUUUACCUUUUUUUGUAAGCAUUUAAUCUCUUUCGGGAUUCGUGACUAUCCCUCCUAACAAGUAUUGUUCCCAGAAAUUGAACUCUCGGCCUUGGGGAUCCAGUGAGGCCUUACACCACUAGACCAACGCCUUAUUGGUAAAGAGAUAAUCUGAUUCUGAAGUUAUAACAAGCAUCAAUUAAAGUUUGUUAACUAAUUAUAUUAUUUUUUCUCAUAUUUUUUUCAUGUGUUAUUUGAUUACUUAUCCACCAAUAAUAUCAAUGACUAGGCCUUUGACAAAAAUAAAAAGAUGGAGCUUAAGCUCCUUCCACUAUUCUAAGUGUUUUAAUGCCAUGAUUGUAGCAAAACAUGGCGUCGUUUACGAUACUCACUUUGAAAGAAUGAGUAUCACAUCCUUCUUCAACUUAGACUAAGUUGAAUCAUAAAUUUCCUUUAAAUAAGAUAUAUGAAUGUGAUUUAUUACCCGGCGAUGGAUUUGUAGUGGUUACUGGCCGUUAUGGCAAAUCUAGUCGUGCAGUGAUGGCACGACGGCGAAUGGGUUCUAUUGUGGUGGUUUGUAGGGAUGUUCACGGUCCAUUUGGAUCGAUUUUUAGACAAAAAAUAAUCCGAUCCAAACACAUAAUUAAAAUGCGGUCUGAUCUGGUCUGAUCUAUUUAUAUUAAGAUGUCUGAUUCAAUCCAGUCCAAAUAUUAUAUGCAGUUUUGCUUCGGUUUGGAUCGGUUUUUUUUAAUAAAAUAUUGAAAUUGCAUUUACACUCAAAACUCAUAAAAAUGACUAAAUGUUAAACAUAAAGCAAAACAAAAAUAUUGUUCAAGAACAUUAAAAUGUAUGCAACAAUAGUAUAAGUAAACAACAUCAUAAAAUAGUAACAAAUACUAAGACAAUAAUAAUAAAUGCAAAAAAUGGAAACAACAACAACAAGACAUCAACAAUUACAAGACCACAAAACAACAAGAUAUCAAUAACAAUAAUAUGAGCAUUUGUAACGUAAUUGUAACAUUUAAAAUAUUCCACCGAUGAUUAAUAACAAUAAUACUUUCACAACAAUAAAAUUGAUAAUAAAACACCUAAUCAAAAUCAACACUUGAAUCCUCUUUAUUUGUUUGUGGGAUUAGUUUAAGUUCUAAAAAGUGUAUCAAAUAUAGUCAGUAUAAUUUAAAACAAAUAUAGGUAUAAUUUUGGAGUUGAGACUUAAGAUUAAGUUUGGAAAACACUUAAAAAUAUUGCACACUUAAACUUUACAUAUUAAUUCGGUCUGGUCUGGAUCGGUUUGGAUCCAAUAGGUGAAACUAAAAUUCGGAACGGACCAAUCGGUCUUUAAAAAAUAAGUCCAACACGAUCUAUACACAUUCAAUUUUACGGUUUUGGUCUAUUUUGGAUCGACUUUCGGUUUUAUUUUUGGACUGGUCUGGAUUUGAACACCCCUAGUAGUUGGUUCUAAGAGUGAAAGUUUCUGUUGUAGGGUUGUGAUGGUUUUUGGUUGGUGGAGGUUGAGACUAGUGAUGGCAGGUAUAGAGGGAAAAGACAAUGGCAAUGGUUGGUUGUGGAGUUGGAUUAUGUUGAAUAUAGGAUUUGCGGGUUCAAUGAGAUCACAUUUUUUAUCCAAAAUUUAUGUCACUCUACAUAUUUACUUGCAUUAAUUGAUUGGAAAAAAAAAUAAAUUUUAAUAAUCAAAUGUUUUUCUAACAAAUUAUAACAAAUGACAUAUAAAAUUGUACAAAGUGGAAAAGAAGAUAGAAUAUAUGCCCCUAUAAAAUAUCAAAUCUUUAAAGGGGAUUUUACUAAAUAUGAAUUAACCAACUCUUAUUAUGUGUAAUUACAUCGAUCAGGAUACUGAGUGAAUGAAUCACUAGAUGUACCAAUGUGUUAAUAUCUUAUUAAACAACUAACAAAAAUGUUUUAUUAACAUAAAAUAUUAUAAAUAAGUUGAAAAUAUCAUAAAAAUAUAGGUUUUAUGUUUUAAUCGCAACAAAAACAAACAUGUAACUUUAAAACUUAACUAAACAACUAAAAUUUUGCUACAAAAUAAGUUAACAAAUGACAAAUAAAACAUAAUAAUACAUAACUUGUAUGAUUGUGUAAAACUGACCAUUCCAAUAACUUUCCAUUAGAAAUUCUAAAAGCAUUACUUACAUAUCAAAUGUUUUUUAUCGUAACAUUAUAUGUGUCAUUGUCAUGUAUCAUCCAAAAUUAUAAUGUGCCGUAUUAGCCCCUCAUAUUUUUAUUUGUUCCCUCGUGUCAUUUUUGUGUGGUUUUCACCAUCUAAUUAUACACUUAUACAAAAAUGAUCUUUAUAUUCAUAUUGUUGAUAUAAUAGAAACAAUAGUUGACUAGAAGCAAUUAAAUAAAGAAUAGGAGACAAAUAGAAGAAUAUAAAACAAGAAAAUUUGUUAACAUUAUUUGACCAAUGCCUACGUCCCAAAAGUGUUAAGCAUCUAAUCAUAUGAAUAGUUUACACCCAAAUUAAGUUAUACUAAUUACACUUUGUAACACCGUGAAUUUUCUAUGUAUGUUGUAUUAAUUAUUUAUUUUAAUAAGAAUUAAUUUUAUAAUUUAAUCGGUAAUGAUUUAGGUUAAACUUUAGUUGAGUGUUAGUCUUGUUUUAUGAAUUCCUAUUUUGUGGUAAAUGUUCGUAAUUUUCUGUGACAAAGAGUUUUUGAGCCGCUUCCGGGUCCAAAUUCGCCUGAAUUCGGCCCAAUAACGUGUUUUUGAGUUUUGUAUCUCGGAAUCAAAUUAUAAGUGUGUCAUUGGCUUCAAAAUAUUAUUUCAAGUCAAGAUAGACAUCAAUUUUUUUCCAUAACGUAUUUCUAAAUAUUUUUCACUCCGAAUUCUGUGUUUCGAAGUUUUGACCGUAAACCAAAAUCAGAAGAUUUUUAAUAUCCAGCCGAGUAUUAGACGACAAUAAUCGGGUAUGGUUUAAUCGUGAAUUUUCGCGGAAGAGGUCACUUCACUUUCACAAAUGAAACUUGAUUGGCAAGCAAGCAAAAAUACUCACCUCUUACACAAAAUCUCUUAAACCCUUCAUCUACCCAUUACACAAUUUACUCUCUGAAAACCUUUGGUUUUUCCCGUCCUAAAUCAGAUUCAUUGUCUUUAAAAGAGUUCCCCCUCUAACUUAGAGAAACCCUUGGCAUUUCACUCUUCUUCUUCUUCUUCUUCUUCUUCACUUUGAUUAUCAAAAACUCCAAGGUAAGCCUUCAUUCUUUUUCGUUCUUCAUCUCUUAGAAUCUAACCGUUAAAUGUUUACGAUAUUUUAUUAUGAUGUUUAUACGCAUGUUACGAACAUUUUCAACCGUGGAAAUUUUCUAAUAAUCUUCCUAACUCUUGUUAUACUCAAGAACUCGAAAAAUGGGUUUUCGUGAAUUUAGAAAAUCGUUGCUUUGAAACCAUGAAAUCUUGUUGUUCAUGGGGCUAUUUUAGUGUUUAUAAAUAUGCAUGUUGUUGAUUUUUAUGAAAGAGAAUGAGUAUGAAAUCAAAGGAUGUUUUGAUUUAAAAUGUCAUUUUGAGUAUGAGAUCAACUCCUGUGAAGAAGGUGUUGAAAUGACCAUGAACACGAUGAGAAUUGUGAACGAGACUUUCGAGGAUAAAGGAUGGUUCAAGAAUAUGAUUCUUGUAUCGGAUGGAUAAAAGUCUCAGAUGUUCUUAAAAUAGAUUAACAUAAUGUUUUUACCUUAAAGUUAGGAGGUAAAAGAUUUAACUCGCAAAUCAUUGAUUGAUUUUUGUGUUUAGGUUCGAGGCGUUUGAAGUCGGACAACCUACCCAUCCACUUAAAGGAGAUCAACUACUCUACAACCCAAAGUGAAGGAGAAUACAUCGUGACAUAGUGGUAUCCGAAUAUGACACCUGGAUCUCCCAACUACCUCAAAAGUUGGGAGUUAUAUUUGUUUUUUUUAAUCUCGUACUUAACCAAAUGUUUGCAUGUCUGGAUUAAGUACGGAAGAUUUCUUAAGCUGUAUAUCCUAGGAUAGUUUAAAAUAUCAAGUAUCGUGGUAGUUAAACAUGAAGGAAACCCAUUCGAGAAACUAAAACGCAUAGGGAUCGAAAACAGUGGAGAUUUUUUAUCCGGUUGCCCAAAAGGGCGAUGAAGUAGUCUUGGCAACUGGACACCCCUCGCCUGGGCAAGACAGCCUCGCUUGAGCGAGUGGUUCUCGCAUGGGCGAGGGCCAGGCAGGCAUGCCGUCUAUUCUAGAAAAUUCAGGUCGCUCGGGCAAGAGUAUCUCGCCCGAGCGAGACCUAGAGGGUGAUUUUGACUAGUUUUGGUUGAUUUUUCGCUUGACCGAUAGCAAGAGCCAGACAGGGAAUUGAGUCUGUUUUGAUGCAAUCAUCGCUUGAGCGACAGUCUCUCGCUUGGGCGAGAGACAUACAAUGUUUUUGAUUGCUUUUGAUUGGUUGAUUGCUUAGACAAUAACCCUAACUUGAGUGAGAAGUAUAUUUAAUAAUUGGGAGAGAUCGUGGCUCGAAUGAGGAGCCCGAUGCCCAAAUAAACAAACUUAUACCUAUGUUCUUACGCCUUAUGCGGGCAAGGAUUCCGACGAUGACGUCAUGAGCAAGGCGAUGUCUAGAAAGGAUUACAUUAUACCACACAACGAGAUCAUCUGACCGUAAGAGGCUUGGCCAGGUGGUUGUCCAGGAUAAUUCAGCGAUGGUUCGUAGUGGUAGGGAUGUUAUUCCUAUAAACAUCAUAAUAAAAUCUCGUAAACAUUUAAAAGAAUGAUUUGGGAGAUGUCUUAGGAUGGGACGAUCGAUAUAAAAGAAUGAUUAAACUAUUUAAUCGACUAACCUCGUUUAGUGUGCAUACUCAUUAUGAACAACGAAGUAGUGGAGAGGAAAUUUAUGGGAGACGAACGACUCCCGCGAUGUUGAGAGGGACGGCAAUGGCGGUGAUUGUCAACAAAGUCUUGAGGGCGAGUCUAGGUGAGAAAUGUCCCUUGUACUCCUGGAUGAGGUAUUUUGUAGGAUUGAACAGUUCUCACAGCGCAAACUAGAUGAUCUCUAACAACUCUUGUUUGCAAUCAGGAUCGAUGAGAGGGAUGCCAUAAAAUUGUUUGAUACGACACCGUCUUGAAAUGGACAGUUCUUCAGAACAGAUCGAUCAUAUAUCCUUGCGAGCAAUAUGUUUUUUGGUGCGUUCAAAUCGGCUUGUUAUGGGACCUAUAGUCUCGGUUAUUUCUGAAUAGUUUAUUGGGAGGAUAUUGGUAUAAGGAGUGAUGAAAUAAACAUAACAUUUAUACAUUGAGUUCAUGGAUAUUGAUUCUCAUAGUUUGAGAUAUAAUAUCAUUCAUCAUUUGCAUUUAUGUAUGCAAAAUAUAUUGUGUAUAUUAUGUGUGUCUAUCUGGAUGUGAUAUUUUGUGUAAUUCCACGCCAUCAAUGAAAAAUAUUCAUUAGAUGUCUUACUCCCUUUUCUUUCAAUUUGUCUUUGGUUCGCUUUCUCGUUUAGAUGGACCAUACCGCGAGGAUUCGGAGCUACCGAUUCUCGAUGUCCGAGGAGGGGACAUGUAGUAGUGACGGGCACCGAUACACCUACACAGACCCUUGUGCCUUAGAGUUGGAGAUGGUUUGUGAUGGCUCUACGAUGCGCUACCCCUCACAUCAUGCGGACUUGGAGGCUAUCACUUGCUGCACCAUCCAUUCAGUCUGUGAUUCCUCAUGGACCCACUGCUGCAGAGCCAUUUACUCGUAGACGAAUUUUGGCAACAUGCUUAAUUCCCCACCAUGGAGGAGAGCUGCUCGAUAGACGAUGCUCGAUCUUCAGGUGAUGCAGGAGCGAGAAGUAGGUUACAGGGUUCGUCUAAUGACCCGAAAUAGGAGAUGGAGGCUGAAGAGGAGGAGCUGGAAGACGAAGAGGAGGACCAUGUGGAGUUAGUCUGUAUAUAAGACUCCAUUGAGGUGGUAGACCUCUCCUCCGAUUCUGGGACGGAGGAGGACCCCAAUGAGUGUCCUAGCACACCUGCAAACACUAGAGUUAGUCACUAGCAGCCAUUUAUAUUUCUAUUUUGCUUUUGAAGAGGAUAUCUAGGGUACUUUUAAUGUAUGGAAUAAAUCAGUCUACUUUGUAUAUUUUCAGUUUAGACAAGAUUUAAUUCUGCUUUGUUUUUGUACAAACAUUUUCCGUUGUUUUCAAUAAUGAAUAAUUCCACGAUAUAUUAAGUGACUUUUGGUUACCAUUAGGUAAUGAUUCUUAUCUUUUCCAGAAUUUAAGUUACUUAACGUGAUGUCCCAAAAAUGAAUCGAAUGUAAGGAAAAUAAUUUCCUAUUAUAUUAUUCAAAAAAAAUUAUCCAUUUUUGGGCAAUGUUGUUGGAGUAAUUUUCGGGGCAUUACACACUUAAUCUCAGCCAUUCAUUUUCUUAAAUCCAACGGACAAAAUAGGUGAGUGAAAUAAAUGAUGAGAGAGAAAAAGAUAAAUCUUAAGUAACUUUUAAGUUUAACUCAUUUUGACCAUUGGAUUUAAGAAAAUGGUUGAGUGUAAUUACUGUAACUUAAUUUGGGUGUAAAUGAAUCUCUCAUAUAUAUAUAUACACACCAUGAGCUCAAUGUCUAAAUAAUGUUUCUAAUCGGUGCAUGAUAUAACUUGAAACUUCAUCCUAAUAUAUAGCAUAACAUGACAAAUAUUGCCAUACAUAACAUUAUAAGUAUCACUUAUGUUAGAAUAUAAUUCAAAAUUUUGUUUUGGGUAGUUUGUAAUACUUACUAUAAAUAGGAAGGUGUACCUAACUUAACUAUCAUAACAUUCCAAAAAUAGAAAUCAAUUCAUUUUCACUUCAAGAGCAAGGUUCAAAAACACAACAAAAUCUUCAAACUUUUCGAAGAACAAUGGGGCAAACCGAAUUUCCUGCAAAUCUUCCUAUACUUGAUGAAAAGAAUUGGAAUCGAUGGAGAAUUCAAAUGUCAGCUAUUAUGGGUUUCCAAGAAGUGAGUGAAAUUGUGGAAGAUGGACUUCCAGUUUUGGUAGAUCUGACCAUAGAAGCACAAAGAGUGUUAUACAAAGAGAGCAAAAAAGAAAGAUUGUAAAGUAAUAUUUUUGUUGCAUCAAUGUUUUGAUGAAGCACAUUUUGAGAAGAUUUCAUAGGAAAAAUCAACAAAGUUAGCUUGGGAAAUACUUGAGAAAAGCAAUGAAGGAGAUGAACAAUUGAAGAAGGUGAGACUAUAAACCAUGAGAAGGCAAUAUGAGUUAAUGUAGAUGGAAUCAAGUGAAAGGAUUCCAUAAUUCUUCAAUCGGGUCAUUAUCCAUACAAAAACAAUGAAAUCAAGUGGUGAAAAGAUGAUAGAUUAGACAAUUGUGAAAAAGAUUCUAAGAACUCUCAAUCCCAAGUUUGAUCAUAUAGUGGUGCCAAUUGAAGAAUCUAAGAAGAUUGAGGAACUGAAAGUUAUGGAUCUUCAAGGCUCUCUUGAAGCUCAUGAACAAAGAAUCUUGGAGAUAUCCACAGAGAAAGAUGUUGAUCGGGCAUUGCAAGCUCAUGCCCCAAGAAGAAGAGGCUAUGUCAAUAAGGGUGUGCAAAGGAAAAGAUCAGAGAAGGGGAGGAUACAAGUCUACUCAAUUUUCAGACCAAGAAAGAUCUAAUUCAGAUCCAACUGAAUUCCCAACUAUAAGAGGAGGCUACCAGAAAUGGCAAGGCAAUAAAAAGAGGGUUGAUAGGAAGAAACUAAUAUGCUUCAAUUGUGACAAGAUUGAACAUUUCAGUAGUGAAUGCUAAGCAUCCUCAAGUCAUAAUGAAAAUCAUGGUUAACAUCACAAUAAGGCUUACUUGAUCAAGAAGGAAAGUGUUGAAUGUCAAGAUGAUGAACCAGUUUUGUUGAUGAUGGAAAUAAACAAUGGAUCCAGUAGUGAUGGCAAAUGGUACAUAGACUCUGGGUGCUCAUAUCACAUGACUAGGAACAGAAUUUGGCUGAUAAACUUUGAUGAUCAAAGAAAAAGCAGUGUGAGAUUUGCUUAUAGUAGAACCAUCCAAGCAAAGGGAAAUGGUGAUCUCUUGACCAAUAGAAGAGAUGGUAGGAAGGCACUAAUAUUUGAUGUACUCUAUUUUCCUAACAUCAAGAGUAAUCUUCUUAGUCUAGGACAGCUACUAGAAAAUGUCUUAUUUUUACAAAUGCAUCAAGGAAUAUUGGAGAUAUUUGAUGCCAAGAAUUGCAAGAUAAUGAGAGUUCCUUUGGCAAGAAAUAUGUCCUUUCAAGUAAACCUGAAAACUGUUGAAACUUAGUGUCUAUCAACAACACCCUUAGUAGAAGAUUCUUGGCUAUGGCAUCUAAGACUAGGACAUAUGAAUUUCAGAGACAUAAGCAUGCUAAGAUCCAAAGGCAUGGUCACUAGACUACCACAAAUUCAGAUUCUAAACAUGGUAUGUGAAAACUGCUUAAUUAGAAAAUAACCUAGAUCCUCAUUCAGCUCAUUCACACCCUCUAGAGCAAGUGAACUUUUGCAUGUGAUUUACUCUGAUGUGUGUGGUCCGUUUGAUACUCCAUCAUUAGGAGGAAGUAAGUACUUUGUUACAUUCACAUAUGUGUUGAGCAUAAAAUUAUGGUUGUACUUGAUGAAAGCCAAAAGUGACACAUAUUCAGUGUUCAAAAUAUUGGUAGAGAAACAAUCAGAAAAAUGUAUAAAGGUGCUAAAAACUAAUGGUGGAGGAGAGUUCACUUCAAGAGAAUUUAAAACUUUUUUAAGGAGCAAGGAAUUGUGCAUGAGGUAAGUGCUCCAUACACACCUCGGCACAAUGGAAUUGCAGAAAGGAAAAAUAGAACCAUACUAAACAUGGUGAAGAGCAUGCUAAAAAGUAAGAACCUGCCACACAACGUUUGGGCUGAAGCAUCAUCUACAUCAGCCUACCUAUUGAAUAGGUGCCGAACCAAAAGACUUCAUGGUCAAGUCCCUAAGGAAGCAUGGUCUGGAAUUAAACCCUUAGUGAAGCACUUAAGAAUCUUUAAAUCUCUUUGCUAUAGACCCAUACCAGACCAGAAAAGGAAGAAACUUUAUCAUAAAGGAGAAGUUAUGAUUCUACUUGGCUACAACACUAUAGGAGCCUAUAAACUGUAUAAUCCUGAGACAUAGUAGGUAAUGUUCAGCAAGGAUGUGUACUUUGAUGAGCUAAAUUCAUGGAAAGGUUAGAAAGAAAAUCCUAUCUCUUUGGCUAAGAUGAACAUAGACUAGGAAAUUGAUGGUUCAGUGUUGGAUGAGAGAAACAUGGAUCCGACUGAUGAGCAAUAUAUUACACACUAUUCAUAUUCUUAAUUUAGCAUGAUUGAUGAUUCUUGGUGCCUAAUUGACUUUGUUUCAUAUCGUUUACUGUUUUAGACUUUAUUGGACUAAUAUUCCUAAAAUGAGUUAAUUUGGGAUUAUUUGGCCUGAUUAAAUCUAUUAUCAUUUUCAGAAUAUAUUUGGCACCAAUGGCAUUUUGGGCAUUAUGGAAGUCGAGGAUAUGUGUUGAAGUGAAGAUUGUAUUUUUAAUUUAGNNNNNNNNNNNNNNNNNNNNNNNNNNNNNNNNNNNNNNNNNNNNNNNNNNNNNNNNNNNNNNNNNNNNNNNNNNNNNNNNNNNNNNNNNNNNNNNNNNNNAAGUUAGAAAUUGUUGUUUUGAAAGCAUGCAAUAUUGUUGUUCAUUGGGGCUAUUUUAGUGUUUAAAAUAUAUGCAUGUGUUGAUUUUGAUGAAAAGAUAUGAUGAUGAAAUCAAGGAUGUUUGAUUUAAAAUGUCGUUUUGAUCAUGAGAUCACUCCCUCUAAAAAGGUGUUGAAAUGAUCAUGAACACGAUAGGAAUCGUGAACGAGGCUUUCAAGGAUAAAUGAUAGUUCAAGAAUAUGAAUCUUGGACUGGAUGGAUGAAAUUCUUGGAUGUUUUUAUAAUGAAUUAAAAUAAUAUCUUUACCUUAGAGUUAGCAGGUAAACGAUUUAACUCGCAAAUUACUAAUUGAGUUUUCUGUAUUUAGUUUCGAAGCGUUCAAAGUCGGACAACCUACACAUUCAUGUAAAGGAGAUCAACCGCGCUACAACCCAAGGUGAGGGAGAAUACAUCGUGAUAUAGUGGUUUCCGAAUGUGACACCCGGAUCUCCUAACUACCUCAAAAGUUGGGAGUUAUAUUUGUUUUUUUUAAUCUCGUACUUAACCAAAUGUUUGCAUGUCUGGAUUAAGUACGGAAGAUUUCUUAAGCUGUAUAUCCUAGGAUAGUUUAAAAUAUCAAGUAUCGUGGUAGUUAAACAUGAAGGAAACCCAUUCGAGAAACUAAAACGCAUAGGGAUCGAAAACAGUGGAGAUUUUUUAUCCGGUUGCCCAAAAGGGCGAUGAAGUAGUCUUGGCAACUGGACACCCCUCGCCUGGGCAAGACAGCCUCGCUUGAGCGAGUGGUUCUCGCAUGGGCGAGGGCCAGGCAGGCAUGCCGUCUAUUCUAGAAAAUUCAGGUCGCUCGGGCAAGAGUAUCUCGCCCGAGCGAGACCUAGAGGGUGAUUUUGACUAGUUUUGGUUGAUUUUUCGCUUGACCGAUAGCAAGAGCCAGACAGGGAAUUGAGUCUGUUUUGAUGCAAUCAUCGCUUGAGCGACAGUCUCUCGCUUGGGCGAGAGACAUACAAUGUUUUUGAUUGCUUUUGAUUGGUUGAUUGCUUAGACAAUAACCCUAACUUGAGUGAGAAGUAUAUUUAAUAAUUGGGAGAGAUCGUGGCUCGAAUGAGGAGCCCGAUGCCCAAAUAAACAAACUUAUACCUAUGUUCUUACGCCUUAUGCGGGCAAGGAUUCCGACGAUGACGUCAUGAGCAAGGCGAUGUCUAGAAAGGAUUACAUUAUACCACACAACGAGAUCAUCUGACCGUAAGAGGCUUGGCCAGGUGGUUGUCCAGGAUAAUUCAGCGAUGGUUCGUAGUGGUAGGGAUGUUAUUCCUAUAAACAUCAUAAUAAAAUCUCGUAAACAUUUAAAAGAAUGAUUUGGGAGAUGUCUUAGGAUGGGACGAUCGAUAUAAAAGAAUGAUUAAACUAUUUAAUCGACUAACCUCGUUUAGUGUGCAUACUCAUUAUGAACAACGAAGUAGUGGAGAGGAAAUUUAUGGGAGACGAACGACUCCCGCGAUGUUGAGAGGGACGGCAAUGGCGGUGAUUGUCAACAAAGUCUUGAGGGCGAGUCUAGGUGAGAAAUGUCCCUUGUACUCCUGGAUGAGGUAUUUUGUAGGAUUGAACAGUUCUCACAGCGCAAACUAGAUGAUCUCUAACAACUCUUGUUUGCAAUCAGGAUCGAUGAGAGGGAUGCCAUAAAAUUGUUUGAUACGACACCGUCUUGAAAUGGACAGUUCUUCAGAACAGAUCGAUCAUAUAUCCUUGCGAGCAAUAUGUUUUUUGGUGCGUUCAAAUCGGCUUGUUAUGGGACCUAUAGUCUCGGUUAUUUCUGAAUAGUUUAUUGGGAGGAUAUUGGUAUAAGGAGUGAUGAAAUAAACAUAACAUUUAUACAUUGAGUUCAUGGAUAUUGAUUCUCAUAGUUUGAGAUAUAAUAUCAUUCAUCAUUUGCAUUUAUGUAUGCAAAAUAUAUUGUGUAUAUUAUGUGUGUCUAUCUGGAUGUGAUAUUUUGUGUAAUUCCACGCCAUCAAUGAAAAAUAUUCAUUAGAUGUCUUACUCCCUUUUCUUUCAAUUUGUCUUUGGUUCGCUUUCUCGUUUAGAUGGACCAUACCGCGAGGAUUCGGAGCUACCGAUUCUCGAUGUCCGAGGAGGGGACAUGUAGUAGUGACGGGCACCGAUACACCUACACAGACCCUUGUGCCUUAGAGUUGGAGAUGGUUUGUGAUGGCUCUACGAUGCGCUACCCCUCACAUCAUGCGGACUUGGAGGCUAUCACUUGCUGCACCAUCCAUUCAGUCUGUGAUUCCUCAUGGACCCACUGCUGCAGAGCCAUUUACUCGUAGACGAAUUUUGGCAACAUGCUUAAUUCCCCACCAUGGAGGAGAGCUGCUCGAUAGACGAUGCUCGAUCUUCAGGUGAUGCAGGAGCGAGAAGUAGGUUACAGGGUUCGUCUAAUGACCCGAAAUAGGAGAUGGAGGCUGAAGAGGAGGAGCUGGAAGACGAAGAGGAGGACCAUGUGGAGUUAGUCUGUAUAUAAGACUCCAUUGAGGUGGUAGACCUCUCCUCCGAUUCUGGGACGGAGGAGGACCCCAAUGAGUGUCCUAGCACACCUGCAAACACUAGAGUUAGUCACUAGCAGCCAUUUAUAUUUCUAUUUUGCUUUUGAAGAGGAUAUCUAGGGUACUUUUAAUGUAUGGAAUAAAUCAGUCUACUUUGUAUAUUUUCAGUUUAGACAAGAUUUAAUUCUGCUUUGUUUUUGUACAAACAUUUUCCGUUGUUUUCAAUAAUGAAUAAUUCCACGAUAUAUUAAGUGACUUUUGGUUACCAUUAGGUAAUGAUUCUUAUCUUUUCCAGAAUUUAAGUUACUUAACGUGAUGUCCCAAAAAUGAAUCGAAUGUAAGGAAAAUAAUUUCCUAUUAUAUUAUUCAAAAAAAAUUAUCCAUUUUUGGGCAAUGUUGUUGGAGUAAUUUUCGGGGCAUUACACACUUAAUCUCAGCCAUUCAUUUUCUUAAAUCCAACGGACAAAAUAGGUGAGUGAAAUAAAUGAUGAGAGAGAAAAAGAUAAAUCUUAAGUAACUUUUAAGUUUAACUCAUUUUGACCAUUGGAUUUAAGAAAAUGGUUGAGUGUAAUUACUGUAACUUAAUUUGGGUGUAAAUGAAUCUCUCAUAUAUAUAUAUACACACCAUGAGCUCAAUGUCUAAAUAAUGUUUCUAAUCGGUGCAUGAUAUAACUUGAAACUUCAUCCUAAUAUAUAGCAUAACAUGACAAAUAUUGCCAUACAUAACAUUAUAAGUAUCACUUAUGUUAGAAUAUAAUUCAAAAUUUUGUUUUGGGUAGUUUGUAAUACUUACUAUAAAUAGGAAGGUGUACCUAACUUAACUAUCAUAACAUUCCAAAAAUAGAAAUCAAUUCAUUUUCACUUCAAGAGCAAGGUUCAAAAACACAACAAAAUCUUCAAACUUUUCGAAGAACAAUGGGGCAAACCGAAUUUCCUGCAAAUCUUCCUAUACUUGAUGAAAAGAAUUGGAAUCGAUGGAGAAUUCAAAUGUCAGCUAUUAUGGGUUUCCAAGAAGUGAGUGAAAUUGUGGAAGAUGGACUUCCAGUUUUGGUAGAUCUGACCAUAGAAGCACAAAGAGUGUUAUACAAAGAGAGCAAAAAAGAAAGAUUGUAAAGUAAUAUUUUUGUUGCAUCAAUGUUUUGAUGAAGCACAUUUUGAGAAGAUUUCAUAGGAAAAAUCAACAAAGUUAGCUUGGGAAAUACUUGAGAAAAGCAAUGAAGGAGAUGAACAAUUGAAGAAGGUGAGACUAUAAACCAUGAGAAGGCAAUAUGAGUUAAUGUAGAUGGAAUCAAGUGAAAGGAUUCCAUAAUUCUUCAAUCGGGUCAUUAUCCAUACAAAAACAAUGAAAUCAAGUGGUGAAAAGAUGAUAGAUUAGACAAUUGUGAAAAAGAUUCUAAGAACUCUCAAUCCCAAGUUUGAUCAUAUAGUGGUGCCAAUUGAAGAAUCUAAGAAGAUUGAGGAACUGAAAGUUAUGGAUCUUCAAGGCUCUCUUGAAGCUCAUGAACAAAGAAUCUUGGAGAUAUCCACAGAGAAAGAUGUUGAUCGGGCAUUGCAAGCUCAUGCCCCAAGAAGAAGAGGCUAUGUCAAUAAGGGUGUGCAAAGGAAAAGAUCAGAGAAGGGGAGGAUACAAGUCUACUCAAUUUUCAGACCAAGAAAGAUCUAAUUCAGAUCCAACUGAAUUCCCAACUAUAAGAGGAGGCUACCAGAAAUGGCAAGGCAAUAAAAAGAGGGUUGAUAGGAAGAAACUAAUAUGCUUCAAUUGUGACAAGAUUGAACAUUUCAGUAGUGAAUGCUAAGCAUCCUCAAGUCAUAAUGAAAAUCAUGGUUAACAUCACAAUAAGGCUUACUUGAUCAAGAAGGAAAGUGUUGAAUGUCAAGAUGAUGAACCAGUUUUGUUGAUGAUGGAAAUAAACAAUGGAUCCAGUAGUGAUGGCAAAUGGUACAUAGACUCUGGGUGCUCAUAUCACAUGACUAGGAACAGAAUUUGGCUGAUAAACUUUGAUGAUCAAAGAAAAAGCAGUGUGAGAUUUGCUUAUAGUAGAACCAUCCAAGCAAAGGGAAAUGGUGAUCUCUUGACCAAUAGAAGAGAUGGUAGGAAGGCACUAAUAUUUGAUGUACUCUAUUUUCCUAACAUCAAGAGUAAUCUUCUUAGUCUAGGACAGCUACUAGAAAAUGUCUUAUUUUUACAAAUGCAUCAAGGAAUAUUGGAGAUAUUUGAUGCCAAGAAUUGCAAGAUAAUGAGAGUUCCUUUGGCAAGAAAUAUGUCCUUUCAAGUAAACCUGAAAACUGUUGAAACUUAGUGUCUAUCAACAACACCCUUAGUAGAAGAUUCUUGGCUAUGGCAUCUAAGACUAGGACAUAUGAAUUUCAGAGACAUAAGCAUGCUAAGAUCCAAAGGCAUGGUCACUAGACUACCACAAAUUCAGAUUCUAAACAUGGUAUGUGAAAACUGCUUAAUUAGAAAAUAACCUAGAUCCUCAUUCAGCUCAUUCACACCCUCUAGAGCAAGUGAACUUUUGCAUGUGAUUUACUCUGAUGUGUGUGGUCCGUUUGAUACUCCAUCAUUAGGAGGAAGUAAGUACUUUGUUACAUUCACAUAUGUGUUGAGCAUAAAAUUAUGGUUGUACUUGAUGAAAGCCAAAAGUGACACAUAUUCAGUGUUCAAAAUAUUGGUAGAGAAACAAUCAGAAAAAUGUAUAAAGGUGCUAAAAACUAAUGGUGGAGGAGAGUUCACUUCAAGAGAAUUUAAAACUUUUUUAAGGAGCAAGGAAUUGUGCAUGAGGUAAGUGCUCCAUACACACCUCGGCACAAUGGAAUUGCAGAAAGGAAAAAUAGAACCAUACUAAACAUGGUGAAGAGCAUGCUAAAAAGUAAGAACCUGCCACACAACGUUUGGGCUGAAGCAUCAUCUACAUCAGCCUACCUAUUGAAUAGGUGCCGAACCAAAAGACUUCAUGGUCAAGUCCCUAAGGAAGCAUGGUCUGGAAUUAAACCCUUAGUGAAGCACUUAAGAAUCUUUAAAUCUCUUUGCUAUAGACCCAUACCAGACCAGAAAAGGAAGAAACUUUAUCAUAAAGGAGAAGUUAUGAUUCUACUUGGCUACAACACUAUAGGAGCCUAUAAACUGUAUAAUCCUGAGACAUAGUAGGUAAUGUUCAGCAAGGAUGUGUACUUUGAUGAGCUAAAUUCAUGGAAAGGUUAGAAAGAAAAUCCUAUCUCUUUGGCUAAGAUGAACAUAGACUAGGAAAUUGAUGGUUCAGUGUUGGAUGAGAGAAACAUGGAUCCGACUGAUGAGCAAUAUAUUACACACUAUUCAUAUUCUUAAUUUAGCAUGAUUGAUGAUUCUUGGUGCCUAAUUGACUUUGUUUCAUAUCGUUUACUGUUUUAGACUUUAUUGGACUAAUAUUCCUAAAAUGAGUUAAUUUGGGAUUAUUUGGCCUGAUUAAAUCUAUUAUCAUUUUCAGAAUAUAUUUGGCACCAAUGGCAUUUUGGGCAUUAUGGAAGUCGAGGAUAUGUGUUGAAGUGAAGAUUGUAUUUUUAUUUUAGGAGUUGUUUUUAUUGUUAUUUAGCUUUGGGUCCAUUGUUUAGGCCCAAUUCGGUUAUAUGUGUGUUGGAGGGGUUAUAUUCGGAUUCCCCACUCUAAACACACACACUUCAUUUUUCUUCAUUUUGAAAGAUACACAUUUCCGUUUUCCCCUCUUUUUGUUCUACUAGGGUUUCACUCCUUCUUCAUUUUUUAUUUUCAGUUUGUUCUUCCAUUGUCAUGGAAGGCUAAAUUUCUAGACUAAGUUCCUUUGGUAAUGUAUCACAACUCUUGAGGUUUUGUUAUUAAUGUAUUUUCGGUUUCUUUAUUGUUGAUUUCUUCUAUCUUAUUUCUGAAUAUGGUUUGCUUAAUUCUAUUGCUUAGAAACUGGUUGGUUGAGUUUAUCUUCACUUAGUUGAUUUACUCUCUCUAGUGCAUGAAUACUUACUUCGUGUGAUUUUAUUAAUCGUUUCAUAUUUAUACUGAUUUCUCCUAGUUAGAGGUUUAGGUUCUGGAACUUUGAAUUGAUUAUCGCUUAGUUAAUUGAUUCUCAACAAAUUCAGAAGUUAAUAGUUGGAAUCUGAAAAUAAUCUUUUGAAACCGAGGAUUGAGUUGUGAACAAACGAACCAAAGAGAUUUAGCUAUUUUAUUACAUUGCUUAACUAUUGUUUUUGAAUUUGAUUUAUGUUCAUNNNNNNNNNNNNNNNNNNNNNNNNNNNNNNNNNNNNNNNNNNNNNNNNNNNNNNNNNNNNNNNNNNNNNNNNNNNNNNNNNNNNNNNNNNNNNNNNNNNNGAGUAUAAGGUGUUUGAAGCUUUGCUUGAAAGAUAAUCCUUGGGAAAUGACCUAGGAGUCACUUCCUAGUACUACAGUUUUAAUUGUUAUAUUAUUCGUAUCGGGUACGGCCUCGAUCAAAUUUGGCGCCGCUGCCGGGGAUUAUCGGUUCUUGUCAAAGGUUAUUAGUAUAGUUUAGUGUGUGUCUUAGAAUAAUCAUUUUGUUUGGGUUUCAAAAUCUGCCUUUAGCAUUCACUGUUUGUUGUUUGCUGUCUUGUUUAGUUACUUGCCUGUUGGCUGAUUCAGGUGUAUAUUGGUUAAUAUAGUUGUGGUUAGAAUUUUUGCAUGAAACUUUGUUUCCACACUUCUUUCAUCAAAUAUUGAAUACUAGAUGCAUCAUAGUCAAUCACCUUGUUGCUGGUUGUGAGAUACAAACAAGUAGUGACUAAUUUUAUUGUUGAUUUUCUAUUUUUGGCAUAACUUUGGAACCGUUAAUCAGAAUNNNNNNNNNNNNNNNNNNNNNNNNNNNNNNNNNNNNNNNNNNNNNNNNNNNNNNNNNNNNNNNNNNNNNNNNNNNNNNNNNNNNNNNNNNNNNNNNNNNNAUAUUGAAUACUGGAUGCAUCAUAGUCAAUCACCUUGCUGCUGGUUGUGAGAUACAAACAAUUAGUGACUAGUUUUACUGUUGAUUUUCUAUUUUUGGCAUAACUUUGGAACCGUUAAUCAGAAUUAGACAUAUUAUAUAUGAAUUUGGGGUAGAAAAAUCCAAUGCUUCUUUCUCUAUGCACUGCAUCUAUAGAACCCACCCUGAAAAUCCAAAACGAGUCUGUUUACUAUUUCUUUUUUAUUUUACAAGUUUAUUUUUCCAAUUGUUUUGAUUUUGUUGCAUUUAAUUAAAUUAGUUAGGCUUUGAGUUUUGUCCUAAAAAAUUUUGUGGAUGUUUCCUAUGGUUUUAUAAUUUUAUUGAUGCAAAGUUUUGAUUGAUCACUGAAAUUUAACAUGUAUUUCACUUAUUGUCCUACAUGGUUCUUACGCUACAUUUAGUGCAUGACUAUGGGAAAUCCUAACUCUUUGUAUCCAAUAAAUCCUGAAAUUGAUAGAAUAUUUCAUAGUUUGGUUAGACAAGUUAGGAAUUUAAAUUUAGUUAGUGAGUAUUUUCAUCUUAGUGUUAAUCUACCUGAUAGUGAUACGAUUCUGUUGUUUCUGUGCAUUCUGCUAUUUUUGUGCAUUAUGUUGCAUACUCUGAAAAUAUGGCUGAACCACCUCCAAUCCCACAUGAAAGGACAUUAAUGGAGCUGGCUCCACCUGNNNNNNNNNNNNNNNNNNNNNNNNNNNNNNNNNNNNNNNNNNNNNNNNNNNNNNNNNNNNNNNNNNNNNNNNNNNNNNNNNNNNNNNNNNNNNNNNNNNNGGUUGUAUUACUUGGCCCCUGGUUCUAUUACUAGUUGGGAUGACCUGAAGAGAAUCUUCCUUGAAAAAUUCUUUCUUGCCUCCAGGACCACUACAAUCAGAAAAGAUAUUUCUGGAAUCAGACAACUACAUGCAAAAGGUUUAUAUGAAUAUUGGGGGAGAUUCAAGAGACUAUGUGCAAGUUGCACCCGUAAUCAGAUCUCUAAACAACUCCUCCUGCAAUAUUUCUAUGAAGGUCUGAACAACAUGGAGAGGCAUAUCAUUGAUGCUGCUAGUGGCGAUGCACUUGGAGAUAUGACCCUUUUUGAGGCUAGAGGUUUGAUUGAGAAGAUGUCUUCCAAUUCUAAACAGUUUUGUGCAAGAAGUAGUGAUGCUAUAGUGGUCAGAGGUGUUCAUGAUGUUGGGACAAAUUCGGUGAGGCAAGAUAAACUUGAGAAAAACAAAAUUGACUCCCUUGCUACCUUGGUCACUCAACUUGCCAUGAAUCAGCAGAAACCUCCACUUGCAGCACGAGUUUGUGGCAUUUGCACCGCAAUUGGCCAUUAUGCUGAUGUUUGUCCUUCUCUCUUGGAGCCCAAAACUGGUGACCAUCCUGAGGCAUAUACUGCAAAUAUGUACAACAAUAGACCUCAACAAAAACAACAGAACUAUGAUCCUUCAUCAAGCAUAUACAACCCUGGUUGGAGGAAUCACCCAAAUCUUAGAUGAUCUGAUUCUUCACAGCCUCAUCCAGGGCCGCCAUUUCAGAAUAAUAAUGUUGCACAAAUUAGACCAUAUGUGUCUCCUCCAAUCCAACAGCAGAAGCAACAACAAGUGAAUAGUAAUCCUGCUCCUGCAUCUAGUGAACCUUCAUUAGAAGAAUUGGUGAGGCAAAUGACAUUGCAGAAUAUGCAAUUCCAGCAAGAGACCAGAGCUUCCAUUCAGAGACAAGAGUNNNNNNNNNNNNNNNNNNNNNNNNNNNNNNNNNNNNNNNNNNNNNNNNNNNNNNNNNNNNNNNNNNNNNNNNNNNNNNNNNNNNNNNNNNNNNNNNNNNNUAGAUGAUGUCUUGGUUCGGGUUGGUGAACUUAUUUUUCCUGCUAAUUUUAUAUUCUCGAUAUGGAAGAGAGAUCCUCCCAUAACACAGUUCCUAUCAUUUUGGGGAGGCCAUUUUUGAGAACAGUCCGAACCAAGAUAGAUGUCCAUGCUAGAACAUUAUCUAUGGAGUUUGAUGAUAUUAUGGUCUGGUUUAAUAUUUUUGAUGCUAUGAAUCAUCCAUCUAAGGACCAUUUUAUGUUUCAUAUUGAUUUACUUGAUGAGUUAACUAAUGAGCAUAUAUGUGAUUUUCUUAAUGAUUUUCAUUCUAUGUCAUUGAUAGACUCAUACACUUGUCAUACAUGCACUGAUUCUGAAAUGUGUAAUUAUUAUAUUGAUGAGUUUCUGCAUAUUUCUGUUGAUCCAAAUAUUGUGGAAUCAGAUUGCACUAACCCAAUUGCUGCAGACAUGAUACAACAAUCUGAUUUACUUGUCCAGGUGCAAGCUACAGAAUUAAUAUCUGCUACUUUGGUUCCAUCUGUUUUGAAGGCACCUAUAUUGGAGCUUAAACCUUUGCCUGAAAACCUCAAGUAUGCUUACUUAGAGGAUGAUGAGAAGCUUCCUGUUAUUGUUUCCACCUCCCUUGAUGUUGAUUAAGAGGAUAAAUUGUUGCAAGUGUUGAAGAAGCAUAAGAAGGCAAUUGGUUGGACUUUAGCUGAUAUUCCUAGUAUUAGUCCAUCUAUGUGCAUACAUAGGAUACUCUUGGAAGAUGGAGAUAAACCAGUGAGACAACCACAAAGGAGACUCAAUCCAAUCAUCCUUGAGGUUGUGAAGAAAGAGGUCACAAAGCUUUUACAAGCUGGGAUUAUAUAUCCCAUUUCUGAUAGUCAUUGGGUGAGCCCAUUUCAGGUGGUUCCAAAGAAGACAUAAAUUACAAUGGUGAGGAAUGAGAGAGAUGAGUUGAUUCCUAUUCCUACGAGAGUGUAGAACAGUUGGAGAGUCUGCAUUGGUUAUAGGAGGCUCAACCAAGCAACAAGAAAGGAUCACUUUCCUUUGCCAUUUAUUGAUCAAGUGCUUGAGCGCUUAACAAGUAAAUCUCAUUACUGUUUUCUUGAUGGUUUUUCUGGGUACUUCCAGAUCCAUAUUGCUCUUGAGGAUCGGGAGAAGACCACAUUCACCUGCCCCUUUGGCACUUUUUCCUAUAGAAGAAUGCCUUUUGGCCUAUGCAACGCCCCUGGUACAUUCUAGUGGUGUAUGGUGAACAUUUUCAGUGACCUUUUAGAGAAUUGCAUAGAGGUGUUUAUGGAUGAUUUUAAAGUUUAUGGAUCUUCAUUUGAUGCAUGUUUGGAUAGUCUAGAUAAAGUUUUUCAUAAAUGCAUCGAAACUAACCUUGUUGUGAAUUACGAAAAAUGUCAUUUCAUGGUAGAGCAAGGCAUAGUUUUGGGGCAUGUGAUCUCAAAUAGAGGUCGGGGUAGACCCUGCCAAGAUAUAUGUUAUUUCACAAUUUCCUCACCCCUCUUGCGUGCGAUAGGUUCGUUCUUUUCUUG